rnacentral:lncRNA from 1 species
UGGCCUGGAGAGGAUUAAGGCCUUCUAUGGAAGGCAUGCCAAAAAAUAAAUGAGCCGGUCCAUGCUGGCUCCACAAAGGGCUGAGAUCAUCAACUGCUCGUUGGAUAUCGAGAUGCCUGUGUGGCCACGUCAAAGAUCUUUGCAAUGUGUGAAACAAGAUAAGUAAAUCCAUAAGAAAGCUAAUUAUCCGGGCAUUUGCCCGGAAGCAGGGGAUGGAGGAGGAGGCAACCGACCUGACUGUUGAUUCAAUCCGAAACCUCCGUAGCAUUAGCUUUGGCUUGAAUAAAAAACUUCGAUUAAGGGCUUCUUAUUUUGCUGCUCGUGCCCGGAAGCAGGGGAUGGAGGAGGAGGAAAUCAACCUGACUGUUGAUUCGAUCCGAAAGCUCCGAUGCGUUGGCUUUGGCUUGAAUAAAAAACUUCGAUUAAGGGCUUCCUAUUUUGCUGCUCGGCAAAAUGUUAAGCAGCAGUGUCAUUAGGUGAUCAACAACUACCUGUUGUCGGUCUCAUGUUGUCUUGUGCUUGUACUUUAAUUCUCUUUAGAAAUAAAGAUGUUAUGGCAUUAGAUAUGAACGUUCCGAUUUCAUCGCCUCGAUUCGCCGAUAAUUUCUAUUGGCGAAGCUAAUUACAUCGAGGGAAACUCCUAGGGAGCUCAUGAGGAUAUCUCUACUCGAACGAAAACAUAAAAACUCCCUCGAAAUUUGUUGACAUGUAUUCUCGCCUGCGUGCAUGUUUCUGCACGUCAUGCCUAGAAAAUUCUACACGAAGUAAAUUAGCCUUGUUGUCCAAAGGUACCUUUCCAUCAAACUUAAUCGCCCUUGAGGCCUUGGUGACGAGGGCGAGCCCUGCUAGCUCACCGGAUAUGGCAGCGGGUCGGCAAGCAGUGGUGGACGGCAUCAGGUGGUAGCAUUGCAGCGGUAGUCUUGCGUGGCCAGGUUUCCUCGGCUUGGCCAAAAGAGGACUCUCUCUCUCCCUCUCUCUUGUUCCCUUGCUUGAACCCCCUCACUUGCUAGAUCCGGCGAGCUGGCGAGGCUUGCCCUCGCCGGCCAUGGGCAAAGCUUAACCCUCGCUAGAUCCGGCGAAGGCGACCCUCGCCGCCUAGGCCAGAUCCAAUGACUGGCUGGAAAAAGAAGAUGAGAAGAAAAAAAUAAAGAAUAAAGAAUAAAGAAUAAAGAAUAAAAAAUAAAAAUAAAAUUUUUAAAAAUAUUAUUAAAAAUUGUCUACAUCAGUGUCAAUCAUGCCACGUCAGCCGACUAGCGUCCAGUCAAAAAUCUGGCCAAAAUAUUAAAAUUGAUCAGAAAGGACUGAAUUGGCACAACCUAAAAAGAUUUAGGAUUAAAUCGGCACAAAGAUAAAAUAUUUAUGACUUUUUUGACACUUUUCCCAUGUUUUGCUAUCCUUAUGUUUGUUUGUUGUCCAGGGGUUUAUUUAAUUUGUUUCCGCAUACAUUUAAUCGAAAAAUAAAAAGAAUAGGUCGGCGACAUGCUUUGGGAUGUUGCAUUAUGUGCGCAUACCCAGGUGGGCGUGACAUCUCGACAUGAUAACUCCCAAAUCUAUCUCCCAAGCAAUCCAUAUUGUAAAAAUCCCACGCAAUUCACAAGUUCUUUCACUAGGUACGAAAAGAUAAAAUACAAUAAAAAUACGGAGAAUAAAUAAUUUAACAGAGCAUCUUAUAAAAUUUUUAAUAUAUAUAUUGUAUUCAUCGGGAAUUGUGAUUGAUUCAAUCCCGUCCAGUUUCGGGCAAUUCUCGAUUCUUUUGCAUACCCCUACACCACUUGAUCCACACCCAAUUGCAUGCAAAUGGUGAAAAUACACUAAGUUUACAAUGGAACUACCGUCACACUAUUAAAUAACGCAAGAACUCGAAGAACGACAGUUUCGAAGGGAAGGUACGUGCGUGCAAUAGCGAAAUCUAAUUACCAAACCGAGAGAAGGAAAACGAUAUUUUUACUGGGGAAAUGCCUCGAUAAUGGAAGGCAGGGCUUGGAUCUUGAUGAUGUUGUGGCGAGGGAAGCCGCCCUGUUCCAGCAGCAGCUUCCACUCAGACUCCGUCCUCUCCUUCCCUCCCGACUGGUGAGCCAUCAUGAGCAGGUCGAACGUCACUCCGACGUCCUCGAACAGGCCACCGCUGCCCUCCCGGUCGAGAAGGACCAGGUCGACCAUUAUGAGCUUCCCAGGUUUCUGAUCCGACGAUGCUAUGGCUUUCCUGCAAUUCUUCAGUAUCUUCACGCAGUCUUCGUCUCCCCAGUCGUGUAGAACCCACUGUGUUUCAGUGCAUGGCCACAGGAAUUAUAUAUGCUUAUAUAAUCAUAAUGGUUCGAAAACUCCUCAACUUGUACAACAGCCAAUUUGACUUUAAACUUUUCGAUUUUUUCAUAUUAAUUUUAAACUUUUCAACAAUUUUUCGAUGUUUUUAUUCUGGCUAUUAAUUUUUACCCUUGUUCGCAUAUGAAUUUUGAUAGUUUGAAAUAUUUAAUCAAACAAAAAAGUUUACUAAUUUAGGUAGAGACUAAAGGUUUGAUCAUCCCUAUUUUUUUUAUUUUUUUAUUUAAGCAUGAGUUUUUAAAAUGUUUUGAUUCUACCAACUCAAGAUAUAGCCUUGAAGACAUUAUCCGUAGUUUGGACAACUGAUGAGACAAUUAUUGUGGUGGUCAUCCUCAAUAGGUGAUCGUCAUGAUGGUGUUUGCCAUGUUGAUAGACGCGCUAGUGAAUAGAGGUCGCCGUUAAUGUAUAAAUACCAUGACGCCCAUUGCUAGAAGAACUUCGCAUGACUUAAAUGCGUUAUACUAUGCCUCAUUUACGUGCAAUCUCCCUCUAGUAGGCAUAAGCUUAUGGAUUAGAGAUCCAAAUGCAAUAUAAGAGCAUAGGUCGAUAGUUUAGAUCCUGACAUUCCAAUUGGCUCACACAAAAUAGAAGUCACGCCCAUUUCACUAUUGGUGGGCUGAAUCAAAUGUGUAUAAGGGAGGGACUUACCCACAAGGGGAACCAUCAUGAAUUAUAUUAACAAUUGUGGCAUGAGGCAACCAUUCAAUAAGAGUGACCACACCCGUGGCAAGGCGGGGAACUACCGCUAUUUGCUUAACCAUCAGACACCGGUGUCACUACGGUCAGCCGCACACAAUUCCAAAUUUUUUUUUAAUUUUAAUUUUAAUUUUUUUGACGUUGUUAAGGAAGUUUUUGAGUAAUUUAUUUAUGUAACUAUACGCAAAAUGCAUGCAGCCACACCUUGAGAAACACCGCAUCAGCCUUGGGAAUGGCCUCGAACAUGCUGCCUCCCACGUGCUCCACACCGUCGUGAGCCGGCGCCGUGGCCACGACGUGCAGCAAGUCGAAGUUGAUCCCCCGAAUAUGAGGAUAUGCCCUGACGAUCUCGGCGAUCACGCCCCCGGUCCCGCCUCCCACAUCCACUACCGACCCCACGAGGCUGAACCCGUCCCCGUACGCCUCCAGGACGGCCUUCAUUAUGAUCUUGGCCGUGCACGCCAUGGCCUCGUUGAACAUCUUGUUGAACUCGGGGUUGUCCCCGGCGAACUCCCACAUCUUCACCCCGUGCGCCUUCUGGAACGCGAUCCCGCCUUCCCUCACGCACUGGCCGAGGCAGUGCCACGGCGCAAGCUGGAGCGGGUGGUUCUCCAUAAUGACCAUCGGGACGAGGUUCAGCUCCGAGUCCCGGACCAGCCAGCGGGACGAGUCGGUGAGGCCGUAGAGUGGGUCCCCGCUGUCGGACGGGUGGUGGACGGAGAAGAUGUUGCGGCGGACGAGGAGGCGCAUGACGCGGGAGAGGUAGGGGAGGUCGGGGGAAGGGGAGCCCUCGAUCGACCGGGCUAUCUGGGCCAAGGUGACCGGGCGGCCGCCGUGGGAAUGGAUGAUGUCGGCUAUGCGGAGCUCGACUGCGCAGUUGAGGACCAUUGAGUCCGCGAAGCUGAGCAUGUAACGCCAUAUCUCGGCUUGGCCUCGUAGCAUUGCAGCUGCAUCUCCUUCCUUCGCUCCUUCCAUGGUCUCUCUCUCCGUGAACUUUGCCUAUCGGGAGAAAGGUGGAAGAUUGGAUGAAAGCGAGCAUUGUUUCGUGGCAGUACUUAUAGGAAGAGUCGAGAGGAGUUUCCACGUGUAAAUCUUAAUUCAGGUGACAUUAUUGGGGAGUGUCGCGACCUAACCCUUAUCGUGUGUGGCGACCUAACCCCUCUUGUGGGAGGCAAAUUUUGUUAAAUUUAGGGGUAUUGUCAAUUUCGGGCCAACGGUCUUCCAUUGCCUCAGGCUCUCACAAACUUAUAUUUUACGCGACAUUGAGGGUUCAAAUUUUAAAUUAAUUAAGCCUAUGUAAAUUUUGAUUAAGAAAUUGCCACUAAUCUCUUUGGAUUUAGUUAGAAACCUGUUGACACCUCAUUUAAUUUUAGAAAAUAGAAUUAGAAGAUAAUUUUUGAUUAAGAGAGAAAUUUUGAAAAAAAUUUUAAAUUCAAAAACUCAACCAUAGGAUAUUGGAGCCGCUUUGUUGUCGAGAGGUCGAGCGAAAAUUUUUCACGUUAUAAAUAGGGGCUUCUCUUCAUCUUUCAAGGUGGAAAAAUAGAAAAUUGAAAGAGAAAGAGAAAGUGUGGGGGGGGCUUCUCGGGGUUCGAAAGAAGUGAAAAGAAUGAAAGGUUUUUCAUGGCUUUUUCGUUUAUGCCUUUGAAGAAAAUUUGCUGAAAGAAAAGUCAGAAGAAGUGUGCAGAGAGAAAACAGAGGGGAAGUGACGUGAGAGAGACAGGUGAGAGAGAGAAAAAAAAGAAUACACGAGAGUGGAAGAAAGAGAGAAAGGGGUUCGGUUCUUGAAGGAAAAAAGGGAAAAGUCAGCGGAACUUAAGCUUCUGCAGAAAGAGACAGGGACAGGUGAGAGGAAGAGGGUGACGUGAGAGCAGAAGAAGAAAAGUCAAAAGAAAAGAAGCUGCAGAAAAUGCAGAGAGAGACAGAAGGAGGAGACAUGAAAAUGACGUGAGAGAAAGAGGACGUGCAGCAGUGGAAAAGAAGAAACAAAAAGCAAAAAGAAAAGCAGAGCAGAGAACUGUUCAUCUUCUCCAUUACGCCGACCGUCGCGAGGCACCGCCUGCUGCUUGGCCACCGCACCGUGCCCCGCCGCACCUCUGCACCCGCGAGCUUGCCCCAACGCCGUUGAUCCAGCACCUCCGCUGCAACCCCGAGCAGCCAAGGUCCCUGCAUCUUCCCAACCCACGCUGCUUGCCGCCCCGAAGCCAGCAGCGACCGCCGCGCCGCCCUGAGUCCCCGACACCGGAGCUCUGCUGCUCCCGAUCCGUGCAAUCUGACGCCCUGCUGCUCCACCGACGCCUUCACUCGCCGGUCACUGCUCGAUCUGCAACAGCAGUGACCCAACGACCCUGCAACUUCGUUUUCAGCCGAGAUCCGACGACACCGGAGCCCUGCUGCUCCCGAUCCGCGCAACUCGACCCGGCAACCUCCAAGUCUCUUUGCCGGCCACCUCCGCCACCAACGCCAGAGAAGCUGGUCCCGCUUAGCCUUGCUGCUCUGCCCCGACACCUGCAGCGCCUCCGCCGGAGCCCGAUCCGCUCAGACCCUCCACCCAGAUCUGCUCGAGCACCAGCGGCACCCCCCUCCAGACGCCGAUCAAGCUGCCGGACUCCACACCGUCACGAAGACCCGCCUCUGCAGAUCCCACGACGGCCCCGCUUCCGAUCAGGACCUGCACCUGGAGUUUCCCGGCCCGCGACGCCCUUCGCCGAUGGUCCACGCCGACACCCGCGACGCCCCCGUUGCCAUCUUUCGCCCGGCGCUCGACCUCCGAAUUGCCGGAUCUCGCCGGAGCUCCGCACCUCCGCAACCCCCGAUCGCCGGCUCCACGUUCGCUGCCCGCGUCUGCAACCGACCGUUGGCUCCUCGGUGACUAGCCGCACGAGCUGCCGAGCUUCACUUUUGGAAGCAAAGGGAAAACAAAAGAAAAAAAAAAGAAAAGAAAAAGAGAAAAGCAAAUUAGUUAGUUUGUUUUUCUUUAUUUUAUUUAUUUUGUUAUUACUGUUCAAUUUAGAAUAUUGAGAUGUGCUUUUUUUUUUAUAAAUCUCGUAGGCAUUAACUACAGGUAUUUUAUCCUAAAUUAUUGUAAUUAUUAAUUUAACCCGUAAGACGUUGGGUCAUUUUUUUAAUUACUUUAAUUUUUAGGAAUUUUGAUAGCAUUUCAAUUGUUAAAUCAUUAUAGAGUUAAAAUAAUUGUUAAUUUAAUCUGUGAGACGACGGAUUAUUUUUUCGGUUAUUUUAAUUCUUAUAUUCAUUCUUUUAAAAUAAUUACUUGUUUGGAAAGAUUAAAAAGAUAAAAAAAAUCAAAAAGUGCAUAAAAAUCUAAAUAUUGCAUUGGAGCAUUUAGGUUUAGUAAAUUAGGACUGUAUUUUUAGGGUUAGUAAAUUAGAAUUGCAUUUAUAGAAUUAUAAUUUUUAGAUUAUACUUUUAGAUGGGUGAUUUUUGUUAGGGCUAAUUUUAAAUAAUGUUGGCAUGUCUUGAUUUCUUAUAUAGCUUUUAAGAUAAGAUAUAGUUUAAGUUAAAUUUAUUCCUAAAAUAAAUUAGAAUAUUAUUCACUUUAGAUAGUUUAAUUAUUCUUUAUUAUUAAUUUCGAAUUUCAAUAAAAAAAACAAAUCCAAAAAAUAUUAGGUACAUACUAGUUAAUUUGCAUAAUAGGUUUAAUUAGAAUUUGUUUAUUAGUAAAAUAUUGUUAUAUCUGGAACUUAGGUACUUAGGUCCAUGCACAUUUCAUAUUAAAGCAACACACCUAGAUAUUUUUAGAUUAAGUCAAUUUUCAUUUAAUAAAACAAAAGGAGGAACAAAAAAUGUUAUGUGUGCCACAUGAGUUAUAGUUUUUUUUUUAAUAAAAAAGAAAAUGCUAAAAGAUGAUCAUUGCACCAUUAAGUUGCUUUCUUUUCAAUAAAAAACAUUAUGUCAUUAAAAAAUUAAAAAAAGAUCAUUUCCUUGGUUAGUUAAUAGGUUAAUUCAUAAUUAAUCUCAUAUCAUCAUUAUUUAGCAUAGGUUGCAUAUAUGCAUUAAAAAUGAAUCAUCAUUAAAAUAAAAUCAUAAAAGAGCAUGCAUGUAGAAAUACCAUGUCAUUCAUCCCAUAUCAUAUAGCACAUGCCAAUUUAUGAUUAUAAAAAUUAGAUUGCAUACAUAUAAUGAUAAGUUUAAGUUAUACCAUAUGAAUUGCAUCUCGCAUGUCAUUAAAAUAAAUCCAUACAUAUUAAAUUUAGAUUAAGAUUGCAUAUAAUUAACAUUUUUUUUUAAAAAGGAAAAAAGAAAAAUUAGGUGUCUUGUCAUUUAGAAAUCAUGUUUAUGGCAUGCAUUUUUAUUAGCAUUUUUCAUUGAAUGUUAUUUUAUUGAUUGUGUACCCGCAUGACCACCAUUUGCAUGUUAGUAGUUUAGGUUAAAAUUAAUUAACAUUGUCUGCUAAAUAUUUUUGAAAGUAAAAUAAAUGGUACCGAAAGGGCGUUAGACUAAUCUAGCGUAAUCAUGUCUCCGGACUUAUUGAAUCUCUGGUUCGUAAAAAUAAAGUAUUCUACUUUACCAAAAAAAAAAAAGUAUUCUCUCAUACUUUAUUUGGGUUUUUAAUCAAUCCUAAUUGAUUAGUGGUGGCUCCAAAUUGAAUAGAAUUGCAUGUUUAAAUAGAUUAAUUUCUAUCAAGUCGCGAUUGGUAGGACUUGGGAGGGUCCGUGCCAAGUGUUCAGACUUAGUAAUCCAUUAACUUAAACUUUAGGAUUGCCCUGAAAUUUUAGGUCGCGACAGAAACCCAAUAAGAUACAAGAGGAUAUUCAACCAAAGAAUUAGAACUCGGGGACUUCAUUACGUUAGCCUUGGCUCAUGCAUUUUUGAUACCUAGCCUAAUUAUGUACUAACUAAUACCAUAGUAGUCUAUCAAGAAAAAUCUAAGCUUUGUCAUAACCAUUCUAAAACAAGAAAGUAACAUCCAAUAUUGAAAAGUGCAAUCAAUUAUAAUCAUAAUAGAAAGUAUGCAAGCAUCCUAAAUUGUCCUUGAAAAAGAAAAUAAAACAAAGCAAAACAAAAAUCCUCAUCAUAAUGCCUAAAGGCUUGUCCAAUUCUUGGGCCUUAAUAUUUUGGGUUAAUAUUUUGAAAAACCCCAAAUUGGUAUAUGUGUGACAAAUUUACCAAAAACUAUUUUUUUAACUAUGAAAAUCCCUAAACUGGUACACAUGUAUUUUUUUUACUAUGAAAAACCUUAAACUGGUAUACUUGUGAUGAAUUUAUCCAAAACUAGGGGUGUGCAAAAUACCCAGGAACCGCCCAGACUGCCUAGAACCAGACCGGAACCGCCUGGAAUCGGCAAUUCUUGAGGGAACUGGUCCGGUUCCCGGUUCCAUGGGCGGAUCCGCCUACCCACCCACUUGGAUUAGACCGAAACCUUUUUAAUAUUAAAAGAAAAAAUUACUAAAAGAAACUCUAGAUCUCAUCUCACUCCCUUCUAGAGGUGUGCAAAAUACCCGGGAACCGCCCAGACCGUAUUUGUAAAUUCGAUGCGUUUACUUCUCCCGCCGUUCGCAUCUCCACGUACUUAAAUUUGGUUUUUUUUUUCUUUGGCUUGCUUUGAUGCCACGUAGUCGUUUUAUGUUGAAAACCAAAAUUGUUUCGCGUCAAGAUCAGUUCCAUGGAUUCACCCGGGAACCGGACCGCCGGUCCAGUCCGGUUCCUAGGUGAAUCCAUGCAACAAACUGGUGGAUUCCGGUUCCAAUUUUUCGGAAUCGGUCCUUAGUGGGCGGUUCCUGGUUCUAGGUUGGGAAUCGCCCGCCCGAACCAUCUACACCCCUACCCCAAACUAUUUUUUGAUCAUGAAAAAAACUGAUACACUUGUGACAAAUUUACCAUGAUCGAUCAUAAAAAACCAUAAACUGGUAUAUUUAUGACCAAUUUACCCAAACUAAUUUAUUUAAUCACCAAAGAUCAAAUUGAUACAUUUGUAACAAAUAUACCUCAUGUUAAAUUGGAUUAAUAAAAAAAAAAUCACAAAAAUCGUAAACCGUGACAAAUAGAGAGUAAAAUUCCAAAUUGAUAUACUAAUCAGAGGGGAGGUCAGCGGUGGUUUAGAGCGGACCGCGUCGGUGAAAAUACGGUUUCUUGUUUAAUUUGUAUGUUCCAUCAUCUUGAGAUUAUGGGCAAUAAGGUGUAUACAAUUUCUACUUUUCCCCCUAAUUUGGUGAAAAUACGGUUUCUUGUUUCUCUCUUUUCUUCUUCUUCUUUCUUUUUUGUUUUUUUUGUUUUAGACAAGUAUGUGAUGGGAGAAAAUUCUCAAAAUGUGAGUAACAUGAAAGAUUAAGAUAUUAUUUCCCUGCAUCCAUUAAUUUACAAAUAUUUCGAAAGGGGUUCGUUGCUUUAAUAAUAGAUUAUGCUUUUUAUUUGAUUAAGUUGACAUUCCCAACCAAGUCCAAAGCAUCGGAAGACGUUCGGAGCUUACUCGCUCUAUAUUUUUUCUUAGGUCAAUUUUGGGUCACUAUGGUUUAAUUCUCUAGUACAUGUACACAUGUGAAACGAACCAACCACGUGGAGUCACGUGUUUCGUCGUCCGACGUGGUUUGCCCUUGUCCACAUCUCGACCUGCCCAUUAUUUAUAUGCACACCGUCGAAGUUUCCUCCAAAAACACCACAUGAAACACUAGCAAGAACUUUUCUAGACAUUUGCUGAUCAAACCACGCCCUCGAUCGAUCAUCGAUCCUGAAAAUGACGGUACUAAUGCAGAACAAGAUCAGGAUCAAGACUGAGUAGACAUUCCGAGGUAACAGCAGGCUCGAGGCGGUGGUGACGACCACGGUCCACGGUGUCCUCGACCGCGUGAUGGAGAAACUCGACAGGGACGACUGCAUAGCCGUCAUCCCCCUCGGCCAGGGCAACCCCUCGGUAUUCCCCAACUUCUGGACAGCGCGCAUUGCGAAGAAUGCUGUCGUCGACGCGGUCCGGUUGAGUUCAACUGUUACGCCCUCACCAUCGGCAUUCUUCCCUUUAGGAGGUGAUACUAAGGCAUGCCCUAGAAGGAUGAUGAUUUUAUUAUCCGUUGUGAGCAACAUUCAUCAUCCACCAACACACAUGCAAAAAUCGGUUCUAACCUUAAAACUAGUUUUGGAAAUGGCCAGCAUUAAUUUAAUUAGUAAGCUAAGGCAAACUCGAGGUUUGAAAAUUUCAAUAGGGCCAUUGCCGAUCAUCUCUCGCAUGACCUCCCUUAAAAACCAUCACCGGACGAUGUCUACCUGACGAUGGGAGGCACGCAAGCCAUCGAAAUCACAGUGACGGCUCGCGCUCGCCCCGGUGCCAACAUUCUGCUUUCGAGGCCCGGACACCCAUGCUAUGUCGCACACGCGGCGCUCUGUGGCCUCAAGGUGAGGUACUUCGACCUCCUCCUCGACAAGGGUUGGGAGGUUGGUCUAGAGUGCGUGGAGGAUCUUGCGGACGUAAACACCAUCACAACGAUGGUCAUCAAUCCCGGGAAUCCUUACCGAACUGUCUUCAUUAUCGGGAGAGCAAACCUAACCCUGAUUUUAGAGAUCCUUUAAGAUGAUAAUCAUCAGUUCAUCACAACCAUUAAUUCCUAACAUAAACAAUCCUCUCUUUUAAGGAAAACGGGCGAUGAUUUCUGGAGCUGAACUUAAGUACUAUGUCCGAUGGAGUGUUUGAGUAGGUGAUACCGUUUUUACCAACUGAGGUUUUUGGUCAGUCACUUCUCCUUUAGUGGAUUUGUUGUGUAUGGGGAAGAGAGACGGAGAGACGGAGAGACGGAGAGUUUUAAUCAUGUCGCUUUCCGGUACAAUGUGCAAAAUGUUCCGUGGUAUGUUUGCCAGGUAAUAUCUUGCGACUUCAAAAUUAUUCCUUGCUAGUACCCAUUUCUGAAUCACAUGUUUUUGUUUUACCUCGUAUGCUCAACUUUGCUUAAUUCUGCUUCAUGCUUUCUCCUAUUCUUAUUGUAGGAAUUGAGAUUUAAUUUCUAAUUCGAUUAGUGGCUUCGACAUUUAAAGUUCCAUAUUUGCUCUAUGCCACAGCAUGGGAAUUUUGGAAGAAAUUGAACCUAAGAAUGGAUUUAAUGCUUCCAGUUUCUUUGCUCAAACUAUUUCUCUUUCUUUACUGGUUCUUCAUAUUUGCUCUAUGCCACAGCAUGGGAAAUGUAUGGCGGGUGAUAUUUUGCUCGGAGGUAAAGUUGCCAUUGGAAUAGAUAUGAUAAAACCGCCUAGGGUUCAACCUGUUGAGGACCAUUUGGUUAAUCGGAUUUUUAUGGUUAAUAGACAAGUGUUAGGAUUCAAGCGUAGUUAGGAAUGUCCCCAUUAGUUAGUUUUUUCUCUACGGCCUAGCAACCAAGGGGCCUCGAUUACUUGCCCAGUUCUUAGGCCGUAGGUGGUAGCCAAGGGGUGUUACCACCAAUGAGGGCUGUCCCUAAUAAUAUUUUAGUAGGGCACCCGGUAGGACUGCAUUCCUUAUUUUUACUUGCUGGUGCUUGCAAGCCUCACCCCUCCUUGUUGGAAGUGAAUAUUUUUCUUUCCUGCUAUUGGAGAAUACCAAUGAUUUCACACUAAGAAGAGGUUGAACAUUUGCAACUUCUCACUUUAAUUUAUCUUCACAUCAGGUUCUCCCUGGAGGGUCAAUUGAAUGUGUAAUGUCCCUAUUAGUUAGCUUUUUCUCUCCAUGAUUCAUGGAACAAAGCAUCGCAUCGCAUCGCAAUGCUAUGUAAUCAUUUUCAGUAUAUCUCCCUCUCUCAGGUAGCGUUGAGCUGAUUAAAUAUUUGAAUCGACCUCUCCAUUGUCGAGUUCCAAAGUUUGUCUCAAAGCAUGUUGUGUUUGGAUUGUGUACAUUGCUGGUCCCAACAUUUUUGCGCGACGAUUAAUGUCUCGUACCACUUACCUAGCAAAUAAAAGAACGGAUGGAUUCCAAUUGAAUGCGCAUUCAAGUUUUCAACGCCUGGCCUGCGCCCCAUCAGGCUUUUUUACUUGCUUCUCAGUUGCCUGCUCUUUUUCGGAACCACUUAAUAGGAGAUGAGGAGUUAUUGGUCAAGAAUCCAUCCCCCACAUGGGGGAAGUUGCAUUUAAGGGUUCAAGGAGGAGGGAGAGAGAGGGGGAUGGGUUUGAUUCACGCCAUGAGUGAAUUUCCGAAUGACUUGCGCAAUCGCUACAUUGCCUAACUAGAACAUACCUUUGCUAAAAUCUUAGUGAGAAUGUAUUUACGGGCUCGUCACUGGUCGUAGAUGGUGCGAUAUAAAUCAUAUAAUAAAGAAAAUGUGGGCCACUUAUGGUAACAUCACAGGGAUCAUCAACACCGUUCGCCCCUCUCUAAUGGUUUUCCAAAAAAGAGUGAUAGAGAACCACUAAACGAAAUGCCAUUAGCCCCUCUCCAAUCUCACUGAGAUUCCUGGUCAUGGGCUCAUUUGUUUAUUUUCUUUUUAAAUUUCAGCGGACAAAGCCUCACAAACGCUUUCAAUUCUUUUCUUUCUUUUGUCCGUCUUGACCGAUUCUAUCUCUCGAUUGCAAUCUUUUUCUUUCCACCGAUUGCGAUGAUUAUUUUGAACUUGCUCAUUUCCUCUCUGCCGAGAAUAUCUCCCUCCAUUCUCGUCCACAUUUAUGAUGUAUCUUGAUUAGGAAAGAUAAUUUCUCCUGAAUACAAUCAGCUUUUCUUCACCAAUUUCAUGCGCUAAUGGGAAAAAGGAAAGGGAUUUUAUUAUGUCAAAUUGACGCGUGGGAUUUUGAGUCCCGCCAUCGCUUUGCCGUGUCGGUUUACUAUAAAUGCACAUACUAUAAGAUGUGGAUAUUUUUAUUUAGGGACUGAACCAAUCCCCAUUUUUUUAAGGUGAUAAAUGACUAGGAAAAAUCAAAAUUUAGGUGCCAUUGAAAUAACAUAUUAAAUAGAGUAUCCAUGACUUGAUCAUUUGAAGAUUUCUUCUGUUUGGAUUUUUCGUUUUUAAACCCAUCUCUGUCCAUAUCUUAAUUUAAAGAUGAGUCACAUAUCAACCACUUUCAUAAAUAUGGAUUAAAUUAUGGUUCUCUAACCCAUUUUAAUAGCCCUAGUUAUGAGUAAGUGGAGAAGAGGGCUUGCGGGAGCAUUUCCGUAGCUAUCUGAACACAGACUUUUAUCGAUACCGUGCACUCUCGGUAAAAGGAGCCGCCAAAUGUUUUGCAUUAGUCUUUCUUUAUGGGAUGAAGACAAGGAACUAACAGAUGCCAAUAUCUUUUCUUACUAGAAAACGUAUCCCACCAAAUGGUCAAAGUGGGAGGGGUUAAUGCUAAGAAUGCCCUCUUGUCUAUUUUUCAAAGGAUAGAUUGUUAGAUGCGGGCAUUUUCCCAUGCUAAAGGAAGCAAGGAGUCGACAUGAAACGGAUCACAGAAGAAGACGUAUCCGAUCGAUGAAUGAUUGUUGCUCCUCCCACUCCUCCCACUCACACGGAUUCUUCUAUUUAAUGGAGAGGUUCCCCUUCUUCCAUGUGAGGUGGGGCCUACGUAAGAGCAUAAUCUAGGUAGAACGCUUAUUCCCACCUUGUUUUAAUGCUCUUUCCUGAUGGUAUCCAGGGGCGCUAUACCUCGGAAAGUAUGAAGCCAAGGAAGUAAUUAGAUACAUAUCUACUUCCUUCCAAUGAAUCAAAAGAACUAGUUGUCUCAUCAAUAGCCAAAGUCAACACACUUCCAAUCAAUUCGAACUACUUGGAUUCCUAAGCAACUUGCUAAGUUGUACGUGGAUGAGAUUGUUAGGUUGCAUGGCGUACCUAUAAGAAUACUAUCUUACCAAUAUGCUAGGUUUACUUUGCGAUUUUGGAGUAGAUUUCAACAAGUCGUGGGAACUAAGCUACACUUUAUUCCUGCUUUUUACCUAUAAAUAGAUGGACAAUCUGAGCAAGUUAUGCAAAUGUUAGAGGAUAUAUGCCAUAUUAGUUCUAAACCUUUUGAUUCAGUUAAUUUAAUCAUAAAUUUUUUGAUAAUUUGCCAAUUCAGUUCAUCCAACUAAUUUUGGUAGGAAAUUGCAAACUAAAUUGGUAUAAUUGAAAAAUUUAUGAUUAAAUUGACACUAAUGCAAUAAAUUUAAGAAUUUCAUAAUACUUUUCUCCAAGAUUCUCUCCCAUUACUCUCUUUCGAAAAUUUUAAUUUUUUCACUAUUCGAAUUACUUUUAAUAUAUUUUUGCAUGGACCUAGUAGAUAGAAUGUCAUUCUCCUUUUAAAAUCAUUAUCUGCGCGAUAGGCAAUGCACAAGGCUCCCACUAAACCAAUUUUGAACUUAAUCUAGAGUCCCAUAAAUUACUAGAAACUAAUGAUGUACCGCUUUAAUUUUCGAGUUACUCUGUCAGAUCGAUCACUUCAUGCUCUGCUAGAUAUAAAUUUACACAAGAUACUUAUACAAGGAGAGGGAUGUCGCACACCCUAUAAAUUGUACAUAAGAUACUUAUCUCACAUUUAGCAAGUCAAUCCAUUGAAACAAAGUCUGCUUACCAGAUUUGUUAUCCAAUAUUAAUAGGUAUUUUCAAUAAUUUUGAGUCAUGUCAAUUGUAAUUGUGCAUAAGGUUCAAUGACACGAAUUACAAGUGCAUAAAUAAUAAGAAAAUGUUUACCAAAUUACUGUCCAAUCCCCAAUGAUGAGAUUAAGGAAGAUGAAUGCAAAUGCGAGCAAAUCUCCAAAUCGUUAAGGACGAUGCUAGGUGCCUAAGCUCUCACCAAUGUUUUCUCUAUUCAAGGAGAUUUAACUCCGACGUAAAUAUCAGGAGUGCUCAACAAAGCGACCACCUUGUGACAGCUCUUCAAAAAAUUCUAAAAUGUGAAUGCACUAUUUUCACGAUUAUUAGGGCUGUUAUGGAAAUAAUAGGUUUUGCAUGUUUUUUCCCUGAAAAAUGGAGACAAAGGGAAUGUGGGAUCCCCAUAAAUCAUAAGUAAAAUAAAGAUAUGUAUAUCUCAUAUUAACAAAUGGGGAAAUUAAGUGGUUGAAAAUUUAAUGAUCCCAAAUUAAACAUGUUUAAUAAGUGUCACAAGAUCGCUCAUCAGCACAAUCCAAAUAUGAAAUGUACGUAAAGAUCAUAAUUAUGAGUAUAUGGUGUUUUUCACAAGACCGCACCCACCGACUCCCACGAAAGAGACGGGUUCUUGUGAUGUGACCGGCUUGAUUGCACUGGUCAAUCAAGAAUCAAUUAAUUUGUUGACAAUCAAAAAAGAAAGAAAAAAAAAAAAGAAGACGGGCAAGAGACUCCACAUGUAUUCGCAAAUCACGACAAUUUAUACACCGGGGCGCAUUUAGAAAACGCCGAGUGCAGAUUCCCAUUCUCAUUCUGUCGCUUGCUUGUCUACUAAAGUAAUCUUUGAUUUGUCUCUGGCUAAGUAAGAUAACCAUUUGAUUCUCUUGAACUCCUGAAUAUCUUAACACGUCGGGGCUUGGGAAAGAGGAGAAAGAAAAGAUAAUCUAGGUGGAUUAGGUAGGGUCUGGGAAAUUAAUUUAGGACAAGAUGCUGUCUUGGACCCCACCCGUGAGAGGUUGAAAAAGUUUUAAGAAAGUUCUAAACAUAUUAUAUUUACGUCAAUUUAGUUCUAAAUUUUUCAAUUAAAUCAAUUUAGUCAUAUUUUUUUUUGUAUUUAUAUCAAUUGAGUCUAUCUGGCCAAUUUAAAUCGAGAAUCUCUAAUGUUAUCGUCAGUCAUCCUAUGUGAUAGAGACGAUAUUGAUAUGGAUAUUUAAAAAAAAAAAAUCAUGAUUUUCGAGAAAAAAUAAACAAAAAGUUAUAUAAAUAUGUCAAUGUUCACGUCAAUUGUACCACGUAGAAUGACUGAUAUUCAUAUAGUGAUUUUCGGCUUAAAUUAGCGAGAUAAACUCGAUUGAUAUAAAUUGACAUAAAUACAAUAAGUUUAGGAUUUUUUUGAUACUUUUUUUCGUUAUCAGAGGUGUUCAAACGUCAACUUUGGUUAUCUACAAUCACGGAGAGCAAGAAAGGGAGAGAAGCGCACCAAGAGGAAUCGACAAAUUCGCACGACCGUGGGGGCCUACAUUAGGGGUGUGCAAAAUACCCGGGAUCCGCCCGGACCGCCCGGAACCGGACCGGAACCGCCCGGAACCGGCGGUUCUUGAGGGAACCGGUCUGGUUCCCGGUUCCAGUUUUUGGGAACCGGUGGGAACUGGUCCGGUUCUCGGUUCCAUGGGCGGAUCCACCCGCCCGCCCACCCGAACCGGACUGGUUCCCUUUUAAUAUUAAAAAAAAAAUUACUAAAACAAACCUAGGUCUCUCUCUGUCUCUUCCACUUCUCUUCUGCGGCUGCCUAUCUAUCUCUCUCUCUUCCUCAGUUUCUCUCGCUAUUUCGAUUCCUCCUCGGUGACCUGUGCGUCCGCCUCUCCGCACGAGCCGCGAAGCCGUUGUAGCCCAGUCGUUCACCACCCUCCUGCCGGCGCCGCUUCGAUCUCAUACCCGCGCGCCCACCGACCUGCGACAACUCUGCACCUCCGCCAUCGUCGUUGUCGCGACCAAUUUUUCGGUUUUGGACUGUGAACCACCUAGGGUUUGGCUAAUGGAUUGUUAAGCCUAAACUUAACUCGGGCUCUCCCAAGCCCAUACCAAUUCGCGACUUAGGUUCGAAUUCUUAACAUGCAAAUUGAUUUUAUUUAGGAGUCGCCACUAAUCAGUUUAUGGUAGGUCGAUUAGACACCUAAGUAAAAUAAUGGGAGAAUUACUUUACUCCUACGAACCAGAGACUAAGGGUACGGGGACUCGAUUACAUUAGAUUUCUCUAAUGCCCUUUCGGUACCAUUCUUUUUAUUUUCAAAAAUGUUUGGCAAUUGAAUUGAUUUUAAAUAAACUUCCUAACAUGUGAGGUGAUCAUACAUGUGCGCAUACCACCAAUUUAACACUCAAGAAAGCAAAUGAAUAAAUGAUGCAGAACUUACCUCAAAGCAACGAAAGCAUCUGCAAUGUUAAUUUAGAAUUCACAUCAGCAGUCCUAAAUAUGAUUUCUAAUUAACACGCAAUUUUUUGUCUUGUUUUCACUUAAUUAAUGAAAAUCAUGCAAUAUGCAAUGCAUGCCACUAAGUUAACAUGAAAUGAUAUGACAAGGCAACAUGACUUAGCUAUAUGACCUAAGCAAUAUGACAUAACUAAGCAUGUAAUCUAUCCUAAGCAUGAGAUGAUUUAUUCUAAAUAAUUUUUUUUUAUGAGAUUCGAAAUUUAAGAAAUGCAACAUUUAAAUAUGCAAUCUAAAUUAAUCUAAUGACCUAAUUCUAAUGAUGGGCAAUUUCUAAUUAAAUGCACCUAACAAAAAUCACUAAAUGACGUGCAUUGUAUGAAACUAAUUCUAUAUGACGUGCACAUGAUUUUUAUUUUCCUAAUAAGCAUGCAAUCUAUUUAGGAGAAAUUAUCUAAACCAAUAAUAUGCAAUCUUAGUAUGCAAGAUAACAAAAACAAACCUAGUCCUUACGGAUUUUUCUUUUUGAUUUUUUUUAUUUAAUGAAAAUAAAAUUGAUCCAAACACACGGUAUCAAAUCAAACAAGAUAAUAUUGAUAUCUAAAAAUUGGCGAACCAUAUCUCGCGCAUGAGAUCGGGUUGACCAAUUUUAAUUUUAAAUCGCGAAUCAAAUCUCGGGCUUGAAAUUGGAUUGUCGAUUUUUAUAAGGGAUUGCGAGUCGGAUUUUGGACGCGAAAAUCGGACUAUCAAUCCCUUGCUUGAGGGGGCACUUUCAUGUUGGAACAUAUUUAGGAAUAAUCCUACUAAAGGAAAAAAGUAAAUAAGUGAGAAUAACAUUAAAAAUAAAUAUAUAAAUAAAGUAAAUAAAAAAGGAACUACCUAAAUGAUUUUUUUUCCUUUAUCCCUUUCAAGCUUCGUGUCCGUGCGGCUGGUCACCGGCUCCGGUGAGGGGCAGCAGAUCAGAGGUCUGGCAGGGAAGAAACUCCGGCGGCAGCAGGUGGCGGAGUUCGGAAAGGGGACUCGCGGGUCACGGCCAAUUGCGAACAGCGGGUGCUGUGCGGGGGUUUGGAUCCGAGCGGCGUCGGCAAGGGGAGUCACAGACAGCUGGGCUGGCGUCGCGGGUUGCUCGCGAAGGAGGCACGGCGAGGCUCGACGUUGUGGUGGCGCGGGUCGUCGGGCGGAGGCUGCUGCAAGGUGGUGCGACGCUGGGUGGGCGUCCGGAUCUGGCGCGGCUUCAGCGAGCGUUGGCGAGGGCUCUGCAGGCGGCGGUAGGCGCGACGGGAUCUCAGAUCAGUGCAGUUCGGUGGCGUCGGCGCAGCACGGGUCAGCGUCAAGAUAGCGACACCGUGACCAGCGGGCAACAGGCGGUUCGCGGGUGCAGAGGCGCGGCGGUGGUAAGGUGCGGCAACGGUGCUCGCGGUGGCGCAGCGGCGUCGGGCUUUCGAGGGGGUGAGAUCGGCGGCUUCGGUAGGGCGAAGCGGCGGCGUCCAGAGGGCAGCAGCGCGGGCGGCAGUCGAACCCACCGGGGAAGAAGAACAGUGCUUCUUCCUUCUUCUUUUUUAUUUCUUUCUCUCUCCUCUUGUCUCCUCUCACGUCACUUUCUCUCUGUAAUUCUCUUUUCUCCCCCUUUCUGCAGAAGCUUUUUCCUUUUUUCUGCUCUUCUCUCUUGACUUUUUUCUUAAUUUUUUCAACGAAGCUCCCCCUUUAAACCUCUCACACGCACGGCUUUUAUAGGAAAAGGAAUUGGAUUUUCAAAUUAUACUUCGAAUCAAUCUUCGUAAAUCUUUUCACAAAAUUCAUCCCAUAUUGAUAAGGAUUCGAGAUCAAGAUGAAAUUUUUUCUAAAUCCAAAUCUUUCAAGGCCAAAUCGCAAUAUUUUUUUAACCAUCUGCCCUAUCUAAAAAAAAUUCAUAUCCCGAUUGAAAUUUCAAAAAUUAAUUUUCCCACGAGAUAAUGUUCGAUCAUUAAAAAUAUGGGCCUGGGCCGACUUGCUCGUUUCAUGGGCUUAAUCCAACUAAUUUGAAACCAUCCGCCUUCCGUCCAAUAAAAUGCAAAAAAUGCAAAAUAAAUGCAAAUAUAAAUCUAUGUGCUAUGCAAUUAAUAAAAAUUAACCCAUAAUUUCCUAUGUAAUAAAUGAAUAAACUAAAUCGUCAAAAUUUAGGUGUCAACAGUCGUCUUGCCAGAUCCGCCUUCCCCCUGACGUGCAGCAUCGCAACCGUCGCUCGUUUCUUCACGCCGGUGGCCGCGACUCCAGCAACCCACGAGACCCAUCCGCGACCAACGCUCGGCGUCCCCUGCUUCAGCCGCGCGCUGAUCUCGCUCGACGACUACAGAUCUGAGCUCAUCUCAGCCCUGACGCCGUCGCGGUUCAGCCUCCCUGCCAGAUCCGCCUUCCCCCCGACGUGCAGCACCGCAACCACCGCUCGUUUCUUCAUGCCGGUGGCCGCGACUCCAGCAACCCACGAGACCCAUCCGCGACCAACGCUCGGCGUCCCCUGCUUCAGCCGCGCUAAUCUCGCUCGACGACUACAGAUCUGAGCUCAUCUCAGCCCUGACACCGUCGCCGUUCAGCCUCCCUGCCAGAUCCGCCUUCCCCCCGACGUGCAGCACCGCAACCGCCGUCGCCGUUCAGCCUCCCUGCGACCCACGAUCCAGUUCAGCGACCCCCAACCCAGCUCCGCUGCUGCCUCUCGCCCAAGCCUAGCCUACAUGUCAUCCUUUUCCUCCAUAUUCUAGUGGACGAAUUUUGCUUGGAAAGAUCCAAGCAUGAACUAAAGGGCAAAUGUGGGAUUUUUCAAUAGUUUUGAGGAGGAAGAAGAAAUCUUCUUUAACGCCAAGGCUUGCAUUAGAAGUCCGGCGUCUUCUAAUUUCUAGUCCGUCGAUGAAAUAUCAUCUCGACCCAAGUCAAAACUGAAAAUCACUGCUGCUCCUGACUAGAAAAUGGAGGAGAGGCAUGUGCAAAACCAUCCCUGAAAUCAUAAAAGAACUAUUACCGAUGAUUGUCAGCGACGGAAUGGUGAUUGCGGUAGCUGUUCCCUAGAGAAAUGCAUUAAGGAUGGCUUGCUUUUGUCCUGGAUAAUAUGUUUUACGCAAACGAGAAGGAAAAUGCUUCUAAGUCUUUGGAAAUGACUUCAAUUCUGAAGCUAAUUGCCCGAAAUCCCACAUUUCAGAUGGCCUGAAGCACUUCUGCUGAGAUUGCUUAAUUUAGUUACGUAGUGGACAUACAAGUUGCUAAGAGAGGAAGACAAACUCAAUUUGUUCUUGUGAAUUUGCAAAGGGACAAUGCUCGAACCUAGAGAGCAAGCACAAUUCCCAUGGAAUGGACUUUUCAUUGGUAUGUAUCCACGAAAAUGACAAGAUAGAGAUGUCUUGUCCCCGAAACUUGAUUGGUCAUCAUUACUGCGGACUUUUUUUUUUGGUCGAAAAAGAGAAUAUAUUUCCAUUUACGUUGGGAAAAAGGAAGAGCCCAUUAGAAAGGCUUCAUUACAAAGCAAAUCUAGCAUAGCUUGAGGUGGGCUUGUAGCCCAAAGAGCAUGUUUGUUUGGUUCGGAAUACAAGCAAAUGUGCGCAUGCAUUGAUGAGUAAUUGAAAGUGAUAAUUAUACAAAUGGUAUUUGAACUUUGCUCAAUGUAAUAUAGCCUAUGAACUUCCAAUUUUUCGAUAUUGUCUUUGACUUUAGCCCAAUUUAUAAUAUGGUUUCAUUUGUUCAGUAUAGUCCAUAUACUUUUAAUAUAUAUUUAAUAUAGUUAUUGAAUUAUAUGAAAAUAUUUAAUUUUAUUUAUGGACUAAAUUGAAUAUAUACCAAAAGUUCAAAGAUUGUAUGGAACGACUUAAAAGUCCAUGGAUUGUAUUGCACAUUAGAUAAAUGUUUGUAGGAUCAUUUAUGUUAUUUUCCCUAAUAAAAAUUUAAAAGAUUGAACACAAUCAUCAUUGUUAUGAAGUACUUGAAUUAUUUAAUGAUAUCAGCAAAUGCGCAUACGCACUGUGUGUGCAGAAGUAAUCAAAAUUUGAAAGAUCAAGCGAAAUUAUUUUGUUAUGGAAUGUUUGAAUCAUUCAAUAAUGAGAAGAAAUUAUUGACAAAAAUACAAAAUUAUGAAUAUAUUGUAUUAUUAGUGGAUCAAUAACAAUAAUCCAAAAUUCGAAAUCUUUUAGGAAUGUUGUCCUGGCAUAAGACGUAUCUACAUUUUGAUAUUGAAAUAUGUGAGAGAUAAAAUAAAAUUAUGAACUUGCGUGUUUGUAGACGGACGUUAUACUCGUGAGAUAAGCAAUCAAAGAUACGUGUGAAAAAAAAAAAAACAAUUAAGAUUCCCUAUAAGUAGGAAUACGGUAUUUUUUUUUAUUUAUAAUAGUAUAGAUCAAUGGAGUUUCGUUUUCUUCAAUUUCUAGCAAUGAACCAUGGUGCCUCGAAAUAAUAAUAAUUAAAAAUUUAACUUAGGAACAAUAGAGGCUUUAUUACCAAGUGAGAAUGAAUGAGAAAGAAUGGAUCUGAAUUAGGAAAACGGAAGUCUCGUAGCUGGAGAACGAUUGCGGCAUGAUGGCUAAAUUAAAAAAGUUAAGAGCACGAUGUCCUUUCUCUCCUUCUGUCUUUUUCUCCUCCUUCCCCAAGUUUGGAAGUUGCGGUUUCAUUAGAUCAUCCAAUUCCAAUUUCCGGAUGUUGCUUUUGACAUUAUUAUGGUUUAUUCACAUGCGAUUCGCUUUUUUCAAUUAUUCACUGCUUAUUCCGAUUCCUUCCGAUCCAUCCAAUUGUUUCAUGUGGGUUUAUCCAAAAUUGGCUUGGCAACCUUGACUAUGAGAUUGAACUUAUAUAUACUCCGUUUGAUAUUUAAAUGAUCAACUUAUGAAUACUUUGUUUGAUCUUUUCGUUGACACAUUAUACGGUAUAAGUAGAGAUAUCAGCACUCAUAAUUAUGGUGGAAAUUAAAGAUAAUAAUUUGAUAAAUGUGGAAAUUGAAUGAAAAAACAAAUUAGAAGAAAUCUUUAAAUGAUCAACUCAUGGAUCUUCCGUUAAUGUGUUGUUAUCUUUGCACUUGUAGAAAAUUUUGCACUGUAACCAUUAUGAUAUUUUUGCCAUUUGAUUUUUUAUUUCAAUACUUCGUCUCAUUGUCGCGACAGUGGCCGUUGAAAAGACUUUGAGAGAGAAGAGACAUAAAAUGAGAGAGAUCGCGUGCGGUGGGGGGAUGUGGUGGAAUAAGUAAAUAUACAGUUUGGAUUGUGCAAAAUGAUAGGGCUAAACGGUCGUGGAAAAAUCCUAGAGCCACAUAAAAAUUGUGUUGAAUUUCGAUGAAUAAUGGCUAUCUCCUAUAUACGCAUUUGCUGCCUUAGAUGGAUGAUAUCUCUCAUUUAUCAAGUGAGAUAUGAAGCUUCGGGGCUAGGCUUAGGUCUUUCCUGAUUGUUUGACAUCUAAAUUUUAAUUUUUCCUGGUCAUUUAUCACAUAAAAAAAAAAUUAAGAAUCGAUUCAGUCCCUAAACAAAAAUAUCCAUAUCUCAUAGGAUUUGUAUUCACAGUAAACCGACGUGGCAAAGCGAUGGGGGUCUCAAAAUCUCAUGCGUCAAUUUGACGGAUUUGAAAUCCCUUUCCUCCCCAUUAGCGCACAACUUGGUGAAGAAAAGCCACUCGUAUUAGGAGAAAUUUUCUUCUGUCCUAAUCAAAGCCAAAUUACAGAUGUGGACGAGAAAGGGGGGAGAUACUCUAAAGAGCAAGUUCGAAGUAUUAGCAAUCGUAGUCGGUGGAAAGGAAAGGGUUGCAAUCAAGAGGGGGAAUUACCAAAAAAAUCCUAAACCUAUUGCAAUUGUUCCAAUUCAGUCCUAAUUUUUUUUUUGGCCAAUUUAAUCCUAAAUUUUUUAUAAUUAUGCCAAGUUAGUCAAUUUGGCCAAAAUUGGCCAGCCAAGAUCGACUAGGGACAGCUAGCCAACGAAUGCUAAUGUGGCAAUUUUUUUUUCUUUCAAAAUUUCUAAUUUUUUUUCUUUUUUUUCCCCACCUUCUCUUUCCUCUAGCCGACCUUGCCCAGCGACGGCAAGGCUUGAUCUCGCCAUGGCUGGGUGAGGCUGAGCCUCGUCAAAUCUGGCGACGGUGGCCUCGUCGGCCACUGGUGAGGUUGACCCUCGCUUGGGCUAGGCAAGGUCACCGGUGAGGCCGCCAUUGCCAGAUCUGACGAGGCUCGGCCUCGCCUAGCCAUGGCAAGGUCGAGCCUUGACGUCCUUGGGCGAGGCUCGCCUUCGCUAGUGACCGGCGAGGGCGAGUGUUGCUAGUGGCUGGCGAGGCUGACCUCACCGACUCUCGCCUUUGGCCGACAGCCGGCCAGAGGAAGAAGAAGAUGUGGAGAAAAAAGAAAAAAAAUUCAAAAUUCAAAAAAAUAACAAUUUAAAAUUCGAAAAAAAGAAUAUAUAUAUAUAUAUAUAUAUAUAUAUAUAUAUAUAUAUAUAUAUAUAUAUAUAUAUAUAUAUAUAUAUAUAUAUAUAUAUAUAUAUAUAUAUUAAAAAAUUGCCACAUCAAUGUUUGCCGGCUAGCUAUCCUUGGUUGGCAUCCACAUCCGGCUAAUUUUGGCUAAAUGAACUGAAUUGACACAAUUGUAAAAGGUUUAGGACUAAAAUGGCUAAAAAAAAAGUUUAUGAUUUUUUUGGUAAUUCUCUCCGAUCAAGAUAGAAUCGCUGAAGAGGUUUCGUCUACUGAAAUUUACAAAAAAGAAACGAAUGAGCCUGGCCAUAAAAUUAUGAAAAGGAAUCUCAAUGAGAUUGGACAAGCAAAGUAAGGCAGGAAUGGCAGUCAAUCGGUAAGGCAAGAAGGAUUUGACUGAGAGUUACAACAAGAGCGGCAAAACUUUAGGAAAAAAAUAUAAAAAAAGUCAUAAAUCUAUUACUCUUAUAACAAUUGAGUCUUAAACCAAUUUAGUUCUGCAAGUGGGCCUACUUUACACUACCAGCUUUGACAUUAAUAGUUUUUAAUAUUAUUUUAAUAUCUUUUUUUUUUAUUUUUUGAUUUUUUUUCUUUUACUUUUUUUUCCCAUGUUCUUCCUUUUGCCGGUGACAGGCCAUAGGUGAUGACGGGUUAACAGCCAUGGGCAGGCUGGCCUUGCCUAUUGCACUAAUCUCUUGAAACACGAGAUUUAGAAUCUUGUUUACCUAUUCUCUUAAGUUAUAAUCUAUUCUUUUAAGUUACAUACUGCAACAAUAAGAGUUAGAAUUUUCUCCAUAUGAAGAGUAUUUUAGUAAAUUUUGAGCUACUGACUCUUAUUUGAGUUGACAAUCCCCGUUUAAUAUUGUUUUUUUUUUUCCUUCAGUUACUAACAACCCAUUUUUGUUCGCUUGAUUAGCAUCAUAGGAACAACUUAAUUGCUUUCUGUUUGAAUAUACAUAUUUCUUAACCGACCGUAUAUGUGUGUGUAUGUAUAUAGACACUAGUUCUUAGACUAACCUGGAGAGACUCGCAUCUAUCUCGAUGGCGCUCGCAUCUAUCUCGAUGGAGCUUUGGAUCAUACUCUGGCGAGCUCCAAAGAACAUAUAGACCUCUCAAGGCCAUCUUGGAGCUGCCCCUUAUCUUCCCCAAGGCUUCAUCGUUAGACUAACUUAACCACGAGGGGACCAGAAUAAGAACAUGAAGAAGCGAACAGCAUCGUCUAUCUCUUUAUGAAUUAUUUAGCUUAAGCUUCGUAAGUAGCUCACUUCAUGAUCAUAACUUAAAAGGUUAAUAUUAAACAACUUGACUCGUUAGACUUGGUCCUUUUCGAAUAAAUGAAUAGCACAAAAAAUGUCUUUGCACUAAAAAGAAACCGAUUACAUUGGAUAAGUGGCCGAAUGACCAAAAAAAAAAAAAGAUAAGACUACUUCGCUGGGACAAGGAAAACAAGGUUUGUCUGCUCAGGAAUGAAUCCGCGAUCUUCCAGCCAGCGACGUACCACUGCCCUGCUCCCGGUACUCAUAUUCCCAAUAUGAACGCGGUUCAGAUUACCGCGAUUGGCCAAGAAUUGCGGCCACAAGCCUACAAAUGCCCUGGCUUCGGUUAUUGAACCGAGGACCAAAAGCUCUUCCUGCCUUAUCAAUUGCAUGCUAAGAUUCAGAUUCGUUAUCGCGGUCAUGUACGAAUCAUGAUACUCUUGACGUUCUUGUUUUCUGAAGACAAUUAAAAAACAAAAAACAUAUAUAAGUGCUAAAAAAACAAAAGAUUUUCGGAAAAGAAUGUAAUACUCACGUUAACUCUAUGUUAAACUGGUUUUGAGUCCACGCAUCCUGCGCCAUGCGAUAAGCAUCGAACUUCCGGCGGAGGAGAGUAGCUGGAUCCAUUGGAAGAGAAGGUUUGAGAAGAGAAGGGGGAGGAAGAGAGAAAGAUGCGUGCUGUACACAUUCACCAAAUGAGCAAGCAGCAGCGUCGUGUCCCAAAGGCGUGUUGGAAGUUGGUGGACUCACAUAAAACUGGAAAAAAGCCAAGGGGAGUGAUUGAGAUUGAGUUCGUGCGUCGUUUCUUCUUCGAAACACUUUCCGUCCUCGAUGCGUGGCUUAAGCACCCUUGACAAUGAAGAAGAAGCAGCAGCAUGUGAUAUUUCAAUGUAUUCACGCAAGCAAGAGAUCACAAAUUCAAAACUAACAAUAACAAAAUAUAUAAUCACAUAAAAUCUACUUAAAAGCAACACCUCUACACACUGAUCGUGUAUACAGGAAUCGAAAAACGAGCAGAAACAGAGAGAUCCUAGAAGGGGAAAAAAGAAGAAGAAGAAGAAGAGGUCGUGCCUACUCGGGAUUUGGACGAAGCUUCUUGUUAAGAAUAAGGCAAAAAGUGAAUUGGAGAAUUUUAUUUAUAAUAACUAAUAAGGAGUAGGCUUUACAAGGUAACUAUCCACCGCAACAAAAUAUUACAAAAUCAAUUACAAGUAAUUACAUAGAAAUCUAUAAUAUUAGGGAUAUCUAGAAUAUUGUGAAGAUAUCUAGAAUAUAUCAAACUAAAACAAAGAAUUGAGUUGAUCAAGCAUACUUUUCAUUGAUAUGUUAUGCAGUAUAUAUAGAGAUAUCACCUGUAAUUAUGAUGGAAAUUAAAAGAUAAUAGAUAGCAAUUUGUAAAUUGAAUAAAAACAAAUCGGGAGAAAAUCUCUAAAUGAUCAACUUGUAAAUAUUCUGCUUGAUCCCUUCAUUGAUAUGGUACACAGUAUAUGGAUAGAGAUAUCAUCACUUAUAAUUAUGUGAAAGUUAAAGAUAAUAAUUUGAUGAAUACAAAAAAAAAUAAAAAAAAAAUCUUCAAAUUAUCAACUCAUAGAUACUGUUAUCCUAACUAUUGACACCUAAAUUUUGAUUUUUUUUCUAGGCAUUUAUCACAUAAAAAUUAGGAACCGAUUCAGUGCCUAAACAAAAGUAUCCGUAUCUCAUAGUGUUUACAUUCAUAGUAAAUUCACACGGCAAAGUGAUGGGGUGCUUGAAUUCUCAUGCAUCAAUUUGACAGAGUUCUUCUUCUUCUUCUUUGGCCGACCGCCGGCCACGACGACAGCCAACGGUCGGCCACAGGCGAGCCUCGAGGUUGCCCGGCUCGCCAACGCUAGCGAGGCCUCAGCCUCACAAGAUCUGGUGAGCUCAAGGCUCGCUGGCGUCGGGUGAGGCCUCCGCCUCACCGGAUCUAGUGAGCUCAAGGCUUGCCGGCGUCAGGUGAGGCCUCCGCCUCACUAGAUCUGGCGAGCCCUGGCGAGCCUCGAGCUCGCCGGGCGUCGGUAGCAUCGCUAGAUUCGGUGAGCUCGAGCUUGCUCGACGCCGACGAGCUUGAGGCUUGCCUAGUCGGUCGCCGACCAUCGUCGUGCUGGCGACCGGAGGAAGAAGAAAGAAAAAAAAAAGAAAGAAAAGAAAAAUAAAAAAAUAGUUAUAAUUUCAGUUUUUAAAAAAAAAUUGUAAAGUUAAAAAGAGAAUAGAGAGAUUGUGAAGUUUUGGCUUUGAGUGAAAAUAAAUGGGUUGCUAAAUGGGUGCAAAGCUGACCCAUUUAAGACCCAUAUAUCUCACUCUCUUUAAUUUUAAAACCCAUUAUGGGUACUUUAGAAAAUAAGGCUUGACCCAUUUAACACCUCUAAGAUUCCAAUGCAAUCUGUUUCUUUUAAGUGCAAAGAUAUCUUUUGUGCUAUUCAUUUUACUAAAAAGCGAACAAGUGGUUAACCACUUACGAAGCAUAUGCUAAAAUUGGAAAAAGUUGUCAUGGUCGGUUUCUAACUCCUUGCUAAAUAUUUCAUAUAAGAGAUAUACACUGCUGUGCGCUUCUUCGCGUUCUUAUUCUUAUCCCUUCAUGAGAUAAGUUAGUCUAACAAUGAAGCCUCGGGGAAGAUUAGGGGCAGCUCGAAGAUGGCCUUGAGAGAAUAAAAGCAUUCUGCCAGGGGCACGUCAAGAAACAACACUUGGGUCUAUAAUUAGUGUCAAAAGAGUAUGAUCCAAACCUCCAUCGAGAUAGGUGCGAGCGUGCUUAGACAAGAACUGAAUUUCGAUUGAUUGCAAUUUCUUUGUGGUUACUACUUGGAUAUAAUUUUAGGCGCUCAGUAAAUAGUAGGUUGAGACCACAACUCCUAGUUUGUCUCUCGAGGUGCUGCACUUGUGGGUAAUGAGUCCACAAGAACUAAUGUUCCUGUUAUAAUAAUCAAGGCGAACAAAAAUGGGUAACUCAAUAAAGAGUUGGUGAAUUAAAGAAAGAUAUUAUAUUAUGGCUAACUCAAAUAAGAGCCGGUGUAUUAAAAAUCACUUAAAAAACUCUUGAUACAGAGAAACUUCUUACUCUUAUUCUUGUAGAAUGCAACUUAAAAUAUGUGCAAAAAAAAAAAAGGACUUUAGAUCUCGAGUUUCAAGAGAUCGGUGCAACCAUCGCAAGUCCGCCUAGGAUAAGCUGGGCACCUACUGAAUGACAAGUGGCAAAACUAGUUCAUUUGGUCAAGAAGUUAGAGAUGCGAACGAUAAUUAUUCUAACCAGAAAUUAAUUUUUGGAAUAAUUUCUAUUAUUGAAUGAAUUUCUAAGUAAAAAUAUGUGUUUGAUAAUGACACAACGGUCAACGACCGAUGAUCGGUGAUAGGCGUCGAUGGUAGCGACUAGAAACUGGUGACUGUUGGCAGUGGCUGCAGGGAUGGCAGCUGGCAACCCACGGCGACGGUCGAGGAGUGGUGGCAAGGUAUAAUGAAUGGCGGCUGGCAACGAUGGAUGGGCAACCAGCUAGUAGUGAGGACGAAUGGUGAAAAUAGUUUUUAUUUCUCAUUUAUAUUUCAAAAAUAAAAAAAGUAAAAAAAUUUCACUUAUAAUUUUUGUUCCAAACCUAUUUCUGGAUUAGAAAUCUAUUCCAAAAAUAAAAAAAUGAAAUAAUUUUACCAAGCGAAUUUCUGUUCCGAAAAUAAGUUUGGAAUAGAAAUGAUUGUCAUGUGUACCCUAAAUAACUCAAUAGCCCCCAAGCCGUUGCAUCCGAUCAGCAGUCUGGGCCUUUGAUAAUGAAUAGGUGACUUUCUCUUACAAAAGUUUGACUUAAAUGUCAAGAUGGUCAAGCCAUUUUUUAAUAACCAAAAUGAAACAACCGGAACAAAAUAACAAAAAAAAAAUUAUGAAUAAAUGAACAAGUAAAUUAUAUAUGAAUUAUCCUGAGAAAAUUAUUCAAUCAAUUAUAAACUUUUCAAUUUUGCUAAUUUAGAUACAAACCUUCACGCAAAAUUCUAAUGUGGUAGUCGAGUUACCGUUGUUAGCGUUGGAAGGAUUAUAUUGAAAAUUUUGUGCAAAUAUUUGUGAUUAAAUAGACAAAAUUAAAAAUUUUAGGACUAAAUAAACAUGUGUACGAUAGAUUUGAGAGUGUUUGGAUGUCAUGCGCAACAUCUUGAAGUUGGCAUGAGAUGUCUUCAUAACUUUGAAUAUGCCGUAAUGACGAGUGAUCUAAUAAAACUUCACUUAAAAACUAGCAAAGAAGAAAGAUAAAAAACAGGAGAGGAAGGUGUCGCGCCCUAAUUUGUGUAUGCAGUGAUCAUGCCAUAUUCUUUUUUCCCUUUUAAGCAAAUAAAGAUAUAUUCAUAAUUAACCAACCGCUCAUGAGUGGGUCCAGAUAUAUUUGGUUUACCCGUGGAAGUGAAUAUACAUGCGAAAAAUUGCAAAGUGUCGAAGAUUAAAAAAAAAAAAUCUAAAAAUUAUAAUUUAGGUUUCGCCGCGUGGUACUGUUAUCAUCUAUGUUCGUUUGGGAUUAAACAAAAGUAAAAAUUGUGCUUUUUUGUUAAAAAAUUAAAAUGUCAUAUUAAGUUUGAGGAUUUAUGAGAGCACAAUAUGUUAACCUACAUCUUCUUUUUUGACCCAAAGAAGAAACAAAAUCGUCAUGCAUGAUUAAAAAAGAUAUGGUUGAUCAUUUUGAUUUUUUUUUACCUAAAAAAAAAAGAUAUGGCUGAUCAGGAAUUUUUGUAUAAGAUAUCGCAUCGGAAGGGGUUUCGGAAUCUUGCCUCAAAUCUAGAAGAGAAAAAAAAUACACGAACUGGAAGGUGAACUGAUGCCGGCGUCCAUGGAUUCUCCAUCUCCAAAGAGGCUCCGCUCUGAUCCUGAAGCCGAAUCUGCAGACAAGGUAACGAAUUUUCAGUUGAAUACACUGGCUGAUAGAGCAAAAGUAGAGCUUUCUUCUUGGUAGGGUUAAUGGGUCAUCAAUAUUCCUUAUCUCGUUGUUUCUGACAGUAAGCUGAGUUUUUUCUUACGUUUGUUUGUCCAAUUUUCCUCCUUCCUAUUUUCCAUCGAUCUUAUUUACGGAUUUUUCUGACCUUAAUUUUUUUUCUCUGGUGAAACUCAACCCAAAGGAUCGGAUCAGCUGUUUGCCCGAAGAUAUUAUAGGCUUUAUAUUAUCUCUUCUAACAUCUAGAGAAGCACAAGCGACUUGUCUUCUUUCCAGAAGAUGGAGGCAUUUGUCUACUUGUCGGGUCACCAACCUUGAUUUCGACCGGUCUGACUUAUUCACCGAGAUGAAAGAUAAUUGCAAGUUUGCGGAAAAGGAGAAGGCAAGAUAUGUGGAAUGGGUGGACAAUGUCUUGCAGUGUCAAAGUGGAGGAUACCAUUUGCGUAGAUUCAUGUUACGCUUUGAUCUGACUAUCUCAUAUAAGUCUCAUAUCGAUCGAUGGAUUAGGUUUGCGUUGACAAAGCGAGUUAAAGUUCUCCAACUAGAUUUUAGGCCGGCCUCUUUUAAGGAUUUGAGGUCUGAUUGUGACCCUAGUCACUUGCCAUAUCCGUUAGGGCAUGAGACACUUAUGGAUGCUGAUGCAGGGUGUUUGCAACGGGCUUCAGGUCUUAGUAAUUUUGGUUUGAACCCUUCUAGUUCUUGGCAUGUUGGCUUAAGGUAUCUCGAAGAGCUCACCUUGUAUCGAGUCACUGUGGAGGGAGAACUCAUUAAGCAAUUGCUUGCCAAUUGUCCGAUUCUAGAGCGAUUGAUCUUAGUAUUUGCUCGUACUUUGAAUAGGCUUAGAGUAUCUGGCCAAUCACUGAAGCUGAAAUACUUACUCAUUGGAUGUUGUGACGAUCUUGAACGUGUUAAGAUUUACGAUACAGAUCUUGUGUCCUUCACUUUUGAGGGAGUGAAAACUCGAUUGCGUUUGUACAAGCUUCCCCAGCUGUCUGAGGUGUCUAUUACAGGAUGUUUAUGGGAGCUUGUGGAUGUUAUGCGGUCUCGGCUUUCAAGACUUCCUUGUCUGCAUAUUCUCAAUCUGAAAUUUUUUUAUUCACCUAAUGUAAGAGCAUUGAUUGAUUUUCAUAAGGUUUCAUAAGUUAUUUUCUUAUUCCAAUAUUUGUUAGUCUUUGAUUCUCUAUUUGUCUAAUUCGUAGGAAAACCUACCUAUUCGUCAACUACCUAAAUUGACAAGUGUCAAGCAAUUGAAACUGACUGUUGACGGAUCUGCAGAUGCAAGUCUACUUCCGUUGGCUGUCAUGAUCAAGGCAUGUCCGUACUUGCAGAGUUUUGUGUUAGAGGUGGGUUUCCGGGCCUCAUUCAAGUCUUCAUCACUUUAGGCAUUAGACAAAUGCAUUAUGACUGAAUAUGUUAAACCAAGUCACUGUAGAAUCCUAUUCUAGUCUCUGCAAACGGGUGAGUUAUUGAGUCAUCAUGUGAUUGGUAUCUGCUUGAUGUGACAAUCCGAGACAUACUUUCUUUUGCAAAUUCUUUCUUCCAUUGACAUUCUCCAAUGCAUCAAUAUCUUAUGGUAAUUAAUAAUAUAUUACAUUCCUUUCGCCACAGUUAAUAGACCCAUGGUGGAUGCCACGCAGGCAGAGAAGAGAGCUGAAAAGAGUUGUUAGACCUCUCCCUCUCCAUCGAUACCUUAAAAAAGUUGAAUUCUACAAUUAUUACGAUAGACAUUCUCAUCUCGAACUAGUGACUUAUCUUAUUGCGAGUGCCAUUGCCCUUGAGAAGUUAGUGGUGAAUACCUGUGACAAAGAGUAUGUUUCGGGGGAAUGGAAAAAGUUGGAGGAACCUAGAGAACGGGCUUUGCAACAACUCAAGGGAAAGGUACCUUUAAAGAUUGCUCUGAUGAUUAAUUAAUGGAACAGAGCCUCAUGGUAUCCAUACUGUUGACGCCUUAAUUUUAUUUAGGUUUAUUAUAUUAAUUAAUUAAGUUUUUUUAAAUAAUAUAGAAAUAAAAAAAAUAAAAAAAUAACAAUAAAAAACAGCAAAGCAAAGCAAAAGAAAAGCAAAAAGAAAAAGCAGCCUCUGCAUGGGCCUUCGGCCCAUCUCCGCCUUAGCCCAGCCCGGCCGAGUCUUCUUCCUCCUUGCGCCACUGCAACACACGCGCGGGCAGGCGCGACGCCGGAGGAGGAUGAACAGACUGCGACGCACGUGGAGCAGAGGAGCAGUUGGCGUCAACGGGACGUGACCGGAGGAGGAGAUGAUGGCGAAUGGGACGGCGAUCCAACCGGCGGGUCGAGCCUCGCCGACCGGCCACCCCUCGCCUAUAAAUAGAGGGGGGCCACCGUCGACUGAGGAGGAGGCCACAGAGGGGGAGGUAGAGACGAGAGAUUCGAGAGAUUCGAGAGAGAGAGAGAGAGAGAGAGAGAGAGGUCAGCCGAAGCUCGAGGUCCCCUGAGAGACUUCGGGGAGCUCGAGCGUAGGGUCAGCCGUGGCGUGGUGAACUCGGAGGGGUCCCCGAGAGACUUCGGGGAGCUCGAAGGGCGAACCCGAGGGAGAGAGAGAGAGCCCCAGCCAGAUCUGACCAAAACCAGGCCUCGCCGUCACCGUCGUUGCUCGCCGUGGCCUCCACCAUCGCAGAUCAAGACCCCAGCUUUGUCGUUGCUCGCCGUGGCCGCCACCGUCGUAAAUCAACCCCUGCCGUCGCUGUCAUUGCCUCCGUUCAAGAAGGUAAAAAAAAAAAAAACCGUCGCCGUUGUCCCUGCCGCCCAUCGUGACCCCAUUCUGUCGCCGUCGCCGUCGUCGUGGUCCCUAUUGUCGUUGCCAUCACCGCCGUGGCCGUCGUCACCGCCGUAUCGCUUCGGUCUCCUCCCUGGCGCCGCGGAUUUGCAAACCCUAGGGUUUGCGAUUUUCCGGGUCGCGAAGCGGAUCCGGACCCGGAAAAUCGGGUAGGGUUUGCAAUCUGAGGGGCGGCUGGAGGACGAGUCGGGUGCCGGAGCCGGGUCGGGUAGGGUUUCGCCGGAAAGCCAGGUCGCGGAGCCGGGCCGGGUGUCCCCGAACGCUUGGCCACGGCGUCGUUUUGUUUAAUAUUCUAAUAAAUAAAUAAAUAAAAGUUAGGCCCGUGUAGCGGGCCCGUCUACGUUUCGGACUGGCCCGGGUCGGUCCCAACCCGCGGAUCCGACCCGGGUCAGUUUUAUUUUGUUUUAUUAUUUUAUAUUAAAAUAAUAUUCUAAUAAAUAAAUAAAUAAAAUGUUUUAUUUUCAAAAAAUAUUUUUAAAAUGUUUUAUUUUCCAAAAAAAUCGAGAAAAAUAAAAAAUAAUUUAUUUUCCAAAAAUAUUGAAAAAUAUUAAAAAAUAUUUUAUUUUCCAAAAAAUAAAAAAAACCAAAAGUAUUCCAUAUUUUCCAAAAAAAGGCCAAAAAUUCACGAAAAAGCCAAAAAGACUUGUAUUUUCCAAAAAAAAUAAAUACCAAAAAAUCCCAAAAAAUUCCCUUUUGUGUAAAAAAAAAUAGAAAAAGACCCAAAAAAUGUUUUUCCUCCCCCAAAUUGCAUGGAAAAUUCCUCAAGCAUCCAAAAAACCUCAAGGUUUAAACAAGAUUAGGUACCGAAAGGGCAUUAGUGAUUAACUAGUAUAAUCAAGUCUCCGAUCCUAAUUUCUCUGGUUGCGCAAAAGUGAGUAUUUCUCCCGAUACUUCGCUUGGGUUCCUAAUCAACUCAACCCAAAUUGAUUAGUGACAACUCCAUUUUAAAAAUUGAUUUACAGGUUAAAAACUUAGAUUAUUAAAGUCGUGAAUUGGUGGACUUGGGAGAGUCUGGGCAUAACUAAUUUCAGCCAAGCCAUUAGCCUCCUUAGGCACCCGCCCCUGAUGUGGGCGCCGAAAAAAAAGAGGUCGCGACACAUACAAGUCAUAUGGAUGGCAUUUUGCAACCUACUCCUCUUCCCCUUUUCAAGGUUUUCUUUUUUUUUCUUUUUCCUUUAAUUGCAAAUAUAAGUUUGUUUAUUAAUAAUUUAUUGUUUUUUGAUUUUAUUUUAGAUUUUUAAGUUAUGCCAUGACUCAAAGCCAAGAAUAAUGGAUGUUCGUGCACUUCUCGUGUCAUUUUAAUCCAUCAAGGACUCCAAAACAACCACCAUUUUGUGUUUGCUGGGUACUUGAUUAGUCAUUAAAGUGAUGGUAAGAGAAAAUAGACAUGUCACUUUCUCAUGCGCUUUUUGGAUGCCUCCCAAUCUAUAUGUGGUCUCAGUUUGGUGUCUCAAUUUGCAAGGAAGUUAGAGAUAAUUCUCUAGAAUAUAUUCCUUUGUUAGAGAUAAUUAUUUAUAUUAUGCAUAUACCUCCCUUUGAUUGUGAAUAUCAUUGAUUAAUAUGUUAUAUAAGAUAAUUAUUUAAGAAAGCCAAUUUAGGCUUUCUCUACAUAUAUAUUUUUGUUAGUCUAGAUCCAUUCUUCUCAUUCAUUCUCAAUUGGUAACGAAACCUCCCUCCGUCCCUCGUUUCUAAGCUUUUUUCUCUCUUCUAAGCCCAGCGAGCUGUGCGAAAAUAAGAUUGUCACAUCGAGUCAAUACUAACUACUUGAUUUCACGACUCCUCGCCCAUAUGAUCGGAUACAAGUUGGAUUCGAUAAGGGGCUUAGCUUAUUCUCUCCUAUCCUACCACGUGUGUCGAUGGCUAAAUAUAUGAAGACUUAAUGAGGUCUGAAGAUCCACUUCUACACAAAACUCCGAAAGUAGGGACGUGCCCAAGUCACGAGAGUCGGCAGAAGUAGACUUUCCAUCUUUCCAUUCAUCAACUUAAAGCCAAUUGCUUGGCAUUUGUUAAUUUAGGCAAUUGACGAUUCCACGGUCCCUUUCUUGCGAGUAGGGUUAGGUUCCGUCUCAUACAAUAAGUUUGAGGCGCUGAAACCAUGGCUACUUAAAUGAGCAGUCCACAAAUACCUCCAUCUCGGAAUGAAACAGAAGUUGCUUGUGUUUCUGUAAGAUGUCAACUGGAAUAUAUACGACCUAGAAUUUCAUCUGGCUGAUAGCUAAUUUAAGCCCUAGGAUUGAGUCUCACUGACAAAGGAAAAAUGUGGGAAAAUGGAGAUAGAAAGCAAGCAACAAUUUGGAGAUAUGAUUGAGGGAAAAGAUGAAGCAGUGAAGUUCAUCGAAGAAGAAAACUCAAUGUUUGUAGAAUGGCAGGAAAAAAAUAGAAAAAUACUAAACUCAUGGUCGAAUGAACAAAACAAAGAGGAUUAUAGUGUCGAUGGUAAGAUGAUCCGGAUUCCGAUGCACCCACACCGAAGAGAAAGAUGAACUUUUGCCCAGUCACCCAAUUAAAUAAAAAAGGAAGUUACAAUUUAUGCUAAUUUAGGACAAUUUAUAGCUAAAGGAAGAAAGAAACGUGCAUCCAAGAGUAGUUCCCAGCUCAAAAAUGGAACUUUUUUGCACUAAAAUUCAUUACCUUGUCAUGAGAAUCUGCUUCAAAUUCAGAGUAGCACCUCUUUCGAAGAUGGAGAAGCAUACAUUCCAGCGCUAUUCAGCUUUCAAUACAGCAAUUUCUUUUCUUCCUUUAGCGUUUUUAUAACUAACUACUACCGGGGAGACAGUUCGGAGUACUAACGAAACUCGUAAGGGUAAUCAAUAACGAGAUCCUGAAGUCAAAUAGUUGCCUUCUUCUUGGCUUUCCUGCUGAAUUAUAUAUUUGUUUGCUGGAAAAGAAACAGCAAGCAGCCUUUCUGAUGGAAAAUGUCGCUUUGAAUGCUGUUGUUCUGCUUUAACUUUGUUCGUGGGCUAGGUUACAAAGAAGCCGCGUGGGUCUUGAGCACAAAGACAUGUACAGACUUGUGUCGUUUUGAAUAUUAUCUUGAAGUUAUUUCUUAAGUAUGGUUAGAGAUGUGCAAAUUGUACAUCCUCACUGAGGUUGAAUUUCUUUACCUUGCGCAGUACGGUAAGGAUACUUGCCUUGCCCACACAUUGGCAUAUAUAUUUUAAAUGAUAUUGCUAAAAAGGUUUUAUACAACAAAUUUAAUGGACAAUUUUUAUAAUUUUUUUAAAAAUUAAUUUGUUAAUUAUUUUUAUUUUUAAGAAUAUAAUAUUUAUUUUUCUUUUUUCUUUUUUCUUCUUCUUCUUCUUUGGUCAGCCGCCGGCCACGACGACUGCCGGCGGCCAGCCACAAGCGAGCCUCGAGCUCGCCCAGCUCGCCGACGUCGGCAAGCUCGAGUCUUGCCAGAUCGGUGAGGCUCCAGAUCCGGCGAGCUCGAGGCUCGCCAGCGUCGGGCGAGCUCGAGCUCACCCCUCGCCGGAUCUAGCGAGGCUCUAGCUUUGCCGAAUGUCGACGACGCCUCCGCCUCGCCAGAUCUGGUGAGCUCGAGGCUCGCCGACAAGUUUGAGUCUCGCCAGAUCGGUGAGGCUCGAGCCUCGCCGGGCAUCGGCGAGGCCUCCGCCUUGCCAAAUUUGGCAAGCUCAAGCUUGCCCGACGCCGCUCACCGCUGGCAAGCUCGAGGCUUGCUUGGCCGGUCGCCGGCCAUCGCCGUGCCAGCGACCGGAGGAAGAAGAAAGAAAAUAAUAAUAAUAAUUAUAAUAAUUAUAAUUUCGGUUUUUAUAAAAAAAAAAAUUUGUAAAGUUAAAGAGAGGAGAGAAAUGGUGAGGUUUUGAGUGAAAAUAAAUGGGUUAUUUUUAAUGGGUUGAUAAAUGGGUCAUAAAUAGGUCAACUCUCUAACCCAUUUAAAACCCAUAUAUCUUAGUCUUGACCCAUUAAAACCCAUUAUGGGUGCUUUAUGAAAGAAAGCUUGACCCAUUUAGCCAUAAAUGGGUCCAUAAAUGGGUUGUGCAACCCAUUUAACACCUCUACAUGAGGCAUAUAACAAGCCAGUUAGCGUUUGCAAGGUAAUAUCUUUCUGCCUAAAAUAUGCCUUGCUAGUACCUAUUUCUGAACCACAUGUUUUUGUUUUACCUCAUAUGCUCGAAUUCUAUUCUAUUCUUAUUAGAGGAAUUGAGAUUAAGUUGUAAUUUGAUUAGUGACUUUGACGUUUAAAGUUCCAUGAUGAUAAUUGACAGUUUAUCGAGUACUACUUGACUUAAGAAUUUACACAGACAAAAUGGUCCAUCGGUACUUUUUGAAGAAUCUGAACCUAAGAAUAGAUCUAAUGCUUCUAGUUCUUUUUGCUCAACCUAAUUCUGUUCCUUAACUGGUACUUCAUAUUUGCUCCUUGACACGUUAUGGGAAAUAUAUGGCAGGUAAUAUUUCGUUUGGAAGUUAAGUUGCCAUUGGAAUAUAUGGUUUGAUAAACUGCUUAGGGUUCAUCCUGUGGAACAUAGCACCGUAGAACUCUUGCAUUAAGCCUAUUGUGUGUGCACACGUAAUCAUUUGAAUAUAUCUCCGUCAAAUUGAUGCAUGAGAAUUCAAGCCCCCCAUCACUUUGUCGUGUGAAUUUACUAUGAAUGUAAAUACUAUGAGACACGGAUACUUUUGUUUAGGGACUGAAUCGGUUCCUAAUUUUUUAUGUGAUAAAUGCCUAGGAAAAAAAUCAAAAUUUAGGUGUCAAUAGUCAGGAUGACAGUAUCUAUGAGUUGAUAAUUUGAAGAUUUCUUUUGAUUUAUUUUUUUAUUCAUCAAAAUUAUUAUCUUUAACUUUCACCAUAAUUAUAAGUGAUGAUAUCUCUAUCCAUAAACUGUGUACCAUAUCAAUGAAGGGAUCGAGCAGAAUUUUUACAAAAGUUGAUCAUUUAGAGAUUUUCUUUUGAUUUGUUUUUAUUCAAUUUACAAAUUGCUAUCUAUUAUCUUUUAAUUUCCAUCACAAUUACAGGUGAUAUCUCUAUAUAUACUGCAUAACAUAUCAAUGAAAAGUAUGCUUGAUCGACUCAAUUCUUUGUUUUAGUUUGAUAUAUUCUAGAUAUCUUCACAAUAUUCUAGAUAUCUCUACGUUGGAGCGCUGUCCCUUCCCAAAUGGAAAAGAACAAUUUGAGUUUGUCUUCUUCUUCUCUUAGUCACUCGCAGGUCCAACACGUAACUGAUCGCUGCCCAAUUAUCUUAGCAAACAAGUGCUUCAAGCCACCUAAAAUGUUUAUAUUAGGCAAUUAGAAAAGACUGAGAAGGUGAAGUCAUUUCCAAAGAAUUCGAAAUGUAUCUUCCUUAAAAUUCAUUCAGCUUAUCCUAAUACGAUCACAUCAUGGAGUAAACGUGUCCAUAGGCUUUAAAUUUGUUCAAUUUGCUCUCAUUCGCGUCGAGUGUAUGAUCAAGAUGUCAAAUUGACGAAAUUCUAAAAGUAGCUAUUGGGGACAAGAGGCAGCCAUCCCUAAUGCAUUUCUCUAGGUACAACCACGGUAGUUGUUCCUAAAGGCCCGUCAACGGUUUUGCAAAGCAACCGCCAUUUCUCUUCGGGAGAAGACGGGGUGACUUGGGACGUGUCGUCACUGAUAUUGGGAAUGAUUUUGCAAUUCUACCUUUUAGAAAUGGUUUUGGCCACACCCCUUGUCCAUUCUCAAGUUCCAAUUUUGACUCUGGAGUGAGAAAAUAGAAGAUGCAUAAUACAAGCCAAGGGGGAAAAUAAUAAAGAUUAAAAUUUAACUCAUUACAUUUUUGCCAAUUCAAUCCUAAAGCCAAUUUAGUCCUAAAUAUUUUCACAUUUUCCUAAUUUAGACAUAAAAUCGUUAAUAUGAACUCCGGUCAUCCUUUAAAAAUCUUUUAGAGUUUUUUAGUAACUAUUUAUUUUUUCUUUUGUAUUUCUUUUACUUUUUUUUUUUUUGGACUGAGGGUCAACAAUGGUCGCUGCUGGACCCUAUUGGAAAAGAAAAGAAAAGAAGAAAACCAAAAUAAUUAUUAAAAAAUAUAUAAAAGAGAAUGUCCAUGUCUCCAUCGAUCAUAUCACAUAGGGACGUUGAUAUCCACGUUAGUAAUUUCCGAAUUAAAUUGUCUGGAUUGACUCAAGUGACAAAACAUUAAAAAAUGUGUAGGAUUAAAUUAUCACAAUAAAAAUGUUUAGAAUUAGUAUAAGUAUAAUAAAUUUUAAAAAAAUGUGGUAAUUUUUCCAAAGACAAGACUAAGGUAUCUUCUGAAAUAUCCAAUAUCAAUGCCGACUAUGACGCUAUCCACCUCUCACGUAUUCAUCUAAUAGGAUAAGGAGAAGAAAAAGAUGAUAUUAUUAAGGCCCUCCUCGGUCGUGCGAAUUGGUCGAUUCCUCCCGCACGCUUCCCUCCCUUUCUUGCCCUCCAAGAUCGUAGACCGACAAAAAGUCUGAUGUCUCGUGGGCUCGAGACAGCAGCGCAUCCUAAUGCCACGUCACGUUUCUGGCCCUAAAUUAAUUUCCCAGACCCUACCUGACUCGCCCAGAUUGUCUGUUCUCUUUCCUCUUCCCCAAGGCCCGACCCUGUUAAGAUAUUCGGGAAUUCAAGAGAAUCAAAUGGUUAAACAAUGUGUUGAGCCAGAGACAAAUCAAAGAUUACUGUAGUAGACAAGCAAGCAGCAGACUAUGAGGAUGGGAAUCUACGCUCUGUCGUUUUCCAAUGGUUAAGCAAUGUCUUACUUGUCUAUUCUUGACCUAAAUUGUCGUGAUUUGGGGGAAAAUAUGUAAAGUCUCUUUCCUCUUUUUGUUUUUAAUGGAUAGCAAAUUAAUUAUUCUCAUCCGAUUUGUUGAAUCAUCUGCUCACAACUCACGUCACAUGAACUUGUCUUGAAAUGUGCAUAUGUAAUUACACGACAAGACAUCCAUGUCAAAAAUAGUCUGUUUUGAGUCUCAAUUUGCAUCUCUAAUGAAAUUUAUUGAGAUUAUAUGGACACAUGGUCAUCUAUUGAAUCUUUUUCAUUUUAUGUGAUCUCGAAAUGCUUAUCAAGCGUGUUUAAUGUUGUUUAACGUUGAAUUUUCAACCAAUUGAUUUUCAAAUUUUCUAAAAUAUAUAUCUAUCUAUAUUUAGCAUCACUAUACUCGCAUUGGCUCAUGAUUUGAGGAAUUCCAAAUUCCCUUUUGUCUCCAUUUUUUUUUGUAGAGAAACGUGUAUUAUAUGUCUUCUCCAUGAGGAAUUAAUGAUUGUGAAAGAAGUGCAUUCUCAUUUCAAAAUCUUCCGAUACUUUGUGGCAAGAUGGCUGAUUUGUCGAACACUGCCAAUAUCUAUGUCGGAUCCAAUCUCCCGUUGUCUUGAUCCUGACUUUAUAUUAGCAUUAGAUUUCAAGACCACAGUUCAUCAUUUUGUAAUGUUGGAUAAUAUUAGCAAUAAUACUAUUACCCACUUAAGCGGAAUUCAACUAUGAAAAUAAAAUAAAGCAAAAUAAAAGGCACAAAAAGGUAUUCUGGUGUAUUAGAGUCGACCACUAUAUUGCACUCAUACUAGGAAGACAACUCUCUUCACGCUCCUUAGCAAGCAGAUUGGAACAUGCCAUCUUAUUUUAUUCUCGUUUCCUUGACUCCGUGUUUCAUUAGGAAGCAAUCGCAAACAUAAUCAAUAAAAAUCAUGUGAUGAUCCGAAAAAUCCUGUUUGAUGUUAGGACAAUACUUAGCAUGCCGAUGACGGACAUUGAUGCUCAUCCUUCAUGUGGAUCUAAGUCAAGAUAUGGCAAUCAAUUUCAAGAUUCGAAAAAGAUGGAACAUACAACAAUAAUAAUAAUAAUAAAAGAAGAAGAAGAAGAAGAAGAAGAAAUGUUGGGUCUUUGAUUAAAGUUUGAAUGACUUGAGCCGGCGUCCGAAGCUCGCAGGAUCAUUUUAUAUAAUGCAAGCGCAAGAGCAUUGCACUACCACAGACCCACGAGAAAAACGAAAGGACGCUCUUGUCCUUCUUCGUCUCCUCCACCGCCGCCACCAUCAUCGACCUCCCGAACUCGACGGGCGAGCAUGGAGAACGGGGCGCCGGCCUGGAAGUUCCGGGGCAACGGGGGGCUCUCAGCCGCGACGGUCAUCACCGUCCGCGGCGUCCUCUACGAGCUGAUGGCGAAUCUCAACGCCGACGACGGCCGCACCGUGGUCCCGCUCGGCCACGGCGACCCUUCCUCCUUCCCUUGCUUCCGCACGGCCCCCGCCGCCGAGGACGCCGUCGUCGAGGCUCUCCGCUCCGGCAAGUUCAACUGCUACGGCCCGACCGUCGGUAUUCUUCCCGCCAGGAGGUAAGAAGGCGGUGUCGCUCGAGAUUAUCAGGAUUAGAUUUCUCGUUUAUGUUCGCGACCCUUUUUGGCUUGAAUCAAAAGGGGAACAGGGAAAAAUGAGAUUUGAGAAUUGUGUACUUUAAAAAAAUAGCAUUCUAAGAAUGAAAGGCCAAAAGAUAUUUUCCUUGUCUUUUGAUUUUUCAGGAUUAUAUUAUAUUACUGCGAAUGAAAAUAUUUUUUAUUAAUUCAUUAUUUAAUCGACAUAAAUAAUCAUUUAAAAAAAUAUUUUUCAAAUUAUUUAUUUUUAAAGCUUAAGCUUUAGAUUAGUUAUCUGUCUUGUGAAAUCUUGACACGAGCAGAUGACAUGCUCUGUAUAAGCUUCGUGAUAGCAUGGAUCGACUCGUGCUUCUUGUGGUCUGGACCGUUUGUUUAGCCGUGCAGCGUACUCCCUAAGCAUGUUAUUUCGCAUCCUCGAUCUUCCUAGUACCUAUGAGUCGAUUGUUGAUGCGUUUAAGGUACUGACGGAGUCUUCUACUUACUAAUUCCCAGGAUUUACGUUCAUGUGGUCAUACAAGAUUUAAGAAAUCGUACAGUUAAAUAGUCAAUGAUUGAGAGGCUGAUGAGUGGCUAGUUUGGAAGGUGACUCAAUUGAAGUUUUUGGACCUUAUUGCGUGUUCUGUUUCCUUCGCAACGACUGCAUGGGGUCAAAUGCAAAAUGCCUAGUUCUGGCAGUUGUUUUGCUUCGAUUGUACGAACCAUUUUGGUUUGUUCGUGGUUGUAUCUUAACAGCAGAGUAGCUGUUAUUGCCGACCAAUAUCAACUGUAUCGUCAAUCAACUCGAAUCAUCAUAUUGCUAGCAAAUACAGUGUAUUGAAAACAGAGAGUAAAUGAUGAAACCAAGCUUUAUUAGUGACUAUAGGAAGUAGUCAUUGUUAAUGGUUUGGAUAAAGAUUGAAUUUUAUGGAAAGGCCGCUAUGAAUGUGUUGAUCUAGGUGCUUUCUGUAGGUUAAAUAGCAAUUUAUUUCCAGACGACAUGUUUGAGUGAGCUAGGCUAAUCGGGGGCACCAAAUUCUACAGGGCUAUUGCUGAUUAUCUCUCUUGUGAUCUCCCGUACAAAUUAUCACCAGAUGAUGUUAAUCUGACACUCGGGUGCAAACAAGCAAUUGAAGCCAUAUUAACAGUUCUCGCUUGCCCUGGGGCCAAUAUAUUGCUUCCAAGACCUGGAUUCCCAUGCUAUGAUGCAUUUGCUAAACACAGCCAUCUUGAGACACGAUAUUUCGAUCUUCUUCCAGAUAAGGGUUGGGAGGUUGAUCUCAAGGGUGUUGAGGAUCUUGCAGACGAGAGUACUGUCGCCAUGGUUAUCAUCAAUCCUGGCAAUCCUUGUGGAAGUGUCUAUAGCUACCAGCAUCUAAAGAAGGUUGCUUUUGCAUUUUGUUUGAGAUCUCUUCGUAUCUUAGCAAGUAGACGAAUUGUGAACAUGGAAAAAUCUAUGACUAUAAGCUGGAAUGGAGCUAAUAGAUUCCGCUGGAGCUUAAUCUAGAGAGCUACCUUGCCUCUUGAGAUGCUCGUUUAUCUCAAGGCAGUGGAAGCUCGAUAGAUUUAGAUUUGUCGCCAGUCACUUUUAUAAUCUUUGGUAUCCACAUUUGUGUUGCAUCAGCUGUUGUUCAUCAUUUUCUUUCUUUCAUUUUUGAAAAAAGGUUGCCGAAACAGCAAGGAAGCUUGGGAUUAUGGUAAUUGCGGAUGAAGUCUAUGGUCAUCUAGCUUUUGGGGAUACCCCAUUUGUUCCCAUGGGUGUUUUUGGAUCCAUUGCGCCUGUCUUGACGUUGGGAUCAAUAUCAAAGAGGUGGAUUGUUCCAGGUUGGCGACUUGGUUGGCUUGUGACAAAUGAUCCAAAUGGUUUUCUGAUAGACACUGGGGUCUCUCUCUCUCUCUCUCUCUGUGCACGCGUGAGCGGAACGCAAUUGCUUGCUUGAUUGUAUAUCUAUUUGGGCCAAAUUAUGUGACUACUAGGGUUGGUCACAGGAUACUUAGAUUGUUCCUUUUCUCUUUACAGGUUCUUAAGUCCCUUAAAGGAUUUCUGGAUAUAUCCUCUGAUCCUCCUACAUUUAUCCAGGUACGUACCUACUCCAGAUAAUUAACCAGUGACUUUCAGAUUUGAAGACGUGGUGUUUUUCAAAAUGAUUUAGUUGCUAGGCUUUUCUGCACUAUUUUUGUAUCACUACCAGAGCGAGUUGUGGAUAUUCUUGGCUAUUCAUUCAGGAAAUGACAAAUUAAUGAGAGCUUUUUCUCUUGAAGAUGGAUAAUUAAAACAAUGGAUACUGCAUAGCAAUGUAGAGUCGCACCCCAAGCAGAACCCCAAUGAUUUACAUGUUUCCUCUCUACAGUCACCUGGUGUAUGUUAUUUUUCUCAGUGAUUUUAGACUGUAAUGCACAAGCUGUGCAUAUUGCUUUUAGAAGUGAUCGAUAUUCCGUCUCAGUCAUUGGGCUUGAUUUAUCUGAACUCACUUUCACUUGAUAAAGUAUUGUUCUUCAUUUAAUCCUUGCAAGAGUGCUUGCUAACUUUUAUUUGUGGACAACUAGCAUCCUUAUCAAAUAACAGCUAAUUAUUUUCUGCUCUUCAUUGUGAUUCUAACAGGCGGCAGUCCCUCACAUUCUUGAAAAAACAAAUGAUGAUUUUUUUUCAAAAAUCAUUUGCAUACUAAGAGAGGCUGCAGAUAUAUGUUAUGAGAAGAUUCAAGAGAUACCUUGUGUCACAUGCCCAAAAAAGCCAGAAGGAGGCAUGUUUGUAAUGGUAUGGGCAUACUAUACACAUACACAUACAUUAUGUAUGCAUAUAUUUUUAUUUUUUCAUCGGUAUAGCGUACACUGUUAUGCAAUUUAUAUUUUUUCUCGAUAUGUGAAAGAUGCCAUUGUGACAGGUCAAGUUGAAUUUAUCAUUGUUGGAGGGCAUAAAGGAUGAUCAGGAGUUCUGCUUAAAACUGGCUAAAGAAGAAUCUGUUAUUGUUCUGCCUGGUAAACUCAGCCUCUCCAAUUGCUGGUGAAAGGAAAAUAUAUUGAUGUUAUUUUUUAUGCAUCUGUUUCAUUUUUCUAACUUAUUUCAGCUUUUUGAAUUUUUCAAACGCGUCCCCUGACAUUUGUUUCUUGAAAUGCACAUUGGUUAAGAAUGCUACAAGGGGCUUCAGAGUGAGAGUCCUGAUGACCAACUUACUUCGCAGAUUUCAAAGGACCCUAAAAUUUUGGAGAAAUAGAAGGGAUCCUAGUGAUUUCAUUUGAAUUUACUCUGUGGAAUUCUUGCGAGCUUAUGCUGAGAUAAUUCCGGAGCAAACCCAUCCCAUUUUCGCCACUUGCUUCUUACUUGUGCAAUGUCCGUAUCCAUCAGAUGAUAAUCGAUGACAUUCGUUUUUGCAAGGAUAGCUGUUGGAAUGAAGAACUGGCUUCGCAUCACUUUCGCCAUCGAUCCAUCUUCUCUCGAAGAUGGCCUGAAGAGGAUUAAGGCCUUCUAUGGAAGGCAUGCCAAAAAAUAAAUGAGCCGGUCCAUGCCGGCGCCAGAAAGGGCUGAGAUCAUCAACUGCUCGUUGGAUCUCGAGAUGCCUCUGUGGCCACGUCGAAGACCUUUGCAAUGUGUGAAACAAGAUUAGUAAAUCCAUAAGAAAGCUAAUUAUCCGGGCAUUUGCUCGGAAGCAGGGGAUGGAGGAGGCGGCAAUCAACCUGACUCUUGAUUCGAUCCGAAACCUCCGUUGCAUUAGCUUUGGCUUGAAUAAAAAACUUCGAUUAAGGGCUUCUUAUUUUGCUGCUCGGGCCCGGAAGCAGGGGAUGGAGGAGGAGGAAAUCAACCUGACUGUUGAUUCGAUCCGAAAGCUCCGAUGCGUUGGCUUUGGCUUGAAUAAAAAACUUCGAUUAAGGGCUUCCUAUUUUGCUGCUCGGCAAAAUGUCAAGCGGCAGUGUCAUUAGGUGAUCAACAACUCCCUGUUGUCGGUCUCAUGUUGUCUUGUGCUUGUACUUUAAUCGUCUCUUUAGAAAUAAAGAUGUGAUGGCAUCAGAUAUGAACGUUCCGAUUUCCAAAUGCGUCGCAAUUCGCCGAUAAUUUCUAUUGGCGGAGCUAAUUACAUCGAGGGAAACUCCUAGGGAGCUCAUGAGGAUAUCUCUACUCGAACGAAAACAUACAAACUCCCUCGAAAUUUGUUGACAUGUAUUGUCGCCUGCAUGCAUGUUGCUGCACAUCAUUCCUAGAAAAUUCUACAUGAAGUAAAUUAGCCUUGUUGUCCAAAGGUACCUUCCCAUCAAACUUAAUCGCCGAACAAGUAAAGCGAAUUUGAUUAUUGUGUACGAAGGCUGGUUUUUGCCUGGAAUUCCUAUUAGACAUGAUAAGGUCGGAUAAAACAAAAAUCAAGCAAUGUUUGGAAAAUCACUGAUGUGUGAUGUCCAAGCUGGAUUUUGAACAGAUGGGUUGAAUGUCAAUGUGAAAGCUCUAUAAUUUUUUAUGUUUGCAACUUUAAAAAUUAGAACAUGCUAAUGGAAAUCACAAAAAGUGUUAAAAAAAAAGUCUUAAACCUUUUGUAUUUGUGCCAAUUGAGUUCUAAACUUUUUUUUAGUGCCAAUUUAAUCUUAAACAUUUUUACUUAGUAUUAAUUCAAUCAUUUCCCAAAAAAAAAAUUCAGUCAUUUCUGGCUAAUUUGAGCUGGAUUUUGCCGACUGACUAUUAGCCAGCUAACAUAGAUAAAUUUUAAUAAUAUUUUAAUAUUUUGCUUUUUUCUUUUUCUUUUUUUCUUUUUUUCCUUCUUCUCCUCCUUCCUUUAGCCGGUGGCUAAACCUCGGCGAUCGGCCAAAGGCAAUAGCCAACGAGGGCGAGCCUUGCUAGCUUGGCAUGAGACUGCCCUCGGGGCACGGGCAGCCUUGAGUUGGCCUUGUGCCGGGCUGGUGAGGCUUACCCUCAUUGUAUCUGACGUGGGUUUAGCCUCGCUCACCGUCGCCAAGGUCCGCAACCAGCUGGAGGAAGGAGAAGAAGAAGGAAAAAAGGAAAAAAAAAAAGGAUAAAUAAGAAGAAGAAAAUUCAAAAAUUAAAAUAAUAUUAAAAAUUGUCAACAUCAAUAGUGAUUGUGCCACAUUAACUUGCCGGCGCCCAGUCAGCAAAAUUCGGCCACAAUUAGCCAGAAAUGAUUAAAUUGGCAUCAAGUAAAAAUAUUUAAGAUUAAAUUGGCACAAAAAAAAAGUUUAUGACUAACAAAUGUAAAAAUGUUUAUGACUUUUUUUUUUAACUCUUUUCCUAUGAAAAUCCGACUAGUGGAGUUAAAAAGUAGCACAGGGCAGCAUACCAAACAAACGUCUUCGGUCCAUUUAUUGGAAGGCAGUUACUAGCCAGUCUUACUACGUUGGAUCCAAUCCUCAAAACCAAAGGGAAAGACUCAAAAGAGGAAGGAGAUGCAUUAUGAUUGGAUUUCUUAAACCAAGUCACCGUAGAAUCCUAUUCUAGUCUAUGCAUAUGGGUGAGUUAAUGAGUCAUCAUGUGAUUGGUCUAGGCUUGAUGUGAUAAUCCAGAGACAUGCUUUCUUUUGCAAGUUCUUUCUUUCAUUGACAUUCUCCAAUGCAUCAAUAUCUUGUGGUGAUUAAUAAUAUAUGACAUUCUUCUUUUGCCACAAUUAAUAGACCCCUGGUGGACGCCACGCAGGCAGAGAAGAGAGCUUAAAAGAGUUGUUAGACCUCUCCCUCUCCAUCGAUACCUCAAAAAAGUUGAAUUUUACUAUUAUGGUCAACCUUCUUAUCUUGAACUCUUGACUUACCUUAUCGCAAGUGCCAUUGCCCUUGAGAAGUUAGCGGUGAAUACCUGUGACAAAGAGUAUGUUUCAGGGGAAUGGAAAAAGUGAACGAGCUUUGCAACAAUUCAAGAGAAAAGUACCUUUAAAGAUUGCUCUAGUGAUUAAUUAACGAAACGGAGCUUCAUGGUAUCCAUAUAGGAGAUAUGGAUGGUGUUUGCAACCUACUCCUCUCCCCUUUUUCAAGGUUUCUUUUUUAUUUUAUUUUAUUGCGAAUAUAAGUUUGUUUAUUAAUAAUUUAUUGUUCCUGAUUUUAUUUUGGAUUUUUAAGUUAUGUCAUAACUCAAAGCCAUGAAUAAUGAAUGUUCGUGCAAUUCUCGUGUCAUUUUAAUCCGUUAAGGACUCCAAAACAACCGCCAUUUUGUGCUUGCUGGGUACUUGAUAGUCAUUAAAGUGAUGGUAAGAGAGAAUAGACAUGUAACUUUCUCAUGGGCUUUUUGGAUGCCUCCCAAUUUAUAUGCGGUCUCAGUUUGGUAUCUCAAUUUGCAAAGAAAUUAGAGGUAAUUCUCUAGAAUAUAUUCCUUUGUUAGAGAUAAUUAUUUAUAUUAUGCAUAUACCUCCCUUUGAUUGUGUAUAUCAUUGAUCAAUAUGUCAUGUAAGAUAAAUAUUUAAGAAAGCCAAUUUAGGCUUUCUCUACAUAUAUAUUUUUGUUAGUCCACAUCCAUUCUUCUCAUUCAUUCUCACUCAGUAAUGAAACCUCCUUCAUUUCUAAGCUUUUUUCUCUCUCUUCCAAGCCCAGCGAGUUGUACGAAAAUAAGAUUGUCACAUCGAGUCAAUACUAACUACUUGAUUUCAUGACUCCUUGCCCAUAUGACUGGAUACAAGUAGGAUUCAAUAGUGGCUUGGCUUAUUCUCUCCAAUCCUACCACAUGUGUCGAUGGCUAAAUAUAUGAAGACUUAAUAAGGUCUGAAGAUCCACCUCUAAUUUGUUUUUUUAUUCAAUUUCCACGUAUAUCAAAUUAUUAUUUUUAACUUCCACCGUAAUUAUGAGUGAUGAUAUCUCUACUUAUACCGUAUAAUAUGUCAACGAAAAGAUCAAACAAAGUAUUCAUAAGUUGAUCAUUUAAAUAUCAAACGGAGUAUUUAUAAGUUCAAUCUCAUAGUCAAGGUUGCCAAGCCAAUUUUUUUAUUCAAUUUCCACGUAUAUCAAAUUAUUAUUUUUAACUUCCACCGUAAUUAUGAGUGAUGAUAUCUCUACUUAUACCGUCUAAUAUGUCAACGAAAAGAUCAAACAAAGUAUUCAUAAGUUGAUCAUUUAAAUAUCAAACGGAGUAUUUAUAAGUUCAAUCUCAUAGUCAAGGUUGCCAAGCCAAUUUUGGAUAAACCCACAUGAAACAAUUGGAUGGAUCGAAAUGGAAGGAAUCGGAAUAAGCAGUGAAUAAUUGAAAAAAGUAAAUCGCGUGUGAAUAAACCAUAAUAAUGUCAAGAGCAACAUCCGGAAAUCGGAAUUGGAUGAUCUAAUGAAACCGCAACUUCAAAACUUGGGGAAGGAGAGAAAGGACAUCGUGCUCUUAACUUUUUUUUAAUUUAGCAUCAUGCCGCAAUCGUUCUCCAGCUACGAGACUUCCGUUUUCCUAAUUCAGAUCCACUCUUUCUCAUUCAUUCUCACUUGGUAAUAAAGCCUCUUUUGUUCCUAAGUUAAUUUUUUAAUUAUUAUUAUUUUGAGGCACCAUGAUUCAUUGCUAGAAAUUGAAGAAAACGAAACUCCAUUGAUCUAUACUAUUAUAAAAAUAAAUAAAUACCGUAUUCCUACUUAUAGGGAAUCUCAAUUGUUUUUGUUUUUUUACACGUAUCUUUGAUUGCUUAUCUCACGAGUAUAACGUCUGUCUACAAACACGCAAGUUCAUAAUUUUAUUUUAUCUCUCACAUAUUUCAAUAUCAAAAUGUAGAUACGCCUUAUGCCAGGACAACAUUCCUAAAAGAUUUCGAAUUUUGGAUUAUUGUUAUUAAUCCACUUAUAAUACAAUAUAUUCAUAUUUUGUAUUUUUGUCAAUAAUUUCUUCUCAUUAUUGAAUGAUUCAAACAUUCCAUAACAAAAUAAUUCACUUGAUCUUUCAAAUUUUGAUUACUUGUGCACACACAAUGCGUAUGCACAUUUGCUGAUAUCAUUAAAUAAUUCAAGUACUUCAUAACAAUGAUGAUUGUGUUCAAUCUUUUAAACUUUUAUUAGGGAAAAUAACACAAAUGAUCUUAAAAUAUUUAUCUAAUGUGCAAUACAAUUCAUGGACUUUUAAGUUGUUCUAUACAAUCUUUGAACUUUUGGUAUAUAUUCAAUUUACUCCAUAAAUAAAAUUAAAUAUUUCAUAUAAUUCAAUAACUAUAUUGAAUAUAUAUUAAAAGUUUAUGGACUAUACUGAACAAAUGAAAUCAUAUUAUAAAUUGGGCUAAAGUCAAAGACAAUCGAACAAAUCAAAAGUUCAUAGGCCAAAUUACAUUGAGCAAAGUUCAAAUACCAUUUGUAUAAUUAUCACUUUCAAUUACUCAUCAAUGCAUGCGCACUUUUGCUUGUAUUCCGAACCAAACAAACAUGCUCUUUUAAGUCUGCAGUAAUGAUGACCAAUCAAGUUUCGGGAGACGAGACAUCUCUAUCUUGUCAUUUUCAUGGAUACUUACCCAUGAAAGUCCAUUCCAUGGGAAUUGUGCUUGCUCUCUAGGUUCGAGCAUUGUCCCUUUGCAAAUUCACAAGAACAAAUUGAUUUUGUCUUCCUCUCUUAGCAACUUGCAUGUCCACUACGUAACUAAAUUAAGCAAUCUCAGCAGAAGUGCUUCAGGCCAUCUGAAAUGUGGGAUUUCGGGCAAUUAAAAAGCUUCAAAAUUGAAGUCAUUUCCAAAGACUCAAAAGCCCUUCCCGUUUGCGUAAAACAUAUUAUCCAGGACAAAGGCAAGCCAUCCUUAAUGCAUUUCUCUAGGGAACAGCUACCGCAAUCACCAUUCCGUCGCUGACGAUCAUCGGUAAUAGUUCUUUUAUGAUUUCAGAGAUGGUUUUGAGCAUGCCUCUCCUCCAUUUUCUAGUCAGGAGCAGCAGUGAUUUUCAGUUUUGACUUGGGUCGAGAUGAUAUUUCAUCGACGGACUAGAAAUUAGAAGAUGCCGGACUUCUAAUGCAAGCCUUGGCGUUAAAGAAGAUUUCUUCUUCCUCCUCAAAACUAUUGAAAAAUCCCACAUUUGCCCUUUAGUUCAUGCUUGGAUCUUUCCAAGCAAAAUUCGCCCAAUAGAAUAUGGAGGAAAAGGAUGACAUGCAGGCCCCCACGGUCGUGCGAAUUUGUCGAUUCCUCUUGGUGCGCUUCUCUCCCUUUCUUGCUCUCAGUGAUCGUAGAUAACCAAAGUUGACGUUUGAACACCUCUGAUAACGAAAAAAGUAUCAAAAAAAAAUCCUAAACUUAUUAUAUUUAUGUCAAUUUGUAUCAAUCGAGUUUAUCUCGCUAAUUUAAGCCGAAAAUCACUAUAUGAAUAUCAGUCAUUCUAUGUGGUACAACCGACAUAAACAUUGAUAUAUUUAUAUAAUUUUUUGUUUAUUUUUUCUCGAAAAUCAUGAUUUUUUUUUAAUAUCUAUAUCAAUAUCGUCUUUAUCACAUAGGAUGACUGACAACAACAUUAGAGAUUCUCGAUUUAAAUUGGCCAAAUAGACUCAAUUAAUAUAAAUACAAAAAAAAUUAUGACUAAGUUGAUUUAAUUGAAAAGUUUAGAACUAAAUUGACGUAAAUAUAAUAUGUUUAAAACUUUUUUAAAACUUUUCCAACCUCCCACGGGUUGGGUCCAAGACAGCAUCUUGUCCUAAAUUAAUUUCCCAGACCCUACCUAAUCCACCCAGAUUAUCUUUUCUUUCUCCUCUUUCCCAAGCCCCGACGAGUUAAGAUAUUCAGGAGUUCAAGAGAAUCAAAUGGUUAUCUUACUUAGCCAGAGACAAAUCAAAGAUUACUUUAGUAGACAAGCAAGCAACAGACAAUGAGAACGGGAAUCUGCACUCGGCGUUUUCUAAAUGCGCCCCGGUGUGUAAAUUGUCGCGAUUUGCGAAUACAUGCGGAGUCUCUUGCCCGUCUUUUUUUUUUUUUUUUUCCUUUCUUUUUCGAUAGUCAACAAAUUAAUUGAUUCUUGAUUGACCUGUUCAAUCAAGCCGGUCACAUCACAAGAACCCGUCUCUUUCGUGGAGUCGGUGGGUGCGGUCUUGUGAAAACACCAUAUACUCAUAAUUAUGAUCUUUAUGUACAUUUCAUAUUUGGAUUGUGCUAAUGAGCGAUCCUGUGACACUUAUCAACAUGUUUAAUUUGGGAUCAUUAAAUUUUCAACCACUUAAUUUCCAAAUUUGUUAAUAUGAGAUAUACAUAUCUUUAUUUUACUUAUGAUUUAUGGGGAUCCCACAUUCCCUUUGUCUCCAUUUUUCAGGGAAAAAACAUGCAAAACCUAUAAUUUCCAUAACAGCCCUAAUAAUCGUGAAAAUAGUGCAUUCACAUUUUAGAAUUUUUUGAAGAGCUGUCACAAGGUGGUCGCUUUGUUGAGCACUCCUGAUAUUUACAUCGGAGUUAAAUCUCCGAUCAUCUCAAUCCCGACUAUAUACUAUCAUUAGACUUUGAGAUCACAGGCCAUUAUUUUGUCAUGAGAUGAUCUAGAAAAAUCCCAUUUGAUAUUAGGACAUUGCUUUGGAUGCUAAAAGUGGACCUUGAUGCUCAUUGUACGUGUGGAUCCAAGUCGAGCUCCAACAUUUUAUAAACAAUUUCAAGAUUCAAAAAAGGAUGGAAUGUAUAAAGACAUCGAUAUAUUAAGUGAUAUAAUGGACUGUAAUUGGCUGUUUAAACAAGUAAUCGUCUUUAAAUACAAUGAAAUCCCGCCGCAUUUCUUAAUAGACCGAUGUUGUAGCUUUCGUGAGAAGAUGGCGCAGUCCUUUGUUCUUUUUUUUUAUCUACGCUCGUGUCAAUUAUUGUCGAAUGACAACAUGCAUUGUUAGUGUAUAUUUUGAAAUUCAAGAGAUACAGAAAAUUCAAACGAACGAAGGAAUGUUCGGAUUCUGCGGUUCCUCCCAUAUUUUUUUUUUCUUUGGUCGAACUCUAAUAGAGGAAUAUGAGAAUGAGUGAUCGAGGGUAUUGACCAACCUUACGAGACUUGAGAUUACACGAUAAAUGGCUGCAAUUGACAUGAUCAAGUAAGUAUUCCCUUCAAGUCAAGUUGUAUUUAUUGUACAGCAUGUCCGUUAAUUCAGAUCAAUCAAUAUUGGCCUUCAUACGUACAUGGCGUCAAGUAAAACGAGAUUCAUGAUGUAGUUUGUAAUUGUGACCAAUAGAUUGGUUAAACAAGUGAGUCGGAUCGAUAAUGGUUCGACUCAAUUAUACAUAUUUGGUGACCUAUAUUUAGUUUGACCUAGCUCACUUUAAUCCAAUUUUAAAACAUUAAUAACCAAAUUAAGAUGAGAUUGCGAGAGUAAGCAAGUGUAAGAUAAAAUAUGGGUAAGGGGGAGUCACGUAAGUGAAUUGAAUCUAAAUAAGUUAAUGAUUUCACUCAGCUUGUCAUAUAUGGAUUAAGAAAAUAAUUUAUAAUUUAAUCUGACACGUCUAGUAGUCAGUUAAUGAUGGUGUUGCUGGAUCCCAGUCACGUGCUGUCUUUCCUGGGGCGGUCAGCUGCACUGCGAGCAGCCGGAGGCUUUUCGCGCCAGCCAUUGUGGUCGCAAAACCGACACUCCGUCGGCGUACGAAGUUCACAGGAUCUUUUUAUACACCGCAAAGCGCAAGAGCACCGCACUUCCACAGACCCACGAGAAAAACGAAAGGACGCUUUCGUCCUUUUUCGUCUCUCCAUCACCAUCAGCAUCAUCAUCAACCUCCCGAAUUCAACGGGGGCCGGCGGGAACGGCAAGGGGAAGGAGGCCAGCAUGGAGAACGGGGCGCCGGCUUGGAAGUUCCGGGGCGACGAGGGGCUCUUCGCCGCGUCGGACAUCACCGUCCGCGGCAUCCUCUACCAGCUGAUGACGAACCUCAACGCGGGCGACGGCCGCGCCGUGGUCCCGCUGGGUCACGGCGACCCUUCCGCCUUCCCUUGCUUCCGCACGGCCCCCGCCGCCGAGGACGCCGUCGUCGACGCCCUCCGCUCCGCCAAGUUUAACUGCUACGGCCCGACAGUCGGUAUUCUUCCCACCAGGAGCUAAAAAAGCGGUGUCGUUUUCGCGGCCCUUUUUGGCUAGAAUCUAAAGGGGAAUAAAAAGCGGCACCUCGUGAAAUCUUGAGACGAGCAGAUAAUAUGCUCUGUAGAAGCUCGGUGAUAGCACGGACCGGCUCGUGCUUCUUAUGGUCGGGACCGUUUGUUUGGCUGCGCCGCCAUAUUCGCUAAGCAUGUCAUUUCGCAUUCUCGAUCUUCCUCGUACCUAUAAGUCGCGAUUGUCGAUGUGUUUAAGGUACCGACAGAGCCGUGUCCCUAAAAAUCACCGGGAUUUACGUUCAUGUGGUCAUGCAAGACUUAAGAAAUUAUAUGGUUAAAGAGUCAAUGAUGGGGAGGCUGAUGACUGGCUAGUUUGAAAGGCGACCCAAUAGAGGUUCUUGGACCUUAUUGUGCGUUUCGUUUCGUUCGCAACAACCGCAAGGGGUCGAAUGCAAAAUGCCUAGUUCUGGCGGUUGUUUUGCUUCGUUUUUUACGAACCAUUUUGGUUCAUUCAUGGUUGUAUCUUAAUAAGCACGGUAGCUGUUAUUGCCGAUCAGUAUCGAUUGUCCUGUAAAUCAUCUCAAAUCAUCAUAUUACUAGCAAAAGCAGUGUGCUUUGAAAACAGGGAGUAAAUGAUGAAACCCAGCCUUAGUGACUACAAGAAGUAGUCCUGUAAAUCAUCUCAAAUCAUCACAUUGUUCUCUUCCUUGCUGAAGUAUGUGAUCAGCUUCAGAAUAUCAUCUCAGUAAUUGCUUGUCAUUUCCGCGAGGGGAAUAUCAUGGACUCAUUCAGAUGAUUUUACCUCUUUUAUGUAACGUGUCAUGAUUAUACAUUUCGUUCCACUGGGUAAUGGCUUGUGAUUGCGGAAUAAAUCAGGUUCUCACGGUAUGGGAGUUGAUGAACUUGUCUUGCCCAUCCAACAGUUGGCAGCGCUUGAUUCUUAGGACGAUGCUGACCAAAUGGCACCUCCCUGGAAUUGCCAAUGUAUUGAGAAGCUCCCCUAGCUCGGAAGUGCUAGAUAUACACAUCAUCCCAGGCGAAGUGCCUUCCAUGGAUGUAAGUAAAUUUAUCCCCAUUCAAAGCUGUCCUCUACAUGCUAUUCUGGGGGUGUGCAAAAUUUUGUGUAACUGUCUGUUCUGAUUUUCUAGGCCCAAGAAGCAUGGCUGCAUUUGUACAAGAUUUGCGAGGGGAACUACUGGGAUUUACAAGAUCGCUCUUUUAGAUGUCUUGCAAACUGCCUCAGAAUUGUCACAGCGUCCAGUGACAUAAAGGAGGAUCAUGUGAUUCAAUUAGUGCAGUUUUUACUCCGUGAGGCAUUUGUUUUGCAGAAGCUUGUCGUCUCUACAGGGCCGAACGAUUCUUCCAUUUCAGUCAAGGAGUCGAAGGAAUUUUCCGACAAGUUGUUGAGUUUUCCCAGAGGUUCUCCUCAAGCUGUAGUUGUGUUUUCUAAUGCAUGACGUUCUUUCCCUGAAUCCUAAGUUUUAAUCCCGAGGUAAUAAGAAGUGGCACCUACCGCAGGGUUGAUUGUGUUACAAUCCUGAUCGACCAGAUUUUGUGAUUGUGAAGCAUAUCUGAUCAAGAUUUCUCGAGUGUUAACUUUUUGGGUUUCGCUGUUCUUCCUUCUGAUUUCUUUCUCUCUCUGGCAACGGGUGUUACCUUUUGAAGAUGCAUUGACAUUAUUGGGAUCGCCUGAAGAGGAGGCUGCUUGUAGAAACUGUUUCUCUGUCAAUAUAUGCUUGGCAGGCCAAUUUGUUUUUGAAGCGGGGGAUUCUGGAGCGACCUCCUUUGACAUUGUAGGUGUAUUCAAUAUCUUGAACUCACUCACAAAAACAUGAAUGUAGAUAAAUUUCGUCCAAUAUAUUACAUUUACAUCCAAUAUCUCUCUGUCCAUGGCAAAUAAAUUUCGUUGAUAUCCCCCCCCCCCCCUUUUUUUUAAUAAUCUUGUUAUUCUUUUUGUUAAAUUAUGCACUGCAUGAAGUACAAAGGUUGCACUGCACUGCCAAAGAGAAAAGUACAGAGGGUGAAAGAAAUGCCCAAAGUGAAAAUGCGCAUCCUGGCAUUCGAAGAGUCGUAAUCACUUGCAGAUAACAUUGUCGUGCGAUCACAAGGCCUAAAGUCAAGCGAUUGUAGCUUCAUUUGUAAUCGCAUAUUGAACAUUAACUGCUUGGAAGUAGAUAAGAUGUGCAAAAUAUCGAGGCCUAAAGUCAAGCGAUUGUAGCUUCAUUUGUAAUCGCAUAUUGAACAUUAAUUGCUUGGAAGUAGAUAAGAUGUGCAAAAUAUAGAAGUUGACGUGUGAGUAAGGGAACCGCGUCACAAACUCAAAUCUAUCUAUUUUCUCACUUUCAGUUUAUCAAUAUAUUUUCGUUUUCGAUACUUGCACUUCCUUUCCCUUUAGAUUCGAUUGUUCUUGAUCAUUGUUAUGCAAUUCAAUGUACCAUCCGAAAUAAUCACUGAACCGGAUUCACAAACACCCAAAGGUUAACCAUUGGCGAAAGGUAUUCUACUAAUUUCUAACGAAACAAUCUUUCAUAUCUCGGGAAGGAAUAAACUAAUUUGGAGUAUUUUAUUUUUUACAGUUUGAGUGUCUAAAUUGUGUUCAAUUCUAUCAUGGUAUUAUAUUGAGGUAAGAGGUAUUUUGAUGGUCUCAAGAAACAAGAAACAUUGGGAUUUUUUAUACAAUAUGGUCGUUCCUUAGAUGGGAAAUUGAUGGUGUACGAUGCAAUAGAUUGGAUCCUGAAGAGAAUAGUGGAUUCCCAAAAACCGGAUUCGACACUAAAUCGAACCCCUAAAACGAAUGCGGAAGACGAGCCCAGGAAGAACAUGUAUCACCGAUCAAAGACACACCAUGGAAUCGAGCGUACCUUAUUGUCCACAGAUUAAACACCAAUGCUGACGAUCGAGGAAAAAUUUUUGAUCCCGUUCUAUCAAGGAGCGUACUGUUAGUUCAAGGGGGAGAAAACUUACGUUGGUUUUGGGAGAGGAGAAAAGAAAAACGUACGUUCGUCCAAAAGGUGCGUUUUCUUUUUCUUUUCUCCCUUUAAAUAUGUCUUCUCCAAAAGACGUGUCCCUUCGGUAAAAGACAUUCCCCCAAAGUUAUAACCCUUCAACAUAUCCCUCCAUCCAUGGGCCUUAAUCUUGUGGGUCGGGCUUUUAGGCCUUAAUCUUGUGGGCCGGGCUUUGGGCGGACGGGCCUUAAGCCCAUCGUCAUACAAAUAAAUAAAACCAACAUCUCCCACUCGCACAUGGUGGGCUGAACAGGAUCCUCUUUACCUCUCUUCAACAUUCAUACCGGUGAAUAAUCCGUGCGAUCAACAUACUUUGAGAGCUCAUUGCUAUACAUCUGUUAGAAAUAUAUAGCAACUCAUAAUGGGCAUCACACUUUGAGUAGAUCGAUCGAUCACAUUUAUAUCUCUCUUGAUCUUUUUUAAAUAAUUAUAUAUAUAUAUAUAUAUAUAUAUAUAUAUAUAUUGUAUUUGUUAGGGAAAUCCCUUAUGAUGUUUUAAAGAUGACAAAAUAAAUCAAAGGCUACUAACAUGUUUAAUGGUUAAGUAAUAGACCAUGCAGAUGAUAGAACAUGUAAAGGAUAUUGUCAAAGUGGGAAGACGACCAGAAGACUGAACGUAACAUGUGCCCAAAGUAUAUUCUGAAGAUUUCCAGACUUCUGUGUCAAAGUCUGAAGGCUGCCAGACUUUAGUGUCAAAGUCUGUUCUACAUCAGAAGUCUGCUCACUCUGACAAAUUCCAGACUGAACGUGAAUGAUGAACCAGAAGACAGACUCUAUGCUGAAGCUGAACUGGGUACAGACCUUAAAGCUAAAUCUGUUCAGAAGCAGAAUAUGUUCAGACUCAGAUUGCAAAGUCUAUCGCACUCAGAUUCAGAUUGUAAAGUCUAUUGCUCUCAGACUUUACAUCCAGAACUCGACAGAACGUAACUCAAGCCCAAUCAUAUAACGGCUAGUGAUCUGGUUUGGAUUCCACAUCAAGAUUGAUUUGAUUGACUCAAUCUAUUUGAUUGACGAUUGGAUCUUGAAGACAAGAUCUUUCUAUACGAAGAAGCUUUACUUAUGGAAACCAAGAUUUCAUUUGUAUGGGCGAUCGGAAUCAAUUUGGGAUUCUACCUUUGUCACUCAACGGCUACCAAAUCUUCUAGAUACAGAGCUGUCCAAUAAGUAUAUUGGAAAACGAUUCUCUGGGAUACUGUCCAACGGCUAGUUUGGAAGUGGAGAAGUAUUUAAGGAGAUGAAGGACCGAUGAGCAAGUAAGAGAUAGAGCGUAGAAUUUAUAAUUCCAAAGUCUGAGCGACCUUCGAUCAUAUACUUGUCUCUUGAGAGCUUAAACGUUUGUGAUCGUGAGAGAAAUACCAAGAGAGUGACUUAGUGAGAUAGUGUGAUCUACUAAGUGUUUGCACUCAAAGUUGUAAUCUCUUGUUGAUUGCAUAGUGGAAUCCAGCCAAGAAGGUUGUUAGUGUGGGAGAGUGGACGUAGGCUUGGAUUAAGUCGAACCACUAUAAUUUCUGUGUUCUUAUUCUCUUCCCUAACUCCUUUGUUUAAAGUUUAUUUUAUUACGCAUAUAUUUGCCAAGAUUUAUCUUAAACACCUAUUCACCCCCCUCUAGGUGUUCAUACUAGCACUCUCAGUAUUCACAAUUAUGAUUAUCCCAAAGACAGUCAUAAUUAGUUGACCAGUGAAUACAAAACUACAAUGUGAUUCUCCAAAUUCAAUCUUCCUCUUUCCUUCAAACUCUCAAUUUCAGUUCAGCUUGCUUUUCUAGAAAUGUCCCAUUAGAUCGAAUCAACUCAUGACCAUUGGCAACAUCCUAAAAUAGUAGACACUAAAUAGAAAUCUUUAGAAUAAGUAAAAGUCAUUAGGACACUAAAAAAUUGAGGAACUCUUUUCAAGAGUCUCACACAGCAUAAAAGUUUAGAUCAAACUUUUGCCACUCUUAUUGGUCGUCUCAUGCAUACAUAGUAUGAAAUACGUAUCAUGGUAUUAACUCCUUUCCCAUGGAGCAUAUGUUUACACUUUCAAUACCGUACAUAUGAUAGUUUAGACAUAUCCAAUGUCUAACUUGAGUUCAUGUAUCUACUCAUUCAAUUCACAAAAUUCAUCGGAACUCACAUCUGGCAUCAUAGACAGAUAAAGUAAAAUAUGUGGGUUAUUUUACUUUUGGACAUAAUAAAUAUUAUGUCAUCAUCUUAACACCCAGUUAAGGCGACAAAUAUAUUUUAAACUUGAGCUCUCGAUUAUCACCUACAUAAUAAGCUUAAAAACCGUUUCAUCUCUAUUCAUCACAUAGUAAAUAGAGGCAAUUACCCGUGUGAGUAGGCCAAUCUUAUAUCUGUCCAACAUACUUUCUCAACUUAAAGUAAUGCACUGAGCAUUAAGAUGCAUAAAGAUCAAACAAAGACUUAUAGGCAUUAAUAAUGAAAAACGCAAGUUCAUUAAUGUGAACAACUCAGGGAAAUUACAAUAUCCAGUACAUCAGACUCUACGCAAUCCUAGAGAUUUUACAUGACCACAAAACACAUCUCUAGGUAUUGGCUUUGUCAUAGGAUCUGCUACCAUUUUAUGUAUAGAUAUGUACUGUAAGUUCACAUCCUUUCGUGCAACCAUAUCUUUGACAAAGUUAUACUUGGUAUCUAUAUGUUUGGUCUUGUCAUAAUAUUUUGGAUCUUUGGUGUACGCUAUAGCUGCUUGGCUAUCACAGUUAACCAAUAGUGGAUUUGCAGCUUUCUUAAUAACACAUAAGUGAUCCGAAAAUCUCUUAAGCCAAACCCCUUCUUAUACCGCUGCUGACAAUGCCACGAACUUAGCUUUCAUCAUGGACAAGGCUAUACAUGUUUGCUUCUAACUACUCCAUGAUACGGUGCCAUUAUUCAGUAAGAAAGCAAAUCCAAAGGUAGAUUUCCUUUCAUCUAAAUCUCCUCCCCAAUCAGCAUCUGAAUAGCCUUCAAGUCGCAGAUCCUUUCCUUGAUAAUUCAGCUUGUAAUUAGCAGUUCCCUUCAGAUACCUCAGUAUUCUCUUAACGGCCUUCCAAUGUGCUUGACUUGGGUUGGAUUGGUAUCUACUCACCAUUCCAACUGCAAAAUAUAUGUCAGGUCUUGUACAUAUCAUAGCGUACAUCAAACUCCCAAUGGCACUAGCAUAAGGAACAUGUUUCAUUUGUUCAUUUUCUUGUGGAGUCCUUGGACAUAGUCUAUGACUCAAUCCUUCACCUUUUGCAAUAGGAGUGUCUAUGGGUUUACAAUCUUGCAUACGAAAUCAUUCAAGAACCUUAUUUAUAUAUGUUUCUUGCGAAAGAGAUAACGACCUCUUCGAACGAUCUCUUGAAAUCUUAACUCCAAGAAUGUAUGCAGCCUCACCCAUAUCUUUCAUCUCAAAGUUGGAAGAUAACCAACUCUUGACAGUGUUUAUAAACUCCCUAUUGCUUUCGGCAAUUAGUAUAUCAUCAACAUAUAAUGAUAUGAUCACAAAUUGAUCUUUGGAUCUUUUGAUAUAUACACAAUGAUCCUCAUCUAUCAUUGUAAAAUCAUAUGCCAUUAUGGCAUUAUGAAAACGUAUAUACCAUUGUCUCGAUGACUACUUAAGGCCGUAUAUCGAUCUCAAAAGUCGACAUACCUUUCCUUUUUGGCCUUUUGUAAUGAAACCAGUAGGUUGUUUUAUAUAUAUUUCUUCAUCUAAUUCUCCAUUGAGGAAAGUAGUCUUUACAUCCAUUUGAUGUAACUCAAGAUCCAUACUAGCCACUAUUGCCAGAAUAAUGCGAAUCGAGGUAAAUCUCACUAUAGGAGAAAAUGUUUCUUCAUAAUCAAUUCAUUUCUGUUGAUUAUACCCCUUCGCCACAAGGCGAGCCUUAUGCCUUUCUAUCGAGCCAUCAGCUUUUCACUUUAUUUUGAGAACCCACUUGUUCCCAACAGCUUUGCGUCCUUUUGGAAGAUCAACCAGUUCCCAAACUUGGUUUGACUUCAUUGACUCAAUCUCCUCUUCCAUUAUAUGAAUCCAUUUUUCCUUACUAGGGCAAUUCAGAGCCUCAUUAAUAUUUCUUGGCUCAUCUUCAUCUUGCGGAGCAAUCAUAAAAGUUUCCCCUUCAAUGUCAAAACGUCGACGGGGAAUACUUUUACGACUUGUUCGCCGUAUGGGAGAUUGUACACUUUGCACAUCAUUCCCCAUUAUGCUCCUACUAGGAUUGGAUAAUGAUGAUGUCGUCUCAUCAUGUGGUUGUAAUUGAGAAUGAGUUGAGUUUAAUUCAUCACUUCUCAUAUUACUUCCACUUGGACGAACUCCACUAAUAUCAUUAUCUUGAUCCAAGGUUUCAAAUAGGGAGUUUCAAAUAGGGAGUAAUCUUCUCCUAUUUCGUCCUUCUUAGGAAAUUCAUCCUCUAAGAAUGUAACAUCCCGUGAUUCAAAUUCAGUUAUACUCCCACUUUCCUGCUCACCUAUGAACACAUACCCUUUCGAGUGUUCGGAGUAUCUUAUUAAAAUACUAUUCUUUCCUUUGGGACCCAAUUUCCUAAACUUGUGAGAGGGCUCAUGAGUAUAGGCAGCACAUCCCCAUGACUUAAGAAAACUUAAGUCCGGUUUUCUACCCGUCCAUAACUCAUAUGGAGUGGAAGUAACUGAUUUGGAAGGCACUCGGUUAAGUAUAUAGGCAGCAGUUAACAACGCAUCACUCCAAAAAGUGAUAGGUAAGUUAGCAUGUGCCAUCAUGGACCUAACCAUUUCCAAUAGGAUUAUGUUCCUUCUCUCCGCAACAACAUUUUGUUGAGGAGUAUAUGAAAUAGACAACUGUCUUUCUAUUCCUUUUUCUAUUCCUUUUUCAUCACAUAAUUUUCUGAACUCAUCAGAUAAAUAUUCUCGACCUCGAUCGGAUCUCAAUGCUUUUAUUUUCUUGUCUAAUUGAUUUUCUACCAAGUUCAUAAACCUUUUGAAACAACUUAAUGCUUCAGAUUUAUGAGAAAUCAAAUAGACAUCCGAAUCGAAUAUAAUCAUCUAUAAAAGUGAUGAAAUAAAUAGCCCCAUGCCUUCCUCUCACAUUCAUUGGACCAUAUACGUCAGAAUGGAUUAAAUGUAGAGGAAAUUCAGCUCUUUUACCUUUUUCCAAAUGGUUUCAUUGUCAUUUUCUCUACUGGCCAAUGCUCACAUAUAGACAAAUCAACUUUUUCAAUAUUACCCAACAAGCCCUCUUUGGCUAGUCUAUUCAUACGUUGUUGGCCAAUAUGACCAAGUCUAGCAUGCCACACAUUCACAUCAUUAUCAUAUGAAUUAGGAGACGUGAGAAGGGAAUAACAAACAUUUGCAUUAACAUAGUCAAUAUCUAAUAUAAUGAAACCAUCCAGAAAAUAACUAUACCCAUAGAAAUUUGUAUCCAAAAACAAAUCCACACCUCUAUUAUGAAAGUUCAUAUUAAAACCUAACUUGACCAACACUAAAACAGAUACUAAAUUCCGACGAAUCUCCGAAGCAUACAAUACACCAUGUAGGAAUAAAGUGCGUCCACCACGCAUGUUCAGUUGGCAGGUGCCAAUUCCUUUUACUUUAGCUCUGAAGUUGUUUCCCACAUAGAUCCACUUAGUUCCAGUUGGUACUCGUCGGAAUUCCAUGAAGGAUCCUCUAUCCUUCGUUACAUGGUCUGUCGCUCCUGAAUCUACAGUCCACAAAGGAUUAGACUCAGUUAAGAAUACAGAACUCGACACAUAAGCAAAGUUCUAAAAAGUACAAGGGGUGUAUACCUUCUUUGGCUCACGACAGUCACGAGUAUAGUGACCAUUCUUGUCACAAUUGUAACACUUCACCCUUGUAAGCUUCUUCAUUCGAGGACGCUUUCCUCUUUCAUGUUGGUUAAGCUUAGAGGUCUUCCCUGAAGGACCUGUUUCCUUGCCUUUCCCUUUAUCGAACCAGUUAGGACAUUUGCGCUUGGAGCUCGAAGCUCCAUGUGAACUAGAACCAAUAUGAUAGAUUUCAGCUUUUGGCUUAGCCGCCAAGAGGCGGUCCUCUUCCAGCUCAAGAUGACGCACUGCAUCCUCAAAGGUUUUGAUAUUCUCAUUAUGAGUCAGGUGCACCUUCAUAUGCUCACAACUCUGAGGCAAGGAACGAAUCACUGCUUGCACAUGCUGCUCAUCAGUCAGGACAUGGCCAUCAUCUUUCAGCUCAUUAAUCAUGUUUGACAUCUUUCUAAAAUGUUACUUUAUGAUUUGACCAUGAGGUUUCUUAUAAGAGUCAAACCUAAUAGUGAGCUGCCUCAGUCUGGUCACCGAAGUAUGACCAAAUCUUGCUGCCAAUGCUUCCCACAUUUUCUUGGCAUUCUUAAAAUGCCUAAACUCUUGUAUGACGCCAUUUUCCAUGCUACUCAGUAACGUAAUGCGAGCAAGAGAGUUCUUUCUUUUCCAUGCAACAAAUGCUUCCUUAUCUCUCUUGUGCUGUGUAGUGUUUCCUUCUUCAGGUUCUACCAUGGUUAGGUUAAGAGCUUCUAGUGCCUCUUGCUCUUCUAGCACAUAUUGGAUUUUCAUGUGCCAUAUUUCAUAGUUAUCGCCAUUGAGCUUUUCACCUUUGUUCAGCUCGGCAACUAUGCUCUUUGUGGCUGAAGCCAUUAAUCUGAACACAUUGAUAUAUAUGCACGAAUAAUUAAUGCCUAAUAUUUAUGCAUCCACUUUGCACAAAACCAUCAUAUUAAUGAAUAAUUUCAAGUAAGGUUUCGGAAUCAAAAAGUCACUAUGUUUCCAAUCAUUCUAAAAAAAUCCUAACUUAAAACUAUCAUUAAUAUAAUUGUCCAUGCAAAUAAAUUCUAUGAAGCUACAAAAACUUCUAUGAACUACCCACAUCAGUCAACAAUAAUAGAAAGCAAAUAAUAUUUGACAUUCAAUAGAAUAAUAAUGCUUUCACAUAAUACAACUAACGUAUUAGUUGCCACACCAACAAUAACUAGGUAGAAAAACAUUACAUAAGAUGUCCACAAAGCACACUAAACAAAGACCAGCCAAUACAUCUAACACCAAAUCAAUACACGAACUGGGAAAGAUCCUCUUUUGUUCAAUUUCUUGAUCUUUUCCCUUGUAACAAUCCAGUAAUAAUCAUCUAUAAAAUCCAUCACAAUUUUCCUGUAUGAAGCGGCUUUGUUGACAUCCCAUAUGCGAUUCAACACUCCUUGUCAUUCUGGUGGAAGAAUGUUUAUGAAAAAAUCGCACAAUCUCAGACUGUGACAUGGGACGACCAUUCCAUAUCACAUUUUGAAUUUUCCCAUUGACUUCAAAAAGGUGAUCAAUUAAGUCGCUACUCUUUCAUGGAUGAUUAGUCAGCUCAGCUAUCAACUUAAAAAGCCUUUCCUUUUGUUCAUCGGUAAUUGCGCGAAUAUGUGUGCGCAACCUAAGGGGAGGCAUUGUUCCUGCAACAAAUGCAGAACAAAUAAGGGAUCACAUAUAAUCCACAUAGACUUAAUUGGAAAAAGAAACACAUUCUUUUCCUCUCUCUUUUUUUUGUCAACGGUCAAAGUCAACGGUCAACCGGGUCGAAGUCAAUGGGCGGCGGGUCGGGCCGGACGGACCGGUCGGGUCGGGCCGGACGGACCGGUCGGACCGGUCAGGCCGAGCGGGCCGGUCGGACAAACCAACCGACACGUGCCACGCUCGUGCCUGGCUGACGUCACGAUGACGUUAGCCGGUGCGUGCGUGGCACGCGCCAGCACCCCGCUCGUGCGUUGCACGCGCUUGGGGCCGAAACGGCGCGUGCGACGCACGCGCCUGCGGGGGACCGAAUCGGCGCGUGCGUUGCACGUGCCGAUGACCCCCGCUCGUUCCGACCGCGCGUGGCGGCGCGUCCGGCGGCCCUCGGCGGCGAUCCGCCACUCGUUUUUCUCGUCUUGACGAGGGCUUCAAUCCUACGCUUUUAGAAAAAAAUUUCAACUUACAGAAAAACAAAAAACGGGGCAUACAGAAUCAGGUGUCGGGAUUUUUUUUCUCCCCCGAUUGGUGUCGGCCGAUUUUUUAUGAAAAUUCAAUCAAAAAUCAUUCAUAAACAUGAAAAAGGAUCGGGAAACAAGAACUACGGCUCUGAUACCAAUGAAGGGAAUAGCGGAUUCCCAAAAACCGGAUUUGACACUAAAUCGAACCCCUAAAACGAAUGCGGAAGACGAGCCCAGGGAGAACAUGUAUCACCGAUCAAAGACACACCACGGAAUCGAGUGAUCUUAUUGUCCAUAGAUUAAACACCAAUGCUGACGAUCGAGGAAGAAAUUCUGAUCUCAUUCUAUCAAGGAGCGUACUGUUAGUUCAAGGGGGAGAAAACUUAUGUUGGUUUUGGGAGAGGAGAAAAGAAAAGCGUACGUUCGUCCAAAAGGUGUAUUUUCUUUUUCUUUUCUCCCCUUAAAUAUGUCUUCUCCAAAAGACGUGUCCCUUCGGUAAAAGACGUUCCCCCAAAAGUUAUAACCCUUCAACAUAUCCCUCCAUCCAUGGGCCCUAAUCUUGUGGGCCGGGCUUUUAGGCCCAACAUGGGCGGACGGGCCUUAAGCCCAUCGUCAUACAAAUAAAUAAAACCAACAGAUCCAAUUAACUCACGCGAGUGACCGAGAUGAAAGCGCAUUCUUUUGAUCACUGACCGCAUUUGUCGUCUCUGAAAGGAUUCUUAGCGAGGAAGUAGAGUAAGGAACGUGAACAGGACGAUGCUCGUUUCUAUUUUCUGAUACCAUCCUCAGUAUGAGGUUUCCUGUCGGUAUCAAUUUAUUUUGUGAUGUGCACGUCCUUGGACUCUGACUUACCGAACCCCUGGCCCCAGCCACCCCUCCACUCUCUCAUUGCCCAGCUGCUAGAAAACGACAACCUAUUGAUAUUUUUUCUUUUUCUUGGCUUUGACUACGACUUCUCCCAAGGAGUUACAUAAAUUGCUCUUGGUCGGUUGAGAUUUUGUGUACCUUUAGAUUUAUAAGAGGAUAUCUUUUUUGGUCAACUGAUUUUAUUGCUUUUGCUGUUGACAGAAGGGACCAGAAUAAGAAUGCGAGAUAAUAUCUUAAAAAUAUAUAUUAAACAGCUUUAGACUCGUUCGGAUAAAUAAAGUGCAGAUCUAUUUACAUGGAAAAACAAACUGCAAUAUAUAAACGGGCUGUUAUGAUCUAGAAAAAAAGAGAGGAUGGAUUAUUGGUUUAAGGUUCCAAAGAUCUAUUUACAUGGAGAAACAAACCACAAUAUAUAAUCGGGCCAGUAUGGUCUUAAAAAAAAAGUGGACUAUUAGUUUGAUGGCAAGUCAAAACAAACAUUACGAACAAUGAAUCGAUGCUCUACCAACCAGCGUUCGAUGGCUCUUCUGUCACGCGUAUUCACGUUCGCAAUUUGAACAAUGCACAGAACACCGCAAUUGUUCUUUAAAUCAUCCCAAAUGCUUUGAAAUUCCCUAGCCUCAGCGGUGGAAGAGAGGACCAAAACUUCAUUUUGUCGGAUCCAUUGAAUGGCCUGAUUGACAUUUUCUCGAGCUUGCUGGUAGGCAUGACGAUGAUCAUGCUUUUCAGCUUGUCUGAAAACGAUAAUAAAAAAGAAAAUAAAAAACCCAUACAUAAGAGCUGGAAAAAAAAAAUUUUAAGAAAAAAAUGUAACUCACGUAAGUUGCGGAUCAUUUUGGGCUUUUAUCCAGGCAGCCCGAUGCAUGUCCAAGAGUUCACACUUCCGCCGCAAAUUGUCAGCUGCACUCAUUUUCAGAGAAGUUUCCGAAGAGGGGGACAAGAGAGACUUUUGAAGAGAGAAGUGAGGAGGGUGAUGAAGAGAGAACCGAGGAGGGUGAGGAGGGUGAUGAAGAGAGAUACAUGCGCUUCUUAUAUACACGGUUCUUGCUAUUAAGGAGGCCGAUGGCGUGCAGAAACCGUGUGCAUGUGGUCCCCGACCAUUCACGCGGCGCCACGUGGAAGCAUGUCAACAUGAAGCUUACACUGGAAGAAAUGGCCGAGCUUGAAUCGAUUGCUUCUGCGGACAAUGUCAAGGGUGGCAGGUACGAUGGAAGCAUGUCUACAUGGGAAAACUCCGACACUCCACCCCUUUCUUCUUGGAAACCUACGUAGAAGCGUGUUUGCUUCUGUUGCUGCAUCUUUGAUGUGCAGAGUUUGAGCAUUUGCCGUUGAAGUAAUUUGAGUUUAUGUUGUGUGGCUGUUAUAAGUAUGUGUAAUAAGAGAGUGACUGUUUUCAUUUUGUACAUGUGACAUUCACUAUGAAGAGAUUAUGGAUGUGUACUUACCUUACUGGGGAAAGAUCACUCGAUAAACAUGAGAGCGAGUUGAAUACGAAGUGAGCCCGCCGUGCCGACUUUAUUGGGGUGACUUUUAGAAUCUGAGAAGUCGGGAUUUUGAAGAAUUCAAACUCAGUCGCACAUACUAGAGUGACGCUUUAUUCUCCUCCAACCAUGAGUUCAAUACUAACACCGUGUGCAACAUGCUCUUAAGACUGGAUGCUACACAUAGAUACAAAGCUUCGCUAUGUGUUUGGUUUGGCAGCGAAGUUACGAAACAGUAAAAUGUUACCUGAUGUUCUCGCGAAAACGAAGUUGGGGAUAAAAUGCUGGCGCUGUUGAUAUGAGUGUCGAGGAAAUCGAAGGUUUCUUAUUCAAGUUUCACCACCUACGGUUCAUGAGCUUUUAUGUAGCUCGAUACCUUCGCUCAUGCCUCUACAUUAUUAUAAAACAGUUGGAGAUAUUGCGCAAGUUUCCUAAAAUUAGAAACGACACUUCUAUUGUUUUUUAUUUGGAGUUAGAGUGGAGCAAUGUUGUUUUGUUUUGGUUUAGGAAAAUAACGCAAAUAGUCAUCGAACUUUAGUCCAAUGUGUUAUGUUCUUACUGAACUUUUAAUUUAUUUAGUGUGGUUGUCGAAUUUUUUGUACAUGUUUAAUUUAAAUCCUAGGCUAGAUAAAUCCAAUGAUGAUGUGUUUGGUCGUUCGAACAUCUUUGCUAUAUGGGUUAAUGAUAGGAUAAAAAUCCCAUCUAAUAUUUCUUGACGUCUAGAUAUAACAUAAUUCAAAUAAAAAAAAUUAAAUGAGUGUUUAAUUUGUAUAAUUAAAAUUAAAAAUAAACCAUGGAAGUCGUAAAUACAAUUCAUCCUUUCACAAUCUUCAUCCAUAUCAAACACCCCCGUUCCAUGUGACUUCAAUGACGCUCGCUCCUUCUGCAACACCCCUUUCGCUGUCCUUGAUCAACUUGAUGGAUUACGCUCGCUCUACCUUUGACUUCACCACAUUGAGAGGCCCUUGGGUUUGAGUUCUCCGCUGGUCUAGCCAUCUUUACUUUCAACGCCUUUUCCUGCGAUGAAUCCAUCCCUUUCGACGAGUGUGAAUACUGUGUUGAUUCCCUAUUACCGUGCCCCGAAUUGUUCAGUCGCUUCAACAGCUUCCCCUGAGACGGCGUGCGGAUCUGCUUUAUGAGUGGUAGCACCAUCGGUACCACUCGCUCCAAGUGACGUGGUUGAGGAGCUCUAUCACCUUGGCUGCCGCCUCUUUCGGAUCAUCUUCUUCACAGAGAAGAUGUCCAACUUUGAUCGGGAUCACAAAGUUCCCUACUGAUAGUUUUAGGUGAUGGGCCUAAGUUGGCCCGUCCGCCCAUGAUGGGCCUAAAAGCCCGGCCCACAGGAUUAGGGCCCAUGGAUGAAGGGGUACGUUUCUAUUUUUGAGCGAACGUAUAUAAAGGAGGAAAGAGAGAGACGAAGACACUAGUUUGCAUAACGUGCGUACGUUUCCUCUCCCUCUCCCUCCAAAAAGAAAAAUAAGCGCUUAAGGCGACGCCAUCUUCGCUUCAAGGCCAAUUGACGUCUUCGGAUCGAACAGGAUCGGAUUUCUCUUCCUCUUAUUGGUGUUGGUGUUUAAUCUGUGGCUAACAAGGUACGCUCGAAUCCGUGGUGUGCUUUAUGAUCGGUGAUACGUGAUUUUCCCGGGCUUUUCUUCCGCAUUCGUUUUAGGGGUUCGAUUUAGUGUCGAAUCUGGUUUUUGGGGAAUCAGUUAAUCCCAACAUUGGUAUCAGAGCCCUAGUUCAUGUUUUCCCGACCCCUUUGAUGUUUUAUGAUUGAUUUUUCGCGAAAAUAUUCUGCCGACACGGAUCGGGGCGAAAAAUCCCGACACCUGAGCAUUGUUCGUCCAUUUUUUCGACUUUCUGUAAGUCGAAAUCGAUUUCUGAAGGCAUAGGGUGAAAGGGCUCAUCGAGACGAGUCCGUCGACAUGUCGACCGCCGCCGGGAGACGCCGCACGCGCCCACGCGCGCGGCCAGAAGCCGCUGUACGUGGGAGCCACGUGCCUGAAGCGCUGGCUCGGCCAACGCGUGUGCCACACGCGCCGAUGACGGACCGACACGUGCGCGACGCUGCCGGCCGGCGAACCGGCACGCGCCGGUCAGCGAACCGACGCGUGCUGACGUCACCGUGACGUCACCCAACGGUCAGUAACUGCUGGGAUGACGUCAUCGCCGACGACCGUUGGCCAGUCAAUCAUCGACCGGCGACCCUACCCGACCCGACAUGCGCGGAAGCCUGGCACGUGCCACGCACGUGCCGGCUGACGUCUGCGUGACGUCAGCCCGCACACGCGCGCGGCACGUGCCGGUCGGUUCGUCCGACCCAGCUUGACCGACCCGUCUGGUCCGACCGGCAAGCCCAACGAUCGGCGACCGUUGACCGUCGUUGACCCAUUGACCGUUGACCGACGACCGUUGGCCGUUGACCGUUGACCCGAAAAAAAAAAUUGUUUCUUUUUCAAUUAUGUCUGUGUGGGUUAGAGGUAAUCUAUUUUUUAUUCUGCAUUUGUUGCAUGAAUCAUGGAAAAUUAUGUAUUUUUCAUUUUUUUUUAUUGUGGAUUAUAAGUGAUCCAUUUUUAGUUCUGCAUUUGUUGCAGGAACUAUGAUGCGUGAUGCACGGAUACCUGCAAUCCCAAGAAUGGACGAAGGAAAAGCAAGACUUAAAAGGCUGAUGACAGAGUUAACUGAUUAUCGGUGGCAUGACAGUGAUUUAGUAUCACACGUGAUCAGGGUCAAUCAGAUGAUACAGGAAAUCAUCUGGAAUGGUUAUCAUAUGCCGGAUUUUGAGAAGGUGUCGGCUUUGAUGAACACUCUUCCACCUGAAUGGCAAGCAGUGUUAGAUCGGCUAUGGAAGGUCAGCGUGGUCCCGGGUUAUAGGAGGCUAAUGGUAGCUUUUGUUAGAGAGUACUAUAGGGUUGAGUUAACCAAAACUUCAACCCUUAGAUUGAGCGCCACAUAACGCAGAGUGAAUGCGCCUUGGAGGCGACAUGAGAGCUCUUCAAAAGUUUUUCCAUGGUUGGCAAAUGUGCCUACAAAUUUCUUAAAUAUUUUGACUGAUAGAUUAGAAGGGACAUUCCCUAUUUAUUUCUUAGAUUAGUUUGAGAUGUUUUUUAAAUGUGAAUAUAUCUUUCUAUGUUGAUAUUUCUUCUUUGAAUAUAUUACUUAGUGUAAUUGAUUGUUGUAUUAUGUGAAAACAUUGUUAUUCUAUUGGAUGUUAGAUAUUAUUUGCUUUCUGUUAUUAUUGACUACUGUGGGUAGUUCAUAGAAGUUUUUUAUAACUUCAUAAAAUUUAUUUUGCAUAAGACAAUUAUAUUAAUGAUAAUUUUGAGUUAGGAUUUUUGGAGGAAGAUUGGAAACAUAGUGACAUUUUGAUUUUGAAACCUUACUUGAAAUUGUUCAUUGAUAUGAUGAGUCUAUGCAAAGUGGAUGCAUAAAUGAUAGGCAUUAAUUAUUUAUGCAUAUAUGUCUGAUGUGUUCAGAUCGAUGGUUUCAACAACUAAGAACAUAAUUGCUGAUAUGAACGGCAACAAUUGUGAAAUAUUGAAUAUGAAGAUUCAAUAUGUGCUGGAAAAGCAAGAAGUACUAGAAGCUCUUGACUAUGUUAUGGAAGAUCUUGAGGAUGUUGUACGCCACCUUGAGCUGGUAGAGGACCGCUUAACAGCAUGUGAGCCGAAAAUAGAUAUUUGCAAUGCUGGUUCUAGCUCAGAAAGGGCUUUGAGCUCUAAGCGCAAGCAUAUUGAUUCGUUCAAUAUGUGGGAAUCCUUAUUGCAAGAGAUCAAGAGUUAACCAACGCAAGAGAGGAAAACGUCCUCAAGUGAAGAAAAUGUCAAGGGUGAGGUGUUACAAUUGUGACAAGAAGGGUCACUAUGCUCACGACUGUCGUGAGCCAAAGAAGGUAAACACCUCUUGUACAUUUGAGAACUUUGCUUAUGUGUCAAGUUCUGCAUUAUUAGCUGAAUCCAAUCCUUUGUGUACUGUAGAUUCAGGAGCAACAGACGAUGUAGCGAAGGAUAGAUGAUCCUUCGUGGAAUUCCGACGAAUACCAACUGGAACUAAGUGGAUCUAUGUGGGAAACAACUCUAGAGCUGAAGUUAAAGGGAUUGGCACCUGCCAAUUGAACAUGCGUGAUGGACGCAACUUGUUCCUACAUGAUGUUCUAUAUGCUCUGGAGAUUCGUCGAAAUUUUGUGUUUGUUUUGGUGUUGGUUAAACUUGGUUUUAGUGUGAACUUCCGUAAUAGCGGUGUAGAUUUGUAUUUGGAUACAAACUACUAUGGUUGUGGUCACUUUCUGGAUGGUUUUAUUGUACUAAAUGUUGAUUGUGGUGAUGUCAAUGUUUGUUAUUCCCUUGUUUCACGUCUUCUACUUAAUAUGAUAAUGAUGUGAUUAUGUGGCAUGCUAGACUUGGUCAUAUUGGCCAACAACAUAUGAAUAGACUAGCCAAAGAGGGCUUGUUGGGCAACAUUGAAAAUGUCGAUUUGCCAAUAUGUGAGCAUUGCCUAGUAGGGAAAACGACAAGGAAACCAUUUGGAAAAGGUAAAAGAGCUGAAUUUUCUCUGCAUUUAAUCCAUUCUGACGUCUGUGGUGCAAUGAAUGUGAAAGGAAGGCAUUGGACUGUUUAUUUCAUCAUUUUUAUAGAUGAUUAUACUCGAUUCGGAUAUGUCUAUUUGAUUUAUCAUAAAUCUGAAGCAUUAAGUCGUUUCAAAAGGUUUAUGAACUUGGUAGAAAAUCAAUUAGACAAGAAAAUAAAAGCAUUGAGAUCCGAUCGAGGUCGAGAAUAUUUAUUUGAUGAGUUCAGAAAAUUAUGUGGUGAAAAAGGAAUAGAAAGACAGUUGCCUAUUCCAAAUACUCCUCAACAAAAUGAUGUUGCAGAGAGAAGAAACGGAACCCUACUGGAAAUGGUUAGGUCUAUGAUGGCGCAUGCUAAUUUACAUAUCACUUUUUGGAGUGAUGCAUUGUUAACUGCUGCAUAUAUACUUAACCGGGUGCCUUUCAAAUUAGUUAGUUCCACUCCAUAUGAGUUAUGGACAGGUAGAAAACCGGACUUAAGUUUUCUUAAGCCAUGGGGUUGUGCUGCCUAUACUCAUGAGUCCUCUCACAAGUUUGGGAAAUUGGGUCCCGAAGGAAAGAAGAGUAUUUUAAUGAGAUACUCCGAACACUCGAAAGGGUAUGUGUUCAUAGGUGAGCAGGAAAGUGGGAGUAUAACUGAAUUUGAAUCACGGGAUGUCACAUUCUUAGAGGAUGAAUUUCCUAAGAAGGGCGAAAUAGGGGAAGAUUACCCCUAUUUGAAACAUUUGAUCAAGAUAAUGAUAUUAGUGGAGUUCGUCCAAGUGGGAGUAAUAUGAGAAGUGAUGAAUUGAAUUCAACUCAUUCUCAAUUGCAACCACAUGAUGAGACAAUGUUAUCAUUAUCUAAUCCUAGUGGGAGCAUAAUAGGGAAUGAUGUGCAAAGUGUACAAUCUCCUAUACGGCGAACAAGUCGCCAAAGUAUUCCCCGUCGACGUUUUGACAUUGAAGGGGAAACUUUUAUAAUUGCUCCACAAGAUGAGGAUGAGCUAAGAAAUAUUAAUGAGGCUCUGAAUUGCCCUAGUAAGGAAAAAUGGAUUUAUGCAAUGAAAGAGGAGAUGGAGUCAAUGAAGUCAAACCAAGUUUGGAACUGGUUGAUAUUCCAAAAGGACGCAAAGCUAUUGGGAACAAGUGGGUUCUCAAAAUAAAGCGUAAAGCUGAUGGCUCAAUAUAAAGGCAUAAGGCUCGCCUUGUGGCGAAUGGGUAUAAUCAACAGGAAGGAAUUGAUUAUGAAGAAACAUUUUCCUGUAGUGAGAUUUACCUCGAUUCGCAUAAUUUUGGCAAUAGUGGUUAGUAUGGAUCUUGAGUUACAUCAAAUGAAUGUAAAAACUGCUUUCCUCAAUGGAGAAUUAGAGGAAGGAAUAUAUAUGGAACAACAUGCUGGUUUCAUAGUGAAAGGCCAAGAAGAAAAAGUAUGUCGACUUUUGAGGUCGAUAUAUGGCCUUAAGCAGUCGUCAAGACAAUGGUAUAUACGAUUUCAUAAUGCCAUAAUGGCAUAUGAUUUUACAAUGAUAGAUGAGGAUCAUUGUAUAUAUAUCAAAAGAUCCAAUGAUCAAUUUGUGAUCAUAUCAUUAUAUGUUGAUGAUAUACUAAUUGCCGGAAGCAAUAUGGAACUUGUCAAUACUGUCAAAAGUUGGUUGUCUUCCAACUUUGAGAUGAAUGAUAUGGGAUUGUAAACCCAUAGAUACUCUUAUUGCAAAAGGUGAAGGAUUGAGCCACAGAUUGUGUCAAAGGACUCCACAAGAGAAGGAACAAACGAAAUAUGUUCCUUAUGCUAGUGCUGUUGGGAGCUUGAUGUACGCUAUGAUGUAUACAAGACCCAACAUAUGUUUUUUUGCAGUUGGAAUGGUGAGCAGAUACCAAUCCAAUCCAGGUCCAGCACAUUGGAAGGCCGUUAAGAUAAUACUGAGGUAUCUAAAGGGGACUGCUAAUUAUACGCUGAGUUAUUAUGGAAAGGAUCUGCGACUCUAAGGCUAUUCUGAUGCUGAUUGUGGAGGGGAUUUAGAUGAAAGAAAAUCUACCUCUGGGUUUGUUUUCUUACCGAAUAAUGGCACCAUAUGUUGGAGCAGUAAGAAACAAAAGUGUAUAGCCUUGUCCACGAUGGAAACUGAGUUCGUGGCAUUAUCAGCAGCAAUAUAAGAAGAUGUUUGGCUUAAGAGAUUAUUGGAUCAUUUAGGUGUUAUUAGAAGUGUAGCAGAUUCAUUGUUAGUUAACUGUGAUAGCCAAGCAGCAAAAACGUACACCAAAGAUCCAAAAUAUCAUGGCAAGACCAAACAUAUAGAUACCAAGUAUAAUUUUGUCAAAGAUAUGGUUGCACGAAAUGAUGCGAACUUACAGUACAUAUCUACGCAUAGAAUGGUAGCAGAUCCUAUGACAAAGCCAAUACCUAGAAAUGUGUUUUGUGGCCAUAUGAAAUCUCUAGGAUUGCGUAGAGUCUGAUGUACUGGAUUGUAAUUUCCCUGAAGUGUUCACAUUUGAUGAAUUUGUGUUUUUCAUCAUUAAUGCUUAUGAAUCUUUGUUUGAUCUUUAUGCAUCUUAAUGCUUAGUGUAUUAUUUUAAGUUGAGAAAGUAUGUCGGACAGAUAUAAGAUUAGCCCACUCACACGGGUAAUCGCCUCUAUUUACUGUGUGAUAAAUAGAGAUGAGACUGUUUUUUAAGCUUAUUAUCUAGGUGAUAAUCGAGAGCUAAAGCUUAAAAUACGUAUAUCGCCUUAACUGAGUGUUAAGAUGAAGACAUAAUACUUACUAUGUCCAAAAGUAAAAUAACCCACAUAUUUUACUUUAUCUGUCUAUGAUGCCAGAUGUGAGUUCUGAUGAAUUUUGUGAAUGAGUAGAUACGUGAACUCAAGUUAGACAUUGGGUAUGUAUGAACUAUCAUCUGUACGGUAUUGAAGGUGUAGACAUACGCUCCAUGGGAAAUGAGUUAUUACCGUAAUACGUAUUUCAUACUACAUAUGCAUGAGACGACCAAUAAGAGUGGCAAAAGUUUGAUCUCAACUUUUAUGUCGUGUGAGACUCUUGAGGAAAAGAGUUCCUCAAUUUUUUAGUCCCCUCAUGACUCUUACUUAUUCUCAAGAUUUCUAUUUAGUGUUUGCUAUCUUAGGAUGUUGCCAAUGGUCAUGAGUUGAUUCGAUCUAAUGGGACAUUUCUAGAAAAGCAAGCUGAACUGAAAUUGAGAGUUUGAAUGGAAGAGGAAGAUCAAAUUUGGAGAAUCACAUUGUAGUUUUAUAUUUACUGGUUAACCAAUUAUGACUGUCUUUGGGAUAAUCAUAAUUGUGAAUACAAUAUAUAUAUAUCAUUGUUUGAAAGAGAUCAAGAGAGAUAUAAAUGUGAUCGAUCGAUCUAGGGUACUGCAUACAAAAUCUACUCAAAGUGUGAUGCCCAUUAUGAGCUGCUAUACAUUCCUAACAGAUGUAUGGCAACGAGCUCUCAAAGUAUGCUGGUCGCACAGAUUAUUCACCGGUAUGAAUGUUGAAGAGAGGUAAAGAGAAUUAUGUUCGGCCCACCAUGUGCGAGUGAGAGAUGAUGGUUUUAGGUGAUGGGCCUAAGUUGGCCCGUCCACCCAUGAUGGACCUAAAAGCCCGGCCCACAGGAUUAGGGCCCAUGGAUGAAGGGGUACGUUUCUAUUUUUGAGGGAACGUAUAUAAGGGAGGAAAGAGAGAGACGAAGACACUAGUUGGCAUAAUGUGCGUACGUUUCCUCUCCCUCUCCCUCCAAAAAGAAAAAUAAGCGCUUAAGGCGACGCCAUCUUCGCUUCAAGGCCAAUUGACGUCUUCGGAUCGAACGGGAUCGGAUUUCUCUUCCUCUUAUCGGCGUUGGUGUUUAAUCUGUGGCUAACAAAGUACGCUCGAAUCCGUGGUGUGCUUUACGAUUUGUGAUACGUGAUUUUCCCGGGCUUUUCUUCCGCAUUCAUUUUAGGGGUUCGAUUUAGUGUCGAAUCCGGUUUUUGGGGAAUCAGUUAAUCCCAACACCUACUAAAAUGGAGUUAAGUGACAUAAGAAAGAGGCAGGGCUGAUGAGCUCCAACGCCAGUUUUCCAAGGCAGCCAAAGGUGGUAAGCUGCUUACCAUUGCACAUAGACACAACGCCACAUAUAUGCAUCCAAAGUCUACUCGUGUACUCACUUUUAUGUAUUCAAAAUGAAAACUAUUUCAGCAUACUUACAAUGUUGGUUUGGACUACUCCAGGUGAUACACAUAAUACACUUUUACGUAUUCAUUCCCAAAAGCACGAGAAUCUAGGAAACUGCCUCUUUCAGGCUCACUAAAGCCAUUACUUGUGAUUUUACAUUUAUCUAGAAUCGAGAGAGGUGGGAUGUGUGGCAAGUGCUGGAUUAAACACAUAUAAGAACACGAAGCAUUCGUGUCACCAAGUUUUAUUCAUCCCAUCCAGAUACUUUCUCUUUAUACCACAAGAACAGGUUUCCAGCACUUCAAUAAGAAUGACAAUCACUGUAAGCAUCUAAUUACGUUGACAAGCAGGAACAAACCUAUCUGAAGUCAUCCUUAGAGAGAUUCUCCACCAACUUGGAGCCAACGGAAAAGAAUCCUCGUCCUAAAGGACUGUAGGCAACAAUUCCAAUGCCAAGCUCCCUAGUCAACAUUUUAAAGGAAAAGCAGAGUCAGAAGGAAGCUGCUGUUGCUGCAUAAACAAAGCGACCACUCCAAUUGCACCGCUGUGAUGGGAUGAAGAGCAUGUGCUCUUCUGAUUGUUGAUGCAGAGGCCUCAGAUAAACCGAUGUACUUUAUCUUACCCUCUUCAACGAGCUUCUUUAGCUCUCCGAUCUGUGCAUAUUCACAUGACAAAACAACAACAUCAAGAUCUUACAUGUUAAGAUCCAGAAAAUUAUGCAUGUCAUUAGCUUUUUAUGUGUCUAGAUCCCUCAAUUAUCAUGCAUCUCAAUGCGACAAAAAAGCCACAAGGUAUUGAGUUAACGGAGGUAGAUUUCUUGAAUCUCUCACAGAAGAGAGCAAAUAAAAGAAAUACUCCAAGUACUUGUCAUAUUUCACAAUAUGUCAAGAAUCAAAUGUCUCCGCAUAAAGUCCAGGAACAACUUUAUAUGUGAUUCCCGUUUAUAAAUUCAGGAUGAACCCCGGAGCACUUUCAUCUCAAAGGAAGAUUUCGAAUAAUUUUCGUGCUUGUUGACCCUUAACUUGUAAAAGAUGCCCACAAAACGAAAACUCAAGCCACUAAACUACUAAAUUCCACAACCCCUUGAACAACACCGUGCCGCAUCUUGAACUCUGCUAUCAGCUGAACUUAAGUGUCAUUUAACAAAAUUCAACAAACUUGUAACAACAUGACGAUGCCUUGUGUAUGUUACCCUUUUUUUCUUAAGUUCAAAGUAUAUGUUACUUUUCUCCGUGAUUUUAGACUGUAAUGCACAAGCUGUGCAUAUUCCUUUUAGAAGUGAUAGAUAUUCUGUCUCAGUCUUUGGGCUUGAUUAAUCUCAACUCAUUUUCACUUGAUAAGAUAUUGUUCUUCAUUUAAUCCUUGCGAGAAUGCUUGCUAACCCUUUUUUGUGGACAACUAGCUUCCUUAUCAAAUAAUAGCUAAUUAUUUUCCGCUCUUCGUUGUAAUUCUAACGGGGGGCGGUCCCUCACAUACUUGAGAAAACAGAUGAUGAUUUUUUUUCAAAAAUCAUUUGCCAUACUAAGAGAAGCUGCAGACAUAUGUUCUGAGAAGAUUCAAGAGAUUCCUUGUAUCACGUGCCCAAAAAAGCCAGGAGGCAUGUCUGUAUUGGUACGGGCGUAAUAUACACAUACGUUCAUUAUGUAUGCAUGUAUUUUUUUUUUUCAUCGGUAUGGUGUAUACAAUUAUGUGAUGUAUAUUUUUGUUGAUAAGGUCUUUCUUCUCCUAAUUCCUUCCAUUCUACCAAUGAAUAAUCUAUAAUAAUUUGCAAAUCGAGAUCGGCUAAUUGUUCUCGGAUAGCACCCGCUCUAGUAGAAAUUUAGAUGCCAUCAUGACAGGUCAAGUUGAAUUUAUCAUUGUUGGAGGGCAUUGAGGAUGAUACGGAGUUCUGCAUAAAACUGGCUAAAGAAGAAUCUGUCAUUGUUCUGCCCGGUAAACUCAGCCUCUCUUCUCAGACCAAAAAAAAAAACUCAGCCUCUCCAAUUGCCGGUGAAAGGAAAAUAUGUAGAUGCUUUUUUUUAUGCAUCUGCUUCAUUUUUCUAACUUCUUUCGGCUUUUUGAAUUUUUCAAAAGCGCCCCUGACGUUUGUUUCGUGUAAUGAACACUGGCUAAGGAUGCUAUAAGGGGUUUCAGAGCGAAAGACCUGAUGAAUAACUUCUUCACAGUUUUCCAAGGACUUUGAUUUUGGAAGAAAAAAGGAUCAUUGAUUUCAUUUGAAUUCACUCGCGGCAUUCUUGCGAACUAAUGCUCAGAUAAUUCCAUAGCAAACCCAUCCCGUUUUCGCUGCAGGGUUCUUGCUUUUCUCAAGCACCAUCCGUAUCCAUCAGAUAAUAAUAUAUGACAUUCGGGUUUGCAGGGAUAGCUUUUGGAAUGAAGAACUGGCUUCGCGUCACUUUUGCUGUUGAGCCAUUUUCUCUCCAAGAUGGCCUGGGGCGGAUUAAGGCCUUCCACGAAAGGCAUGCCAAAAGAUAAACGAGCCGGUCCACCCCGGUGCCGCAAAGGGCUGAGAUCAUCAACUGCUUGUUGGAUCUUGAGUUGUCUUUGUUGUCGCGUCGAAGAUCAUUGCAAAGGGUGAAACAAGAUAAGUCAAUCCAUAAGGAAGCUAAUCGUCCGAGCAUUUGCCCGGAAGUAGGGGAUGGAGGAGGAGCAGAAAAUUAACCUGACCGUUGAUCCGAUCCGAACCUCCAUUAGAAUGGUCCCUUCUUGGUCGUGUUGGUUGCAAUGGCUUUGGCUAGGAAUAAAAACCUUGAACUCGAUUUUCUACCGUAGUUAACCUUGUACUGUGUGACUAUGAUUUCUAGGUCUGAUGCACAAUAUUAGCAAGAAUAUGAUUGAUUACGCACUUAAGUUGACUCCCGUCCCGGAGGGUUAUGGGAAAGUGUUUCUUCAUGGUGGCAAAAUGGGUCUAGAACCCAUAUCGUAACUCAUAUUUAAUGUUAUAGGUCAUAAAUGGAUUGUUUUUGCUUUUAAAAACAAAACAAUAUUAAAUGGACAGCUUGCGGUUUGGCCAACACUGACAAGGACACAUUAAAUAAUAUUCUAUUUCUUAAUUUCUUAAAAAAAAUAGAAAAUAAAGAAAAUAUAAAAUAUAAAAAGUUGAGAAAUUUUAAGUAAAUAAAAAAUUAUAAAUUAUAAAUUUUGAAAAUCGUUAAAGUUAUAAAAAUUAUCAACUAUAUUGUAUUGCAUGAAAAUGUUUUAGCAAUACUUUUUAAAAAAAAUCACAAGAAAUGAAUUUCCUAAAUUUAGUUAAAUAUGAAAGUAUUUUAAUAAUACAAAUCAUAUUGAGUAUGUAUUGAGAAAUUUACAUUAUGAUAAAUGAAUUAAUUUGGACUGAACCAUUUAUGACUCGAUCCAAAUUAUUCGUUUGAUAAUUCUAAUUGAAGUCAACCCCAAUCAAGCACUACAUGGGAUGAUGUGGAAGAUCCAGUUCGAUUGCACUCGGACAAGCUGAAAAAUAGAAUCCUGUUUGGUGAUCUUGUGCGCGGGUUGCUGAUGAUCGUUGCACGUGCGAGGGUUCAGCAACUCAUUGUCAACCACUAAAAACGUCACGUCGUCACAGUUAAGUGGCAUCUUUCUCUCUCUGGAUAGCCCCUUCGCUCUGGCCAUUGCUUGGGAAACAACGCCACUUUGUCCGCGUCCGGAAAUCUAUUAAUUGCAUCUGAAUUUAAUUAAUUUUCGAGUAUUGUGGAUCACCUUUUAAAUAUUGGCAAAUUUCCUAACCUAUUUCUUUGGUAGGCACUUUCAGGUUAAAUCUUCUGGGUGCAAUUUUCAUUUCUCUCCUUUUGGACCAUGACAAAGGGUGCGUUUGGGAAGACUUUUGGGGAAAGUCUUUGGGAAAAUGCAAAGACCUUUGAGUUGAAUGUGUUUUUCAAAAUGCAAAUUGUGUUUGGUAAAUUGUAAUUUAAAAGCCCUUUGUGAAGUACCUUUGGCUAAAAUGGUGUUUGGGGGACAAAGGGCUUUUGUGAAAAAAAAAAAUAUCAAAAGAAAAAUAAAAACAAAAAACAAAAAAAUGAAAACCAGCGAGGGCAGGCGGCAUCCGGCGGCCGGCGGCGACCCUCGGCGACCUCCGGCGACCCCUGAUCUGGGCCGGCGAGGUCGCGCGACGCCGUCGCAACCUCCGGCGACCCCGGAUCUGGGCCGGCGAGGUCGCGUGACGCCGUCGCGACCUCCGGCGACCCCGGAUCUGGGCCCGCGAGGUCGCACGACGCCGUCGCGAGGGCCGGCGUGGUCGCGCCUGAGGUCGGGGGACCUCGGCGAGGGCCGCGCCUGAGGUCGGGGGACCUCGGCGAGGGCCGCGCCUGGGUCGCGCGACCUCGGCGAGGGCCGCGCCUGGGUCGCGCGACCUCGGCGACGGCCGCGCCUGGGUCGCGCAACCUCGGCGACGGCCGAUCGUCGCCGAGGCUACGCAACCCUCGGCAACGGCCGCGCCUGGGUCGCGCGACCUCGCCGGCGGUGGCGCGACCUCGCCGGAUGUCGGGCGACCUCGCCGGCGGUCGCGCGACCUCGCCGGUGGUCGCGCGACCCGAGCAGCUGCUGCCGGGGGACCUCGGCGACGGAGAAGAUGAACAGUGAUCUUCACAAGGGCAGAAAACGGAAAAACAAAUAGUUCGUAAGGAUAAUUUUGGAAAAAAAAAAUAUGAACAGUAGUAUCAGCUUACCGAGAAAGCUGAAAUGCCCAAGGCAGGCUUUCAGCCAAAUGCCUUACAAAAUAUUUUGCCAAACACCAAUUUUUUAGCCCAAAGGGCUUUGGAGGUCUAAAGGGGUUUGGAAAUGCUAAUUCCAAACGCACCCAAAGUGCACAGUGCAAUCAUGACCGAGAAGAGAGAAGGAGAAAAUAUUCAGUGGUUCGUGCGCGCCACGUCAUCGCUGACGUGGCGCACACAUACCACUCAGAUUUCGACACCUGUCCUGGGGGAUCCACAGGAAAAUGAAAAGACUUUCUCCGCUCGGCUAGGCUCGGCUCGGCAUGGGACCCACAAUCUGGUCAGACUGAGGAGAAAAUCAGGCGCCAUUUUUAAAAAAAUUCGGACCGAGCGAGGGUUUCUUCUUCUUCUUCUCUUUCUUCGCGCCUCUCAAUCUACCCGCCCUCUCUCUCUCCGACGAACAAGACGCGACCUCCCAGUCUCUCUGUGCCCUCCUUCUUUCCGACCGGCGAACCACAGCCAGCAACCGACGAACCACCGCACCGGACCGGCGAGAGGACCGCGAGAUCUAGCUCCCUCCCUCUGCCCUCCCUCUUUCCGACCGGCGAACCAUCGCACGGGGCCGGCGAGAGGACCGCGACCUCUCUCUCUCUCUGUGCAUUCCCUCUUUCCGACCGACGAACCACCGCACGGGCGAGAGGACCGCGAACAAUCGACGAACCGCGGACCUUCGCUUCCCCGGCCCCUCGCCGCCGGCUUCUCCCCGCCUGCUUCAAGAUGCGGCAGCGCGGCCUCAGGUGCUCCGCUAGCUGGCUGAUUUCCUCGGUUUCCAUGGUGCAUGUUCGGGAUUCUCAUUUUUUUUUUUUUUUGUUUUUCUUUUUGUUUCGUGUGUGGAUGACUACUAGUUCUAGGAGCAGGAGGCCGCAGGUCAAGAAGGCUUCGCCGGAUAGGCCGCCGUCGAUUGUGGUUAAUGGAGAGGGCAAAGAGGACGCUCCUUUGGCGGAGAGCGUGCGUAGCGCUGAUUGGGAAGUUGUGGCUGAUGAUUCUGAGGACGAUGAUUCCGAUGGAGUCGUGAUUGAUGUGGAGAACCAGAAUGCUGAUAGAACAGAAGCUUCCGACAGUACGGCGAUGGAGACAAAUUUGGUAUUUUUCUUGUAGCAUUUCUAGUGCUUUCUUGGGAAAUUUCUUUUUUUUAAUCUGUCUAGAUACGCGUAUGCAAUGUGCACAUUGGUUCUAGUUCAUGAAUAUCUCACAAAUUAAGAAUUUGAGAGCAUGUUUCCUUCGGGGGAGCUGCAAUUGUUUUACAGGUUCAAGCACAGUGACACUAUUGAUAGUUGAUGUUGCAGUGCCGCCUAUCCUAUAUACGGGCUUUACUUUUUGCACCAUAGCAUCAAUGUGGUUGAAUUGCAAUACAUCUACAUUGCUCAAUUAUUAGGUUGUUCUUUCCUUAAAAUUAAGGGCUUAGUUCACUUGCCCUUCCUUUUUUGUUCUGUUAAAAACUAGAGAGCGAAGGCUCCAUUUGCCUCUGCAAUUUAUUUUCCCGUCUGUUUUACCUAUAGGAAAUAUGCUCUCAUUCCUAGUCUUUUGAAUAUCUGUACAUGUUCUUAUAUGGUGUGAAUUGUUACUUCUAUAGUAGGCCAUCAAUAGUUCUUUAAAGAUAUAUUAUUAAUUCCUUCAAUUUUUGUGGCUUCAGGCACCAUGUUUUGUCGAUGGAGUAACUCUCACCACAGUGAGGAAGAUGACUCGCUGCAGUUUGAAUCUAAGGUAAUUAAGAUUUCAAAAUUGCAGUGCUUGUAAGUACUGGAAUUUUCGCAGAGUGUAUCUCCUUGAUCAAUUGCUCAUAUUUAUCUGAUUUCCAUGGCUGACCAUGUGGUUGACCUGAGUCAGUAGUUUUUCUGGCCAUUAGAAACCAUGAAGUGGCCCUUUUUGCAGAUAAUACUUUACUGUCAAUACACCCCCUUAUCUGUACCCCUUUUUGCAGAUCAUGGGCAUCGGAGGCAAAGUUGGCAGGAAUUACAGCGGGAGUGAUUCGACUUCGUCGACUUUCGUCAGGACACUUCAUCCCGGAACGCCUGGUCCUAGAGGCCAGUACAUGGUUCCAAGCAGUUACUGUUUCCCAAGGUCGAUGAGUACUCCCUCAAGGAAGAUUGAAGGGAGUUCGGCCACGUCUGGCGGUUCCAGAAGCGGUGGUUUCCCAAAGUCCAGGACUAUGGUGGGCCCUGAUGCUCAUUCAGGAUCUUCGGUUCUCAUCUGCCACAAGUGCGGGGAGCAAUUCAAGAAGUUGGAUGCUGUUGAAGCUCAUCAUCUCUCCAAACAUGCUGGUAAAAUAACAUCUUACCUUGAACCACAUGAUCAUAUCUGUUUCUGCAUUGCCUUAGCAGUUUCUCAUUCUCUGGUCUAGAUAAAUAUAAAAUCGUUUGUUUAAUUUUGGAGUAGCCUGAACGAACUGGGGGUUGAACUUCUGGUUUUUAGCUUAUCUGAGGAUGGAAAUUCUUAGACUGAACUGUCAAUUUGAUUAAUUUCAUUGCAACUUUUUCUUUUUCCAGUAACUGAACUAAGUGAUGGAGAUUCAUCCAAAAGGAUAGUGGAAAUAAUCUGCCAAACGAGCUGGUUGAAGUCUGAGCACAGCAGUUGUGAACAGAUUGAGAGGGUCUUGAAAGUCCACAACAUGCAAAGGACCCUCGCCCGGUUCAAAGAAUAGUGAGAGAUGGUCAAGAUCAGAGCCAGCAAGUUAUCCAAGAAGCACCCCCGCUGUUUGGCUGAUGGGAACGAGCUCCUAAGAUUCUAUGGCACGGCCGUGGCUUGCUCGCUUGGUGCCAAUUCUCUUGUGCCAAGUGUCAAACAACUGUGUUGAUAUGAAUUCAAUAUUCUAUCAAACACUCUUGAGGCAGUCAUUAGUUGGUCCAAUUCCUGGUAGAGAUACACUAGCAGACACUACUUUUUUGGUGCACCACCAAGAGGCCAUAUUCAACUUAUCUCGUAGUCCAGCGGCCAGCAAAGAAUAGAACAACAUAGAUUAGUCCCAUUUUAAAGUUUGCCUGCUCUCUCAUGCCAUGCCCGUCUCUUUUUGCAUUGCUCUUGGCUCUUGUUUCAUCUUUGGCUUGGUACAUCAUUUAUCUGUGCAUGAGAUGCUGUUACAGUUGUAGAAAUGCUUUAAAUCCAUCAUUUUGAAGGCUAAUAUCCCGAGACUCCUUAUUCUCUCACUUCGUUAUGCUGUUAAUAUGAGAGGAUGUAUUUCCUCCUCUUUUUAAAUCCAAGUUACGAGAAUUCUCCUGAUCCAAGACUGACUCUUCACAUUUUUUGGCACAGGCUGUGAAGUACUUCUUGGAUGCUAAGACUUUUCAAAAGGUUAAGUUUGUGUACCUGAAGAACAAAUAUGAGAGGAUGUAUUUCCUCCUCUUUUUAAAUCCAAGUUACGAGAAUUCUCCUGAUCCAAGACUGACGCUUCACAUUUUUUGGCGCAGGUUGUGAAGUACUUCUUGGAUGCUAAGACUUUUCAAAAGGUUAAGUUUGUGUACCUGAAGAACAACGACAGUGUUGAGCUCAUGAGAUCAUUCUUUGAUGAGGAGAACCUUCCUACUGAGUUCGGAGGAAGAGCAAAACUGAAGUACGACCAUGAAGAAUUCUCUAGGCUAAUGGGUUUGAGUUUUUGGCUUUAGCUUUGACUUUAAAGAAAUGAAGUUGGUAGAAGACAUAACUUCUAACUUGAAAGUGACUGGCUCAUUUUGAGAAUUUAAUAGUACUGAACGCUGAACCUUAAAUCAUAGAUGUUUGGAUUCUUGGAUAAUUUUACUUCUAAAAUGAAGCAUAUAAUAACUUUGAGUGACCAAAAGCCAUAAUACCUGAUGUGCAGUCCCUAUCAUUCCCCCCCCCCCCCCCCUCAGUGCAAAAAACAAAAACGAAAAAAAAAAAAAAACGAAAACACACACAAAAGAAGAAGUUACAACAUAAGAACUAUCGGUAGUUUUCCGUAGCUGUCUGAGUGGCUUCUCUACUGACACUGAUCAAAGGAUGGUUCUUGCCUUUUGUAGUCCUGUGUCAGCAGAAAUAACUUUUUUCUUUUCCAGGUGAAGAACAACCCUGCUGCAUUGCUUGCUUUAUGUUGGUAUUGGGCUUCUGAUGGCGUAGGAUCUAAGGUGUUAUAUUUGAAUGAGAGUGUCUUUUGAAUUGUUGUUUUUUUCCCUUUCAGUUUGCAGUCAUUGACAAUUGUUUCACUAUUUAAAUUGCUGCUGUCAGGACAUGGUAAUUCUUCCUUACAAAGACAGCCUUCUGUUAUUCAGUUGGUAUCUGCAACAAUUUGAUUUGGAUGGCAAUCGGGUAUGUGUUUAAUUUUUUGGUGAAAAUAAGGAGUUCCAUCUCCAUCUCUAGUUUCCAAAAUGUUAAAUCUCAAAUUGUUCAUUUCACAGGUCAAUCAAGGGCUUACUGUUUAUGGGAAUAAAGGAAGCACAGAUCAGCAUGCAUAAGUAAUUUUUUGAUAAAGUAAUGCCACUAUUACUUUUACAUGCUGGUGACGUGAUUAUUCCUGAUGCAUGUUAUUGUCUAAUUUCCAUAUAGCUACAAACAACAGCUGAGAGAGGGUGUGCACAACUUCUUCGUAACAUUCAUUGAAGUGCUUUGUGAUGAUUGGGAGCUUGAACCUAGUGUUACCUGUGGUGACUAUCUGUUUGGAAUGCUUCAAGUUAGUUUACAAUAAGAGCUACUAAUAUUUAACUUUAAGAAGAUUCUAGCAAUAGUCAAAGUUCUUAUGUCUAUUGUUUCUGAAGUUUAAGAUCUCACACUUCUCUUGGAAAGGAGACAUGAGUUCAGUGGAUGAUUUACUUAUAGUCACUCGGUUGUUUUCUGCAAUUGAUCCCUUUUAGAUAUGGUGAACUUCUGUAGGGAACGGGCUAUGCUCUAUAUGCCAAUGAUCGUGAGUCUAUAACAGUCACUGUUGAAGAAGUGACCCCUAGAUCAGUGGGGGCUCUUAUAGCAUUGUAUGAGUGAGCAGUUGAGAUAUACGCCUCAUUCAUGCCUAUCAUCAACCUGGUAAAUAGUUUACCUUAUAAUUCUUAUUUAAAUUAGAUGAUUGCUAUAUGUUUUGGGCUUGUUGCUGUUGAGAAUAUGUGUGGCCUCUCUGAGUCAAGAAAUCAAAUCAAUUCAUCCAACUGGCUGUCUUUUCUCUUGGCCCCCGAUGUGCGACUGAAAUUCUUAGGUGUCGAAGCUGGGAAAGAGGCAGCAGCAGAAACAUGGAUAAGAAGAAAAGGUGGCCUCUCUGAGUCAAGAAAUCAAAUCAAUUCAUCCAACUGGCUGUCUUUUCUCUUGGCCCCCGAUGUGCGACUGAAAUUCUUAGGUGUCGAAGCUGGGAAAGAGGCAGCAGCAGAAACAUGGAUAAGAAGAAAAGCAAGCUCGUAGGCAUUGCAGAUGAUGGAUAGAAAGAGAUCCGCAUUGAAAGGACAGAUGAAUUUGGCCAAAUAGUAAGUUUUCAACGAAAAAAAGAUAUUAAUCAUAAAGCCUUGUAAUACUAAAUUGUCCAUUAUAAUUUCUUUUGCGUCUGACAAAGAAACACCAAUUCAUUACUUUGAUGUUUUUAUGCCAAUCUUCUUGUUUUGAAUGUUUUGCAACAGUUAACCCCAAAGGAAGCUUUCCGAUUGCUUUCCCGUAAAUUUCAUGGAAAAGGGCCUGGCAAAAUGAAGCAAGAGAAGCGCAUGAAGCAAUACCAGGAAGAAUUGAAGUUGAAGCAGACGAAGAAUUCAGACACGCCUUUCUUUGUCUGCAGAGAGGAUGAGGGAAGCUCAAGCCUUUCUUUUUCUUUUUCUUUUUUUCUUUUUUUCCCUAAUAGUAAGCCAUGCUUACAAAGUUCUGGAUGCAUAUUAGUAUGUUAACUUCCUAUGCAAUAAACUUCCUCCCAGUUCUUUACAUGUGUCCACUUUUGAUAGGAUUUGGAAGAAGAUUUGGCAGCAGAACAUGAUCAUCUAUCAACUGGAGUCCAAGAUAAGGGAAUUACGGCAAGUCAUCAAAAGUUUAAUCAUGCAGUACACACAAUUGAUUCUCUGUAGUCAACAUGAUUCCAAGAAUCUGGACAUUUGUUGUUCUGUAUAGCACGCUGUGGAAGAGAAAGAUGAGUUCUUAACACCGGCAAAUGAGGAAGAGUCAAUUGUAUCAUCUGAACCUAUUGUUGAUGCUGAAAGCAAGGUGGCUAAUGGUUAUAUAGAUGCAGAAGUACUUUUUCUCAACUCUUUUGAUUUUAUUGCUUUAAUGUGACUGCAAACCCGACAUGUAUUCAGGCACUUCACUUUAUCACUGUAUUCGUCACUCCCAUCACAGCAGUCUGAGUAUCAUGGAGCAGGCAAAGAACAUAUUUUAGGAGGAAACAUUAAGGAGGCAGAAAAAGAAUGACCACCUGCUAGUUAACCUUUGUCUAGCGGAUGCUAAAAUCAGUAUUACAAGAACCAGAACGAUCUAGUAAUUCUGUCAACCUAUUGAGGUCAGAUGAUGUUAGCAUAUAAAUCUUUCAUAGGACCUUAGCAUUUGAUUUUGAGUGCUUUGAGUAUGGGAGCGUGUAUGAAUUUAUUUUUGAAAGCUUUAAAGAAAAAAAAAAAGAGUUGCCCAAGUUUAUUUCAAAAAAGGUUGUUGGGCAAGAAAUUAAAAAAAAAAAAAAUGAGGUAUCAGAUUUGGAUGCCAAGUUUAUUUUAAACUAGGUGUGUGUAAAUUUUUUUUUUUUUUUUUGGUGCGUGCAAAUUUUAUAUGCUUAGUUCCAUGAAGUGAUCACUGGAGUCAUGAAAAUUCGUUAUUUAGAUUGAGUACAGACUGGAAUGCUUCAAUCCACAUUCUCCUCGUAAAUCUUUUGACUAGAAAAAGAGAUUUUAAGAAUCAGGAUCGGCACUGAUACUCAUUAGUCGCCCCUUUCGCUUCAUGCAUUGCCAUGACCUUUGGCAAAGCAUUGUGCAAUCUCUCCUUCUUAAGCCACACUGUCCUCCAUACUCCUUGAUGAUGAUGAGUGUAAAAGCUAAUGAGGCGGGAGAGUUAAACGUCUCAUGAUGAGUGUAAAGCUAAUUAGGCAGGAAAGUUAAACGUCUCAUUUGAUCAAGUGUUCACUUGAAAAGAAAAGUGCGUUAUAUUUCAAUAUUUCAAUUCGAUAGUGAAAGGGUAAACGGAAAAGAGCGAAGUAACAAAUUGCUUUUGAGAAAAGAGACCAUGGCAUCAAGAAUCAACAGAUUAACAUCAAUCGCAUUGACAAAAUUUUGUGGAGAAGCUGAUACAUGCAUCCCCAUGAAAUGUCAACAAGCAUUAAAACUCAUGCCAACAACUUGGCGAGUUCAUCAACCCUCAAGCUUCCUAGUGGUGAUACAUACAAGUGGUGUUUAUCCAACUCUUUUUUCCUUUGAAUUUUCGUAUCUCUCUACUUGUUUCCUCUCUCCGUAAGUGUAGAAGAAGGUUCGCCUUCGGCAUCUACAUUUCCAUCUUCUUCCUUCACAAUCUUCUUGGACACAGCUCUCCUAGGUCGGUGCCUGAAAAUGGGGCCAGGUGGAGCAGUCUUUGCAAAAGCAACCGCCCUUUGGUAAGCAAUGUCAACAUCCAAUGAAUUACUAAUCAAGAUAAGUGCACUGCCGUUCUCAACAGCCUGCCUUAACAUCGUGCAGUUUCUCUAUUUCCACCAUGGUCUCGGAUUCUUCCGCAACAACAUCGUGCAUAGCAGCAGCUGCAUUGAUGCUCUUUGCAUCUUCUGAUUCUUCUGCUUCACUGCUUUUGCUGCCUACAGUGAUUUUAUUUCCAUCAACCUCCCUCAAAAUUGAAUCUGCAUCAGUAACUCCAUAUACCUCGUUUUCUUGAACAGAAGGAGGACUAGUUUUGCCAGGAACUUCCUGUUUUUCAUCCUGUUCUGAGAUUACUGGAAGAGGAGAUCCUUCACAUGCACGAUCAACACUAGAUGGAUAAUCCUUGUAAUAAACUUCGAGAGUUGGAAAGGAAGACUUCCACUCUCUUCGUCUCCACAUAAGUAUGUGCUCAUCUUCAAAUGAGAUUAACACACAUGGGACUAGGUCCUGGAAAUGAGGAACAAUGAACAACACAUCUUAACCAUCAAUAAGGAAAUCCUCGUCUCACCCCUACAAGACACACCCACCUUGCAUUUCAAUUUUCUUCUUACAUGUGAUUAGAAAGACUCCUCUCAGGUCAAAAAUGUUUCACAACAUCCAAGAAAUCUGCUUCUGACCACAAGCAGGGGUGCCUGGACAAUCUGCGAGGAUGAUGGAAUUAGAAGAAAAAUAAAGAAGCUAACUCAUUUGCAAACAUCAAUGAUCACUGUAGCAAAGGCACGACUAAACCAAAUACCCGUGUGAAAGCAACAUAUUGCCCGACUCUUGAUCGAUGAUGCAGGAACUAGUGACUUAAUGUUCCAUAGCAUAAUGAACCUAAGUGAAGAUGAGUGCAUAUGAUAUGUUGCUUGCCUAAUCAAGCAAGGAAGCUAUGUAAGUAAGUGAAGACGAGUGCAUAUAAUAUGUUGCUUGCCUAAUCAAGCAAGGAAGCUAUGUAUGUGCCAAGACGAACAUUCCAUCAGAACCUCAGUGAUGAACUGACCAACUAUAUUCUACAGCCAAAAAGAUAAAAAAAGGUGACCAAAUAUGUUUGAGACAUAUUUCUGAUUCAAUAAUAUGCUCAACUUCUUCUGAGCUAGUCUUCCUCAGACAAUUUGCAAAGAGGGGAAGGUAUAACCAGCAGUAAAAAUUACCAAUUUUUUUUCAUGAACAAGCUUCUUAAUUCCUUCAAGUGUCCUCCACACCACUGUCAUAAACUUUAAGAUAUGCCUCCUCUCCUUCAUCCUGAUUUCGAAUUAUAGAAAAGGUAUCAAUCAUACGAAGGUUAUGCUAGAAAUUACUAAGGAUUGCUGCGACAGAAAGAUCUUGCAAACUUCCACCAAAUGUCAUCCAGAUAGAAGUAAAGCCAAACAACUGAACCAUGCAUUAGGACAUCACCUUUAGAGAGUAUUGCUACCAAAGAAAAGAAAACUGAAUCUAAGUUCAGAUAGCAACAUUCUACAAGUUAAUACAAAAGUAAGCCUUUUAAGGUUAAUUGCCUCGAGAUACAUGCUGAUUCUACAUGUAGAGGAGCAAAUGUACUCCAAAGGAUGAGAGACAGAUACCUCAGAUGUGUCAUCUAUUGUCGCUCCGGCAUUAAAUGAUCUAGAAAGUUUUUCUUCAUCAAUUUGGUUGUUUACUCUCAUAUCUUCCUGAGAAGGAGGAAGAGAAUGCAUUACUGAAAUAAAUGCUAGUUUUUUGUCUCAUCAAAUUUCUAAAAGGCAAGAGCUCGUACAAGUUCGUAAUUUAGUAGCUCAAUCCGCUCCUGCAAGUCUGAAAUAUGAUGCUUAAGUGUCUGCAGUAAAAGAAAAUUUAAUAACAUAGAAUAGGAUAAGCAUUGUGACAAGCUUAAGGAUAAGGGAUUAAGAAUAGUCUUUCAAUCAGUUUCACCUCACGUCUCUGAAGUUCAAUAGAGCGAGCCAAUGCCUGCCUUCUAGUCAGCAAAUUUCUGGGUCUCACUGCAUGAGUCCUUUGAUAAUUCUUCCCAUGAUAAAUGAUGAUAGCAUAGCUUUUCAUAGUCUUAUCUAAGGAUACCAGCACUCCACCACUUUCAGCCUCUAAAGAAACUACAAGAUGCUUCACUUGUGCAAAACUUUUUCCCCUCACUAUUAGUUUCACCAACUCGCAAUACAUCCAAUGCAAGUGCAUGUUCUCUACGGUACCAUAAAAAAUGCCACGCCUUCCUGGAUUAAACCAAACAGAAGAUGAAAAGCUAGUCAUGAAAGCUGACUUUUUUACAUUGUUCAAUCAAGAGGCAAACCAGCUAUUCUUACCGAUAAGCAGGAAGGGCUUCAUACUCAGACCAAUCUUACGUAGUAAAGAUCUCUCCUCAUCACUUAUGGUUUCCAGAUCAACUGGAAGGUCUGCUGGUCUAAGAUUCUCCUGCACUUUUGCUAGAGCUUUCUCAGCCCUUUUGACCUUCCCUUUAGCCUGGAAAGAAGAGGAAAAAAUAAAUGGAAAAUGUGAUAAAUAAUUAAGGAAAUGGAGCAGAAUUUUAUAGCAUAAGUUUGUUCAAUCUCGUAACUUACAAGAGCAAGUUUCUUCUCAAGAUAUUUCAAGAGUGCAGCGUGCUUAUUGAGUGAUUCAUCUCUACGCAUAUGCUCAACAUCUUUGCUACUUAUUUCAUUCCCCCACCGAUAGGUGGCAGCCAGAGUUUCAGUAAGAGUGCCAGCAACAAGUGGGCUUUUAGAAGCUUUUAAUUUUGAUUCAAUUGCAGCUGAGGCCCUCUGACGUGCUUGGUCUUCCUCAUUUGCCUGCACAUCUGUUAGUUUUUCUCUCUCUUUCAAUGCUUCUACCACCACAGGAGGCAAGAAGUCAUUGCCCCUGUAAAACACAAUAUAAUCUUUGUUCCUAGGAAGUAGUGUUCCCCCAGUUAAAUUCUGCAUUCAAAAUGACACAAAUCAAUAACAAGAGCACCAAAUUUCCCUUACCUAAAGAAAAAGGACGGAAUAUGCAACACUAAACAGAAGUUGAUAUUAUCAUAAUGCCAGAACAUUAAGAUUGGAACAAAAUGCUCGGAGAGAUAAGAACUUGCAUAACCAAUCCUUCACAACACUACACAAGUAUGUCCCAGAAUGGUGACACACUAACCUUGGCUGAGUUUUACCAUUAUGAUAACAAUUAUAAAUUCCAUGGUCAGAAAUGAAAUAGAAAAUUCAGCAUUGUACUGUGGGCUUGAAGGAUAAUGAUUUAGUCAAACUACCACUCUAUGGCAAAUAGUAGGCAAUUCUUUCUGUCAGGCAAAUCAAAUAAAGUACAGAAUCUGAAAGGUUCUGUGCUCGAUGAAAGCAACAGAACACCCAUUUUCAACAAUAAUUAGCUCAUACAUAUAUGCUAAAAAGUCAACAUAUGUAGAUUGUCCAACCUUCAGUUCCUCAGCCAUUCUAUCAUUGCAAGUAUUUAGCAUGCCGUGUUUAAUUGCUAUUUUUGCAAUAGCACUGCUCUCCCACAACUUUACCAUGACCUCAGCAAGACCUUGCAGCUUUCUGUUUUUUCCUACAAAAAAAGUAGGAUUAGUUUUGAACAAUUUUGAGACAUAGUAUAAUCAAACCAGUUUGUCAGCCAUUAACCAGCAAUGGCAGAAAAGCACAAACUUUAUUGCCAUUGAUGCACACAUACCCAGGGCAAAACGUGAAGGCAUCGUUCUUGCAAGUCUACGAAACCUGGUCAUCUCUUUGUUUCUCAGACAAUGUCUAACCCCAUAAGGAAGAAGCUUAACUGGAGGUUUAUAUCCAGGAACCUCUGAAGGGAGCAAGUCAGCAUCAACUGGAACUGGCUCACAGCCUGACCAAUCCUUGAACCGUGGACCCAACUCAUCUAAUAAACUGUUAGGAUCAUUCAUAUCCAUGCGUUUUUCCUUAGACAGAUCCUUCAUAUAUUCUGCAGAACCACAUAAAAUCCGGCCUCCUUUGCUAUGAAAAACAUUACUGGCUGUGUCCUCAUUUUUCAGAGAAUUCACACUGGUCUGUAUUUUUUCGUUGUAUGAUUGGACACAAGAAAGCGUAUACACCAUCCCUCGGUACAACACCACUGAACUUCCAGAUCUCCAUAUAACAAAGCCUCCAGUCCUACUCUGACAAGGCAAGUGUAUUAGAGGCUCAUUAUCUCAGUGCAUCAAUGAUUCAUGAUUAAAAUAAAGACUCUCAAGUCUCCAACGCCAACGCAGAUUUAUUCAAGUGAUUGCAUCUUUUGAAGUCAUGAUUUUAUAUCCAUUCCAGAUGUCAAAUACGGCACUUAAAUGCACGCAAGCAAUCAGCAAACUCAUGAAAGUUCCAGGCUCAUCAAGAUUCAACCUUCAUUUACUUACUUAUCCAUAAGCAAAGAAGAGACCAGCACUAACCUCCAAAGUUUCAUGGGUUCUUUUCAUGUUAAGUGACUGGGGACCUUCAAAUUUCAACUUCACCACUUCAUCCUCUCUCCACUUCUCAUGUAUAGAAUCCACCAAAGCCUGGGUAAUCCCUGCAUCCCCAACUUCCAUCCUCUCCAUCCUGAGAGCAAUUUUCCUAAGCCUCCUGAGCUCAUGUUGCGGAAUUACUCUCUCCGCCAAGUCCACAUGCUUCCUCGACUAGGAAACAGCUGCAGAAACAGCUUCCAUAAGGAAGCCGGAGCUUGAACCCAAAUGGGAGAGAGGACAGAAGAGCCAGACCACUGCCCCCGGAAUGCUGGAGAUAGAGAACUCCGCAACGCUCCAUGGCUACAAGCCUACAAUGCUUGCGAAAUCGUGCGGUCCGUAAUUUCUCGCACAGAUGGCACGCGAAAGAAGAGAUAUAAAGUGAGACUGCCCGUGAAUUUUCUGAAUCACCGACGGAUGCUGCAAUCCAUCGGCCAUGUUUGCAACAGAGGAUGGGGACAUGCAAUUGGAGCUCCUGAGUAUGCAAUAUUCAAACAGGACCACAAAACAAGCAGAACAUCUUGCGAUUGAUCAAGGCAAGAAGCUCCUUCAGUGCACAGAAGCAUUCCCAUCAUCCAUUACUUUUGCGUUCUCAUGUUGAUCAUGGCGUAUAUUCAUCUAACUGUCAUAGGUAGGGAAACAUACAGGAGAACAUCACGGCGAACAUGAGUAACCACAGAUAUACGCCUUUAGCAUGAAGAUCUUAGAGUCUGAGAUAAUUGGAACGAGCAUAUCAUCUUGAAGAUCCUAGAGUCUGGAGGGCGUCGACGCUGCUCUGCAGGUGGUUGCAGAAAUGGGAUCCCCCAAAUCUCGGCCGCCCAAGCAGAUUAAUGCGCGAAGGAACGGCGCCGGAGCAGAGAUGGAGCGAGCAACGGAGCAAAGAGCGAGCGCCGAAGCAGAGACGGAGGAAGCGACAGGACCAGCGAGCGAGAAAGCGCCGGGCGACGGCGGGGAACGGCGGCUUGACAAACGCAAUGCACGGAGUCGAAGCUGAUGACGAGUUCGUCAGAGGGACGCAAUCGGACGGAGGUCCAGAAGUUGCCGAGAGACCAACGCGAGCACAAAACUUGUGCUCGAUCUCCGCGUUGGAAACGAUCGGAGGUGGAGGGGGUUGGGACCAGCUGCGACUGGCGGCGCUCUUGGACGAGGCGACGUGCCAGAGGCAGAUGGCGGCGAGGCUUUUGGGGGAGGCGGAGCCGGAGUUGGAGACGGAGGCAGAAGUGGAAGGGGUGGGAUGCGCGGAGAAGAAACAGAGGAGGUGUCGAUUGUUAUCUGUUUGCGAGGGGAGAGGAGAGAGAGAGAGCGAGAAAAAACCCAGCAAAUUCAAGUGAGGAGAGAGAUUAUUUGAGCGGGAGUGUUACGCAUUUAUUGACCCACUGAGCUGUCUGUCCUUUCUUCUGCCAGCGAGCCGAGCCAAGCCAGCCGAGAGAACCAGCCUCUCCAUUUUCCGGUGGGUCCCCCAUAGGACGCGUGUCGAUAUCUGGGUGAUACGCGCGCGCCACGUCAGCAGAUGACGUGGAGCUCACGAACUACUGAAUAUUUUCUCAGAGAGAAGGGAUCAUCACCAGUCUUAUUCACGCAUUUAGAUUUCAUUUGUUUAAAAUAAUUUAGAAAAUUGCUCGUAUCAUUCUAAGUAAUUAACGAAUUUUUUUUCAUUAUUAAUAAUAUUUUUGUUCAUAGCAAGUUGGAUGAAUUUUUCAUUUUUCACUUUUCCUUGGAGCAGCCACGCGAUGAUUCCUUUUGGUCAAGUCUCUCCCUCUUUCCAUGUUCAGCCAAAACCUCCAUCAUACAUCCUUGAAUAGAGAAAACAUUAGUGAGAGCUAAGGUAUCUAGCAUCGUCCUUAACGAUUUGGAGAUUUGCUCACAUUUGCAUUCAUCUUCCUUAAUCUCAUCAUCGGGGAUUGGAGCAUAAUUUGGUAAACAGUUUCUUAUUAUUUAUGCACUUGUAAUUUGUGUUAUUGAACCUUAUGCACAGUUACAAUUGACGUGAAUCAAAAUUAUUGAAAGUACCUAUUAUUAUUGGAUAACAAAUCUGGUAAGUAGACUUUGUUUCAAUGGAUUGACUUGCUAAAUGUGAGAUAAGUAUCUUAUGUACCAUUUAUAGGGCAUGCGACAUCCCUCUUUUUGUAUAAGUAUCUUGUGUAAAUUUAUAUCUAGUAGAGCAUGAAGCGAUCGAUCUGACAUAGUAACUCGAAAAUUAAAGCGGUACAUCAUUAGUUUCUAGUAAUUUAUGGGACUGUGGAUUAAGUCCAAAAUUGGCGUAGUGGGAGCCUUGUGCAUUGCCUAUUGCGCAGAUAAUGAUUUUAAAAAGAGAAUGACAUACUAUCUACUAGGUCCAUGCAGAAAAAUAUCAAAAGUAAUUUGAAUAUUGAAAAAAUUAACUUAAUUUUCGAAAGAGAGUAAUGGGAGAAUCUUGGAGAAAGGUAUUAUGCAAUUCUUAAAUUUAUUGCAUUAGUGUCAAUUUAAUCAUAAAUUUUUCAAUUAGACCAAUUUAGUUAGCAAUUUCCUACCACAAUUGGUUGGAUGAACUAAAUUGGGAAAUUAUCAAAAAUUUUAUGAUUAAAUUAACUGAAUCAAAAGGUUUAGAACUAAUCUAGCAUAAUUGUAAUAAAUUUUGAUUUUUUUUUUGAUAAAUUUCCUAUAUACUUUCUAUAGGAAAAGACAAAAACAUUUUUAAACAAGCUAUUUGCAUAUCCUCUAACGUUUGGAUAACUCGCUCAGAUUGUCCAUCUAUUUAUAGGUAAAAAGCAAUAAUAAAGUGUAGUUUAGUUCCCACGACUUGUUGAAAUCUACUCCAAAAUUGCAAAGUAAACCUAGCAUAUCAGUCAGAUAGUAUUCUUAUAGGUACGCCAUGCGGCCUCACAAUCUCAUCCGCGUACGACUAAGCAAGUUGCUCAAGAAUCCAAGUAGUUCGAAUUGAUUGGAAGUGUGUUGAUUUUAGCUAUUAACGAGACAACUAUCUAUUCUUGAUUAUCCAUCGAAAGGAAGUAGAUAUGUAUCUAAUUACUUCCUUAGCUUCAUACUUUCCGAGGUAUAGCGCCCCUAAAUACCAUCAAGAAAGAGCACUAAAACAAGGUGGGAAUAAGCGUUCUACCUAGAUUCUGCUCUUACGUAGGCCCCACCUCAUAUGGAAGAAGGGGAACCUCUCCAUUCAAUGGAAGAACCCGUGUGAGUGAGAGGAGCAACGAUCAUUCAUUCAUGGGAUACGUCUUCUUCUGUGAUCCGUUUCACGUGACUCUAGUUAGUUCUCAAAAGGCCUACUUUAUAAAGGGAACUCCUACUCCUUGCUUCCUUCAGCAUGGGAAAAUGCCCGCAUCUAACAAUCUAUCCUUUGAAAGAUAGACAAGAGGGCAUUCUUAGCACCAACCCCUCCCACUUUGACCAUUUGGUGGGAUGCGUUUUCUAGUAAGAAAAGAUCUUGGCAUUUGUUAGUUUCUUGUCUUCAUCCCAUAGAGAAAGACUAAUGCAAAACAUUUGGCGGCUCUUUUUACCAAGCGUGCAUAGUAUCGAGAAAAGUCUGUGUUCGGAUAGCUAUGGAAAUGCUCCCGCAAGACCCUCUUUUCCACUUACUCAUAACUAGGGCUGUUAAAAUGGGUUAGAGAGCCAUAUUUUAACCCACAUUUAUGAAAGUGGUUCAUAUGUGACUCAUCUUAAAAUUAAGAUAUGGACAGAGAUGGGUUUAAAAAUGAAAAAAUCCAAACAAAGUAGGUCUUAUUUGGGUUGGAUAUGGUUUACCGAUGUCCACCCUCUCUCUCCUUUUUCUCCCCUACCCGGAUGAACUCCUCCUCGACAAUGCCUCUCGCGGCAUCAACCCUUUCACCCCGACCACCACCUCCAUCGUUUCCACCUGGCUCCACGGCCAUCCGCCCCGCUGCACGGUCUACAUAUUCCUUCGGCGGCCUAGUCGACCUCGACCCCUCCCAGUUUCUCGAGCUCGCCCUUGGACGUGUAGGUGUUUUGGUGCACGGUGGUGGAGAUGGCGAUGGAGAUGCUGGCGAUGCCCAUAGGCAAGCUCUGCCUCAUCGUCAUCGCCGGGAUCGGGCAAGCAACAAGCUCUCCGACCUAGACGGAGCCGAAGCUCGCCCAGAUCCAGUGAGCCUCGAGCUUGUCGGCCUUGGCUGAGGUCGGGUUCGCCUGGAUCUGGCGAGCCAUGACGGAUUUUGGGCUCACCUGGAUCGGCUGACCCGAUGUUAUUAAAUUUACAUUAUAUGAAAAUGAAUCAAAAUAGGUUAAAUGGGUUAACAUGGGUUUGACCAUUUUUGACCUGACUUACCUAUUUGACAGCUCUAUUCAUAACAGGCUUUCCCUCUGUAUAAGACGUCUCCCAAAAAGCAUAAUUGUGCAAUUUCUUCCUUGAUUUUCAAAGAAGACUAACUCCUACUUCUCUUUCUCUCCUUCGCAGGCGGCCAUUUACCGAUACAGCCAAAAGAUUAGCGCUUCAGAUAAAAAUAUUGAUUUGACUAAAAAAUUACCAAUUACAGGUAAGGUCGCCAAGAAAGCUCCUCUUUUUGGGGGGAUUGAGAGAUAUAGUGUAAAUAUGAUCUUCCAUCCUUAUUUGGAAGGAAGACGUAUAUAGUUUCGAAUCUCUAGAAAGAAGCUAGCUAUCACUCUUUUCCGUUGCCAAUUGAUCAAAAUGAUACCGAACAUCAGCAUUUCGUUUAGAUGAAUAAUUAAAAAGAUGUCCUGAAAUCGCACGGUUAAGGAGUAACUCCCAAGAAUGAAUGGAAGUCCAUUACAUGGAAAUUUGGCUUGCGCUCCACGUUGGAGCGCUGUCCCUUCUCAAAUGGAAAAGAACAAUUUGAGUUUGUCUUCUCUUAGUCACUCGCAGGUCCAACACGUAACUGAUCCCUGCUCAAUUAUCUUAGCAAACAAGUGCUUCAAGCCACCUAAAAUGUUUAUAUAAGGCAAUUAGAAAAGACUGAGAAGGUGAAGUCAUUUCCAAAGAAUUGGAAAUGUAUCUUCCUUAAAAUUCAUUCAGCUUAUCCUAAUACGAUCGCAUCAUGGAGUAAACGUGUCCAUACACUUCAAAUUUGUUCAAUUUACUCUCAUUUGCGUCGAAUGUAUGAUCAAGAUGUCAAAUUGACGAAAUUUUAAAGUAGCUAUUGGGGACAAGAGGCAGCCAUCCCUAAUGCAUUUCUCUAGGUACAGCCACGGUAGUUGUUCCUAAAGGCACGUCAAUGGGCUUCACAAAGCAAUCGCCAUUUCUCUUCGGGAGAAGAUGGGGCGACUCGCAAUGUGUCGUCGCUGAUGAUCAUUAGGAAUGAUUUUGCAUUUUUAACUUUUUAGGGAGGGUUUUGGUCACACCCUUCGUCCAUUCUCAAAUUCCAAUUUUGAUUCUGGAGUGAGAAGAUAGAAGAUGCAUAAUACAAGCCAAGGGGGAAAAUUAUUAAGAAAAAAUCUAAUUCAUUGCAUUUAUAUCAAUUCAAUCCUAAAACCAAUUUAACCCUAAAUAUUUUCACGUUUUGCUAAUUUAGACCGAAAAUCAUUAAUUUGAACGCUAGUCAUCCUAUUAAAAAUCUUUUAGAGUUUUUAUAGUAAUUUUUUAUUUUUUAUUUUCUAUCUUCUUUAUUUAUUUAUUUUGAACUGAGGGCCAACAAAAGUUGCUGGCCGGCCCUAUUGGAAAAGAAAAGAAAAGAAAAGAAGAAAACCAAAAUAACUAUUAAAAAAAUAUAUAAAAGAGAAUGUCCAUGUUGACGUCGACGUCGACGUCGAUUAUAUUAUAUAGGAACGUCGACAUUCACGUCAGUAAUUUUCAGAUUAAAUUAUCCGGAUUAAGUGAAGUGACAAAAUAUGAAAAAAAGAAAAAGUAUAUCACUAAAUUAUCACAAUAAAAAUAUAACUGAAUUAGUAUAAGUAUAAUAGAUUGAAGAAUUUUUUUAGUAAUUUUUCGUAAGACAAGAUUUGGAGAGGUAUCUUUCUCAAUCUGAUGAAGACCACGAGGCUAUCGGCCUCUGUCGUAUUCGUAGAAUAGUAUAAGGAGGAAAAAAGGAUGAUAUUAUUACUAAGGUCCUCCUCGGUCGUGCGAAUCGGAGGAUUCCUCCCGUUUGCUUCCCUCCCUUUCUUGCUCUCCAAGAUCGUAGACCGACAAAGUCUGACGUCUGGUGGGCCCGAGACAGCAGCGUCAUCUGAUGCCACGUCACGUUUCUUCCCCUAAAUUAAUUUCCCAGAUUGUCUUUUCUCUCUCCUCUUUCCCAAGCGUCGACCCUGUUUAGAUAUUCGGGAAUUCGAGAGAAUCAAAUGGUUAAACGAUGUGUUGAGCUCAGAGACAAAUCAAAGAUUACUGCAGUAGACAAGCAGGCAGCAGACUAUGAGGAUGGGAAUCUACGCUCGUCGCUUUCCAAUGCUUAAACAAUGUAUUACUUGUCCAUUCUUGCCCUAAGUCGUCGAGAUUUAGGGGAAAAUACGUAAAGUCUCUUUCCUCUUUUUUUUUUUUCUUUUUUAAUGAUUAGCAAAUUAAUUAUUCUCACCUGAUAUAUUGUAGGGGUGAGCAUGGUCCGGGUUGGUCCAGGCCACCCCCUAACCCUAGGACCAACCCGUACAGUGUCGGUCCUCAAUUUUUAGGACCGAGGACCGACCCUAUUGAGCCUGGGACCAAGGACCGGACCGACCCGAUGGGUUCGGUCCGGGUCCAGGGUCAACCCAGGACCGAUCGAUAAUUUUUUUCGUCUUAUUUUUUAUACUUCCUAAAAAAGUAAACCUACAAAUUCAAAUUACACAUCCAUCAACAAUACGGUAUUGUGCAACUAAACUAUAAAAUAUCAAUACAUAUUUAGCAAAUUUAAGAUGACACAAUAAUAGAAAUUUCAUAUCCGCUAACUGCUCAUCGAGAUAUGGGAUAAGAUGGAAAAUUCUUGUAAUCAUCUAUCUUUAAUAUUUAUAACACCAUAUGCAAAAGCGUUUUUCUGAUCAUGUAGAGUCCACUUAACCAAAAAAUGAGCUUCGCACCACUUGACUAGUAUUUAAUCAUGUAGAGUCUACUCAAACAAAAAAUAAGCUUUACACCACUUGACUAGCAAAUCACCGUAGCAACUGCAGUACUACUCUACUCUUCAAAACUUCUAUCAUUUGACACAAAUUGAAAAGCAAAGUGCAGCUGAAAUUCAUUAGUAAAAUACAAAUUAAUCAUAAAAAGUUCAAAAUACUUAAUAUAAACCAUUAAUAUAUAACUUCACAUCUUGUUAAUUCACUUGAACUUCUAAACACUUGAAAACAAAACAAACGACACAUAAUUAAUACUUAACAAAAGUUUUAAAUUGAAAUUACUAUUAGUGCUAUUGAUAGAACAUCUCAAUAUAUUAUAAUAUAAUAGACAUUUUACUUAGGUUUGAAUAUAUAAAAGAAUUAUAAAUAAUAUAAUAUAAUAUACAGGGUUGGUCCAGGGUUGGACCAACCCAAAACUCUUAGGACCGAGGACCAACCCGCACAGUGUUGGUCCUGGAAUUUCAGGACCAAGGACCGACCCAGUCCCCUUGGGAAUCGGACCAGGACCGGCAGGGUUGGGCCAGUCCAGGGUCGGUCCAGGGUCGACCCUAAACCGCUGCUCACCCCUAAUAUAUUGAAUCACCUGCUCACGAGUCACGUUACGUGAACUCUUUUUGAAAUAUGCAUAUUUGAUUACAUGGUAAAAUAUCAAUGUCAAAAAUAGUAAUUCUGAAUCUUAAUUUACUUCUCUUAUGAAAUUUAUUAAGAUUAUAUGGACAUACGGUCAUCUGUUGAAUCUUCUUCAUUUUAUGUGAUCUUGAGACGUCCUUAAGCAUGUUUAAUGUUGUUUAAAGUUCAAUUUUCAACCAAUUGAUUUCCAAAUUUGUUUAUAUAUAUAUAUAUAUAAAGUGGCAUUAGCUCAUGAUUCGAGGGAUUCCAUCAUCCCUUUGUCUCCAUUUUUUGUGUAGAGUAACGUGUAUUAUAUGUCUUUUCCAUGAGGAUUCAACAAUUAUGAAAGUAGUGCAGUGAUACUUCAGAAUUUCUUGAUAUGCUAUGGCAAGAUGGUUGAUUCGUUAAAUACUACCAAUAUCUAUGUCAGAUUCAAUCUCCCAUUGUCUUGAUCCCAACUUUAUACUACCAUUAGAUUUCAAGACCACACAUUGUCAUUUUGUAAUGUUGGAUAAUAUUAGCAAUAAUAUUAUUACCCACUUAAGCGGAAUUCAAAUAUGAAAAUAAAAUGAAGUAAAAUAAAACGUACGGAAAGGUAUUCCGGUGUAUUGAAGUCUUAGUCGACCACCAUAAUGCGCUCAUAUUAGGAAGACAACUCUCUCCACUCUCCUUAGCAAGCAGAUUGGAACACGCCAUCUUAUUUUAUUCUCGUUUCCUUGACUCCGUUUUUCACUAGGAAGAACUCGCAAACAUAAUUAAUAAAAAUCAUGGGAUGAUCCGAAAAAACCUGUUUGAUGUUAGGACAGUGCUUAGUAUGCUGGUGACGGACCUUGAUGCUCAUCGUUCAUGUGGAUCUAAGUCAAGAUAUGACAAUCAACAACAACAACAAUAAAUAAUAAUAAAAAUAAAUAAAUAAAUAUUGGGUCUUUGAUUAAAGUUUGAAUGACUUGAGUCGGUCUAUUAACAUGAGGAAUUAAGGGUGAUUGAUUUAAAUAAUAUUCUAGUCAGAUUUGAAACUUGGAACUAUUUUAUUAGAAUCUAUUCACAGUUUUUGGAAUCUACAACCUACCAUUGUUUUGGAAUCAACCCUACAACUCAUCAUGUUUUUUGGGUUUGAUUUUAGGGUUUACUUGAGAACCUAUUUUUCUUUUGUUCCUUUUUUGGAUUUCAUUUUUAACACAAAUAAUAUAAGCAACAAAAUGGUUCAAAGUAAAAAAUAAACAAAAGCUAGCAAAUGAAGACAAGUUAGGAACGAGUGAGGGCAGGCCACGAGCGAGCAAGGAGGAGAGUGAGUCACGAGUGAGAGAGGGAAUCGUUAAGUGUUUAAAUUAGGUUUGAGUCGAUAAAGCCAAAAGAGAGAGAGAGAGAGAAAGGUCCCAAGAGAAAAACUAAGGUCUUUAGACUUUAUGAAGUCGCUUCUAAAUCUAGUCUAGUUUCCAAGUGGCUCUUCAAUCAAAAUAGGAAAUCGAAUUGGUUCUAAUGAGAACUCGGAGUUGGAUCAACUUUCAAAGCGAUUUGGUCCAAUUUUUGAGUUAGAUUUGGUUGGGUUGCAUCUCCUAGGAGGAAUCAUGUGGUCCUAGGGGAUAGAGAGAGACUAGGUAAAUCGUUGGUGUUUUGUGCAUGUGUUGCUAAUGAUCGGUGCAUGGUGAAAAGUGAAUAGUUAAGAAUAGGAGAAUGAUAAAAACUCUAAAUAAUACCAAUUGUGACAUAUUUAUCGUAAAUUUUCUUUAUGAUACUAAAAAUCCCAAACUUGUACUCGUAUGACAUAUUUACUUGACCAUGAGCACCGUUAAAAAAUGCUUACAUAGACUCUAGAAAGCAAAUAAUAUUAACAUGGAAACAAAAACAAUGUUAUUUUGAUAACAAAAUAUCAUCGGACGGAAUUUUGACAGAGUGCAAAUGCAUUACGUAAAUAUAAGUUUAAAGUAAAUGUGUAAUAGAAAGCAUAGUAUAUGAUUUUUUAUGUUACAAAAAAAGUUUGAAAUAAAUGUAUUAGGUGAACAUAACUUGAAGUUUUUUUGUAACCUUUUUUUGUUACAUGAAAUUGAUAUAAUAAGUAAUAUAAUGGAUCAUAAUUGCCCAUUUUAACAGGUAAUCAUAUUUAAAUGCAAUGAAAAUCCAUUAUGUUUCUUUGCACACCGAUGUCGUAGCUUUUAUCAGCAGAUGGUGCUGUCCUUCGCGCUUUCCUUUUGUCUCCGCCCGUGUCAAUUAUUGUAGAAUGUCGACGUGCAUUAUUGGUAAAUUUUUAGAAAUUCAAAAAACACAAAAGAAUUCAAGCGAACGGAGGAAUGCCUGGAUUCUUUUGUUCCUCUCGUUUCUUUCUUGAGGCCGAACAGUGAUAGAUGAAAUAUGAGAAUGAGCGAUUGAGGGCGUUGAUCAACUUCGCGAGACAUGAGAUUACACUAUACACGAUUGCAACUCAUUCAGUUAAAUAUUUGCCUAAAAUUGAGUUGCACUUAAAUUAACAUAUGCACGUGCAACAUUUCAAUCGAAAUUGGCCUUCAUAGAUAUACGACCUCAAGUAAGACUAUAUUCAUAAUGCAUCCCAUAAUAAUGAUUGAUAGAUUCAUUAAAUAGAUGGAUCAAGUCGAAAAUAGUCAAAUGCAAUUUGAUUACGAAUUUGAUAACUCAUACCCAAAUUGUCCCAAUUCCUUUUAACUCAAUUUAGGAUAAUUGAUAUUCAAAUUGAGGCGAAAAUAUAAAGUGAACGAAUGCGAGAUCAAACGAGAAUGAGAGAAUCUUUAUAUUAUUUUGAAAUUUAUUAUUUUAAAUUUAUAAGUAAUUUACCGAAUAUAACUAAUUUAUAUAAUUACUCAAUUAAUAUAUUUAUGUCAGAUCACAAUCGCGGGGUCUCUUCUCCAUAAGUUGACCGCCUCGCGAGCGGCCCUCACAAAACGACAACUCCUCCGCCGGCUUGCGAAGCUCGCGGGAUCAUUCCAUAUAAUGCAAGCGCAAGAGCACCGCACCACCACAGGCUCACGAGAAAAACGAAAGGACGCUCUUGUCCUUCUUCGUCUCCUCCACCGCCACCGCCAUCAUCGACCUCUCAAGGUCGACGGGGGCCGCGGGGGCGGGCAAGGGGAAAGAGGCGAGCAUGGAGAACGGGGCGCCGGCCUGGAAGUUCCGGGGCAAAGAGGGCCUCUCGGCCGCGUCGGCCAUCACCGUCCGCGGCAUCCUCUUCGAGCUGAUGGCGAAUCUCAACGCCGACGACGGCCGCACCAUGGUCCCGCUCGGCCACGGCGACCCUUCCUCCUUCCCUUGCUUCCGCACGGCCCCCGCCGCCGAGGACGCCGUCGUCGACGCUGUCCGCUCCGGCAAGUUCAACUGCUACGGCCCGACCGUCGGUAUUCUUCCCGCCAGGAGGUAAGAAGGCGGUGUCGCUUGAGAUUAUCAGGAUAAGAUUUCUCGUUUAUGUUCGCGACCCUUUUUGGCUUGAAUCAAAAGGGAAAUAGGGAAAAAAUGAGGAGAGUCUCGAGGUCUUUAUGUUUCGUGAAAGAUGGAUGGUUUGGAAAUCGUCUUCCAUAGCUUAUAUGGUAUUUAAAACUGAAUGGCCAAAAGAUAUUUUCAUUUUUCACGAAUAUGGUAUAUUACCGCUGCUAAUGAAAAAAUAUUCUCUAUUAAUUCAUUAUUUUAAAUGAUAUAAGUAAUCACUUUUAGAAAAAUACUUUUGAAAUCAUUUAUUUUCACAGCUUGAGCUUUAGAUUAGUUAUCUGUCUUGUGAAAUCUUGAGACGAGCAGAUGAUAUGCUCUGUCUAAGCUUGGUGAUAGCAUGGAUCGACUCGUGCUUCUUAUGGUCUGGACUGUUUGUUUAGCUGCGCAGCCAUAUUACCUAAGCAAGUUAUUUCGCAUCCUCAAUCUUCCUAGUACCUAUGAGUCGAUUGUUGAUGCGUUUAAGGUACUGACGGAAUCAUGUACUCACAAAUUGCCAGGAUUUACGUUCAUGUGGUCAUACGAGAUUUAAGAAAUCGUAUAGUUAAAUAGUCAAUGAUUGAGAGGCUGAUGAGUGGCUAGUUUGGAAGGUGACUCAAUUGAGGUUUAUGGACCUUAUUGCGUGUUCUGUUUCCUUCGCAACGACUGCAGGGGGUCGAAUGCAAAAUGCCUAGUUCUGGCAGUUGUUUUGCUUCAAUUGUACAAACCAUUUUGGUUUGUUCAUGGUUGUAUCUUAACAGCAGAGUAGCUGUUAUUGCCGAUCAAUAUCAACUGUCUCGUCAAUCAACUCGAAUCAUCAUAUUGCUAGUAAAGACAGUGUAUUGAAAACAGAGAGUAAAUGAUGAAACCAAGCUUUAUUAGUGACUAUAGGAAGUAGUCAUUGUUAAUUGUUUGGAUAAUGAUUGAAUUUUAUGGAAAGGCCGCUAUGAAUGUGUUGAUCUAGGUGCUUUCUGUAGGUUGAAUAGCAAUUUAUUUCCAGACGACAUGUUUGAGUGAGCUAGACUAAUUGGGGGCACCAAAUUCUACAGGGCUAUUGCUGAUUAUCUCUCUUGUGAUCUCCCGUACAAAUUAUCACCAGAUGACGUUAAUCUGACACUCGGGUGCACACAAGCAAUUGAAGCCAUAUUAACAGUUCUUGCUUGCCCUGGGGCCAAUAUAUUGCUUCCAAGACCUGGAUUCCCAUACUAUGAUGCACGUGCUAAACACAGCCAUCUUGAGAUACGGUAUUUUGAUCUUCUUCCAGAUAAGGGUUGGGAGGUUGAUCUCAAGGGUGUUGAGGAUCUUGCAGACGAGAGUACUGUCGCCAUGGUGAUCAUCAAUCCUGGAAAUCCUUGUGGAAGUGUCUAUAGCUACCAGCAUCUAAAGAAGGUUGCUUUUGCAUUUUGUUUGAGAUUUCUUCAUAUCUUAGCAAGUAGAUGAAUUGUGAACAUGGAAAAAUCUAUGAUUAUAAGCUGGAAUGGAGCUAAUAGAUUCUGAUGGAGCUUAAUCUAGAGAGCUACCUUGCCUCUUGAGAUGCUCGUUUAUCUCAAGGCAGUGGAAGCUCGAUAGAUUUGUUGCCAGUCACUUUUAUAAUCUUUGGUAUCCGCAUUUGUGUUGCUUCAGCUGUUGUUCAUCAUUUUCUUUCUUUCAUUUUUGAAAAAGGUUGCCGAAACAGCAAGGAAGCUUGGGAUUAUGGUAAUUGCAGAUGAAGUCUAUGGUCAUCUAGCUUUUGGGGAUACACCAUUUGUUCCCAUGGGUGUUUUUGGAUCCAUCGCACCUGUCUUGACGUUGGGAUCAAUAUCAAAGAGGUGGAUUGUUCCAGGUUGGCGACUUGGUUGGCUUGUGACAAAUGAUCCAAAUGGUUUUCUGAAAGACACUGGGGUCUCUCUCUCUCUUUCUCUCUCUCUCUCUCUCUCUCUCUCUCUCUCUCUCUCUCUCUCUCUCUCUCUCUCUCUCUCUCUCUCUCUCUCUCUCUCUCUCUCUGUGUGGACGCAUGAGCGCAAACGCGAUCGCUUGCUUGAUUGUAUAUCUAUUUGGGCCAAAUUAUUUGACUACUAGGGUUUGUCACAGGAUACUUAGGUUGCUCCUUUUCUCUUUACAGGUUCUUAAGUCCCUUAAAGGAUUUCUGGAUAUAUCCUCUGAUCCUCCAACGUUUAUCCAGGUAUGUAACUACUCCAGAUAAUUAACCAGUGACUUUCAGAUUUGAAGACGUGGUGUUUUUCAAAAUGAUUUAUUUGGUAGGCUUGUCUGCACUAUUUUUGUAUCACUACCAGAGUUGUGGAUAUUCUUGGCUAUUCAUUCAGGAAAUGACAAAUUAAUGAGAGCUUUUUCUCUUGAAGAUGGAUAAUUAAAACAAUGGAUGCUGCAUAGCAAUGUAGAGUUGCACCCAAGCAGAACCCCAAUGAUUUACGUGUUUCCUCUCUCACCUGGUUUAUGUUUUUUUUCUCUGUGAUUUUAGACUGUAAUGCACAAGCUGUGCAUAUUGCUUUUAGAAGUGAUCAAUAUUCUGUCUCAGUCAUUGGGCUUGAUUUAUCUGAACUCACUUUCACUUGAUAAAGUAUUGUUCUUCAUUUAAUCCUUGCAAGAGUGCUUGCUACCUUUUAUUUGUGGACAACUAGCAUCCUUAUCAAAUAACAGCUAAUUAUUUUCUGCUCUUCGUUGUGAUUCCAACAGGCAGCGGUCCCUCACAUUCUUGAGAAAACAAAUGAUGAUUUUUUUUCAAAAAUCAUUUGCAUACUAAGAGAGGCUGCAGAUAUAUGUUAUGAGAAGAUUCAAGAGAUACCUUGCAUCACAUGCCCAAAAAAGCCACAAGGAGGCAUGUUUGUAAUGGUAUGGGCAUACUAUACACAUACGUACAGUAUGUAUGCAUGUAUUUUUAUUUUUUCAUCGGUAUAGUGUACACUGUUAUGCAAUUUAUUUUUUUCUCGAUAAGUGAAAGAUGUCAUUGUGACAGGUCAAGUUGAAUUUAUCAUUGUUGGAGGGCAUAAAGGAUGAUCAGGAGUUCUGCUUAAAACUGGCUAAAGAAGAAUCUGUUAUUGUUCUGCCUGGUAAACUCAGCCUCUCCAAUUGCUGGUGAAAGGAAAAUAUAUUGAUGUUACUUUUUAUGCAUCUGUUUCAUUUUUCUAACUUAUUUCAGCUUUUUGAAUUUUUCAAACGCGUCUUCUGACUUUUGUUUCUUGAAAUGCACAUUGGUUAAGAAUGCUAUAAGGGGCUUCAGAGUGAGAGUCCCGAUGGCCAACUUACUUCACAGUUUUCGAAGGAUCAUAAAAUUUUGGAGAAAUAGAAGGGAUCCUAGUGAUUUCAUUUGAAUUUACUCGUGGAACUCUUGCAAGCCAAUGCUCAGAUAAUUCCGGAGCAAUCCCAUCCCAUUUUCGCCACUUGCUUCUUACUUGUGCAAUGUCCGUAUCCAUCAGAUAAUAAUCAAUGACAUUCGUUUUUGCAGGGAUAGCUGUUGGAAUGAAGAACUGGCUUCGCAUCACUUUCGCCAUCGAUAUAUCUUCUCUCGAAGAUGGCCUGGAGAGGAUUAAGGCCUUCUAUGGAAGGCAUGCCAAAAAAUAAAUGAGCCGGUCCAUGCCGGUGCCACAAAGGGCUGAGAUCAUCAACUGCUCGUUGGAUCUCGAGAUGCCUCUGUGGCCACGUCGGAGACCAUUGCAAUGUGUGAAACAAGAUUAGUAAAUCCAUAAGAAAGCUAAUUAUCCGGGCAUUUGCCCGGAAGCAGGGGAUGGAGGAGGAAGAAAUCAACCUGACUGUUGAUUCGAUCCGAAACUUCCGUAGCAUUAGCUUUGGCUUGAAUAAAAAACUUAGAUUAAGGGCUUGUUAUUUUGCUGCUCGUGCCCGGAAGCAGGGGAUUGAGGAGGAGGAAAUUAACCUGACUGUUGAUUCGAUCUGAAACCUCCGUAGCAUUAGCUUUGGCUUGAAUAAAAAACUUCGAUUAACGGCUUCUUAUUUU